rnacentral:lncRNA from 1 species
ACAAUCCAACCUCUUUGUCUCCUGCAUUUGGUUUUAAUUCCUCCUUUAUUCUUGAAAUAUAUCUAUAAUAUAGAAAUGAGGUAAAAUUAACGUAAUGCAAUUUAAUUUAACAUAAAAUUAUAUUAGGGAAGUAUUAAGCUAAUUUAUAGGUUAUGAGUGCAUUAAUAAACACUAUAAGUGAAAAAAUAAAAAUUUUAACCUUUAUUGAAUGUAUACUUUCUAGAGUUAAUCAAACAGCAACAUCACAACUUCACCCUUUUCAAUCUUUAUUCUUGAAUUUCCUCUCAGGGCAGUCUUUCUUAAAUUGUCCUUUAUGGCAUUGGGAAUAUUUCAAGUUCUUUGGCUUUGAUUUAGACCUUUUUUUUCUUACUUGUUGAACUUUUUUUUUUUUUUCUAAUCUUCUCCUUGCAACCGGACUCUCUGGUUCUUUCACUUCUUUUUGUAUGACUUGCUUUGAAUUCAUAGUCUCUUUUACAUUUGCCAUUGCGAGUGUUUGUCUUCCAUACAUCAAUGUAUCGACCAGAUGCUCAUAUGAGCUCGGUAGAGAGCACAACAUAAUCAUGACUUUAUCUUCAUCAACAAUUUUACAUUUAUGUCUUUAAGAUCUAGGAUGAUCUUGUUAAAGGCAUCAAUAUGAUCUGAAAUUGAUGAUCUUCCUCCAUUUGUAGAGUAUAUAGUUUUUUUCUUGGUCUCAAGCCUCUUUGUCAUGAUUUGUUGGUUUAUGUGUCUUCAAGUUUCUUCCACCACCCUGAAAUACAAGUAUGCAACCCAAGAGGGGGGGGGGGGAAUGAAUUGGGAUUCUAAAAAAAUUAUUCAAUUUAUAAAGAAAAACUUAAUGCAAAUAUAAUCCAAAUUCAAAGCAAUAACAAUUAAGUUGAUCACAAUAUAAAAAGAUAAGGGAAGAGAGAUUCAAACACAGAGUUUUUUACGUGGUUCGGCCAACCUCGCCUACGUCCACGCCUCAAAGCUUUCCGGGCUUGAGGAUUCCACUAAGCAAGCCUCCAAGGCUUCAAAUGCUUACACUUGACUUCCAAGGUGUCAAUAAACCUUUACAACAAGAGAUUAUCCCUAAUCUCUUAACCUAAGUGUAUCCCAACACUUACAAUCACUCAAAGUAAAAGAUUACAAACUAUUUUGCCUCUCACAAUAUAUAAGAUUACACAAUGAUGCUUAAUAUGUGAAUAGAUGAAGCAAGAAUGUGUUCUAAGCUCUAUGAAGAUUGUAUUCUCGAAUAUUAGCUCAAUGGUCGUGUUGUGAUCAACCUUGUUUGAAUUUGAAUGAGCUUAUUUAUAGUUGGAGCUUAAAAAUUAGCCGUUACAAACUGUCAGUCCGAAAACGGUUCGCCGUUAACCAUUAACGGUUAACUAUUUACGCUGGUCAAAAGUUACCGUUGGGCCAAAUUUCAAAUAAAUGGUUUGUUGUUUAGGAUUAAUCUUUCGUCGUUAAUUUCCAGGGAUCUGCAAGAUGAACAUCAGUUAUCCGUUUACACUAAACGGUUAAGGAUUUGUAAGAAGUGACUUCUCUGGAUGUUAUCGGUUAACCGUUUGUAAUAAACGGUUAACCGUUUGUCUCCAGUAACCUGCAAAACAAUUCAGCCUUAACCAGUUUUGUUAAUCAGUGAUUCUGGAUGUUAUCGGUUAACCGUUUAGAUAAACGGUUUACCGUUAAGUUCCAGUGGCCUUCCCAUCUUUUGUGUUUUCCGUUUUUCAUAAACGGUUAGAGCUUUAGGCAUUAUGUUGCUCUCUGGAUGUUAAUCGGUUAACCGUUUAGAGGAAAACGGUUUACCGUUUAUUUCCAGAAUCACAUUUUAAACCAGUUUUUGCAAAGAAACUUUUUCUAAUAUGAAAGUCCAUCUUUUAUGAAUCUUUUUCGUUUAUUAAGGAAUAGCUCCAACAUUUUUAUCAAAAACCAUUUAAAGUUUGUUAUCAUCAAAAUCAAUAUUAUUAACAUAUUCAUGUUAACACACCCAACUGCUUUCUUUCUCCACCAACUUCUCUCAAAACAUUAUCACCAAGACUCAAAAUAAUGGCACUAUGUGCCCUAUAUAUCAUGAAUAUUAGGUAGAUUAUCAUCAAAUACUUUUCUUAUUUUUCUUGGAUCUAGAUGAUUCUCUAAGAGCCUCUGCCAGUCCUUGAUGUACUAAAAGUGGACCAUCUUGAGCCUCCAGAGAUAAAAGUCAUUUUCCUUGUAAACUUAUCCACUUUUAAUUUGAAAUUGACGUCUUAAUAAUGCAAAACUUAAUAAAGAAGCUCCGAUACCAAUUUGUUAUGGUUGAACCAACAAAGUGCUGACUUCAAGAGUCACCCCCAAGAUCCAAUCUCAAGCUUAACAUCCUUAAAUUAAGUAUCUAAUUAUUUUGUCAAAGUGUCUAGCUUCUGUCACAAACCCAACAAGAAUUAAGCACAAGAGAGCAAUUAGAAUCAAAGAAAGAACACAAGGAAUUAUAGUGGUUUGACUUUGAGUAGUCUACAUCCACUGUGAAGACCAAAUAGAGAUUUCACUAUUAUUUGAAUAUUCAAAAUACAAGAUUGAACAAAAUGUAAUUGAACAACAUGAGCCUAAAAACGAAGCUUGAGAGCUUUUAUACAUAGAAAGAAUCAUCUAGAAUUCACCCCCAACCGCCAGCUCAAGUAUGGUUAUGAGUUUGUUACAAAACCCAGAAAGUUCCCGCUGAUAACAACCUCUUAAAUAGCUGUAAGACAUGGGCAAAACUUUCAUUCAAUCUGACCUUCAAAAUGAUAAUACUAGCAGUUGUAACAAGUAAGUAACUCACGUGUUGAGGAGAUUUGCUCGAGGUUAAAAGAAUCACCUCUCAGUCUAGUUGAUAACUAAAAUUACUUCAUAAUCAAGUUGGUAUGAUCGAUGAUGAGCAUAAUUUAUAUACGUAUUUUACCUUUAAUUAUAUAAUUAUUAGUUAUUUUUAAUUAAUUGAAUUAUUUUAUUGCAUAGGGAAUUAAUUGGAGAUUGGGAAAUAAAAAGUGCAUAAAGAAUAACAAGUUUGGGAAAGCAUCAAUCAAAGCCGUGACACAAUUAAAAGUUUAUAACAUAUGAAACCAAGAGUAAUUUGCACUUAAAAAGAAUUUCAAUUAUUCAAGUGACCUGGACGUGCAUGGCAUUAUAAUGCAUGGAAAGCAACUUAAAGGGGCCCACACUUGGCUUUUACAAUUGGAAAAAGGAAUCCUAGUGCAAGCUUAAUUGGUGAUCACGUGUGAGAGCUAAAGCAAAUAAAAGGGCAAGCCUUUUGGCUUUAGGAUUUAAGAGGUGGGGCCCAUUUCAAAGAUUAUAAAAGUAAGCUUUUGGCUUUUGGAGAAGGGGAGCCGCGAGAGGAAAAAGAGAGCUGCAGACGCAAGGAUUCGGCACAGAAGAAGAGUAGCGAGAGCAGCAAUAUUUCGGCUUCCCAUGGCUGAAUUUAUUUAUUUUGUUGCUCCCAAUUCAAGUAUGUCUAGCUAAUUUUCUUAUACUGAGGUUAAUGAUGAAACUCUAUUCAAUGAAAUAAUUAUCUUUUUAUUUAUUUAAUUCCCUAUAUAUGUUCUUUGAUGAUUAUGAUUUUUAUUUCACAUGAUUAAUUGGAUGUUAGUAAAAUCUUUUCAUCAAUUCUGUCAUGCAUUAUUGAUUGUUAGGAUUAAUAUUCGAUUAAAUAUAUGCUUGGAUCUAUAAAGUUUAUACAUGAUUAUCUUUGAUUUUAUGUCUUUCAUUAAAUUGUUUACUUAGAGUGCUUAAGAAAAUUUUGACUCUUUGUUAUUCAAUAUGUUUAUAUGGGAUGCUUAGAUGUCAUACUAUUAAGUAGAAAAAGAACCUACAUUAGAUUUAAUUACUUGGGCUUAAUUGUUAUAUUUAUGAGAUGACAUAGAUUGAUUUCGAGUUGUCACUCUAAAAUUGGGGAUUAAUUAAUAAUUAGAUAAUUACUAUUUGCAUAGUGGUGGAUUCUGAAACCUUGGUAAUUCUUAUCUUAUCGAAUUCUCCUUUAUUUUAAUUGCUUCCUUAGUUUAAUUAGUUUGAUUUCUCUUAAAACUCAAUUUGGUCAACUAGGUUAGGAUUAAUAUUAAUUUUGGAUUUAAAUUAGACUUUUCAAUUUAUAACAAUCCAUGUGGGAUCGACCUGGUUACCAUUAUUCUAUUUCUAGAUUCGUGCGCUUGCGAGUAUAUUAAAAUUUUCACAACAAGUUUUUGGCGCCGUUGCCGGGGAUUGUGCUAGAAAGUCAGUUUAAUCUAGGUUGAUUUGAUUCUUCCACUAGUUAUAAUUUAGGUUGUCUUUUAUUUUUUAAUUAAAAAAACUUUUAUUUGUCUUUAAAUUCAUUGUUUGGUUGUUUGAUUUCUUUUAUUUUUAAAUUUCGUUUAUUCUCAUUUUUUGGUUUAUUUUAUUUUAUUUUUCUUUCUUUCCUUGUCUAGUUAGUUUAUGAGUGUUUGGGAACGUGAUUCAACAAAUCGUUUGGUUAAAAGAGAGUCGAAAAUUGAUAGUAGUUAAGCUAGUUCUUCUCAAGUCAUGGAUGACCCAAAUAGAUUAUUGUCAAUACUACCACCAGUGCAAGUAGAGAAAACCCUUAGAGAAUACUUUUCACCACUUGCAGCUAACCAACCAUCUUGUAUUGUGUUGCCACAAACUACAACAACACACUUUGAGCUUAAGCCCUCAGUCAUUCAACUUUUACCAUCUUUCCAUGGGUUAGAGAGAGAGGAUCCAUAUUUGCACAUUAAGGAAUUUCUUGACAUAUGCUCUACAUUCCGUUUUCAAAAUUUUAAUGAUGAGUCAAUUAGGCUUUGUAUGUUCCCUUUCUCAUUAAAAGACAAAGUGAAAGCUUGGUUGAAUUCGCUUCCUACUGGGUCUAUAACUACAUGGGAUGAAUUGAGUAAUAAGUUUCUCUCCAAGUUUUUCCCUAUGUCUAAAACAAAUGCCCCUAGGAGAGAGAAAAGUGAUUUUUAUCAAAGAGAGGGUGAGCAAUUUUAUGAGUGUUGGGAAAUAUUUAAUGAUUCACUCUUUAAGUGCCCCCACCAUGGUUUUGAGAAAUGGAGACUUAUACAAUGCUUUUAUAACGAUUUAACCAUGUCGAAUCGUCAUAUGGUAGAGUCUAUGAAUGGUGGGAGAUUUUUUAAUCUACAUAAAGGGGCUACAUGGGAUUUCUUUAAUUCACUUUCUGAAAAUUCUCAACAGUGGGAUUUUUCAAAUCAAAGGGAAAAAUUAUCUCAAGUUUCUAGAAAGGGUCUAUACGAAGUUAAAGAUGACUUUGAUGUGAAAGCCACUCUAACUACACUUUCUAGGAAAGUAGAUGCCUUAGCUCUGAACCAAUCCAUGAAUCAUCAUCCUAGUGUAGCUAAUGAGGUUUGUGCUAUUUGUUUUAACUUGUCUCAUACAACACAGAAUUGUCCAUCAUUACCAGUCUAUUAAAAGGCUUAUUCUGAGCAGGUAUAUGCCUUACAUUCAUAUGAGAAAACCUCUAAUAGUCCAUAUUCAUCCACAUAUAAUCAUAAUUGGAGGAAUCACCCUAAUUUUUCUUGGAAACAAAAUCAACCUUUGUCAAAUCAAGGAGGGCAAUAAUUUAACAUGCCCAAUCAACAAUUUGUCCCUUCUAACCAAGUAUAUCCUCCUGCCCAACAACCUAUGUCUCAAUUUGUUGCACCCCAACAAAGAAAGUCUUCUUUAGAGGAUACACUUCAAAGUUUCAUUCAGUCAACCCAACAAUCUUUUCAGUCAAAUACUCAAGCUAUUCCGAAGCUUGAACAUCAAUUGGGUCAAUUACCAACUACUGUAGCGGAGAGAGAAAAAGGAAAAUUCCCAAGUCAACCAAUUCCCAAUCCUAAAGGAGUGCAUGAAGUUGAAUUGAGUUCAAGCCAUCAGCAUGAAGAAGCAAAAUCUGUUAUGACCUUAAGAAGAGGAAAGUUAUUUGACAACAAGGUGGAGGUUCAAACAAGGAAGAUAUCUAAGCCUGCUUCUUCAGAUCUAGUUCCAUCACAUGAGUCAUCAACAAAUGAUCCAGAAGAGAGUGGCCCACCAGCUUACAUUCCCAAGGCUCAUUUUCCUCAAAGGUUAGCAAAGGUAAAGAAAAGGACUUCAACAGGUGAGAUUAUGGAAAUCUUCAAGCAGGUAAGUAUAAACAUCCCUUUACUCGAUGCUAUUAAGCAAGUUCCUUCCUAUGCCAAGUUUUUGAAAGAUUUAUGCACUAAAAAGAGAAAUUUGCAUGUCACUAAAAAGACGUUUUUAACUGAACGAACUAGCAAUUUACUUCAAUGUAAAAUGCCACCAAAAUUUAAGGAUCCUGGUUCUCCUACUAUCUCAUGUGUUAUAGGGAACUAAUGUUUUGAUAAAGCAUUAUUGGAUUUAGGUGCUAGUAUUAAUCUCUUGCCUUAUUCUGUUUACAUGCAACUUGGACUAGGUGAGUUACAGCCAACUUCCAUUGUAUUGCAACUUGCUGAUAGGUCAAUAUAAAUACCUCGUGGUAUUAUAGAGGAUGUGUUGAUACAAAUUGACAAAUUUUAUUAUCCUAUUGAUUUUAUUGUUAUUGAUACUCAGCAUGUACAAGAUCCUAAGAAACACACCCUAGUUAUUCUAGGUCGUCCCUUCUUAGCUACAGCUGAUGCUCAUAUUAGUUGCAGGACUGGAAACAUGCAAUUGUCUUUUGGUAACAUGACCAUGGAAUUAAACAUUUUUAAUGUUCCCAAGCAUACACAAGAAGAUGAUGAAGUCAUUGAAGUAGAUAUGAUAGAAGCAUCAAUUGAUGACCCACUUAUUUCUAACCACUGUGACACUCCAUCAAUACCAUGCACAACUGACUCUGAUUUCUCUGUUGAUGUUGAUAGUGGUAUUGAAAAAGUUAAUACUUUACUUGAUUCGACUCUUAUCAUAGAUUUAAUUAAGUGGAAAGAAAAGAUUGAGCCACUUCCUCAUGAAGAGAAAAUUGAACCAUUCAAGUUAGAGCUACUUUCUAAAAAAGUGCAACAUAGGUCACAUUCUGACAUGAAAAAUGUGGUAAGAUCUAAAGUGCUUAAAUUAUUAGAUUUUUCUACUACUUCAUAUAACUCUCAGGAAUGCUUAGAACAAAAGAGAUCAAAGCAGUGCGAUAUUGAGGAGUUUCAUUAACAUCAUCCUUUUAUAGAUAAAAUGCUUCAGUGCUUAAUCAAUUAUGUUUUCUGGUAUUUUCUGUAUAAUUGCUUUGAUUUUCACCAAAUUCUUAUUGAUCCUGGUUGAUUUGUUGUUUGCAUUAAUUAGUUAGUUUAGUAUAGGAUUUUAUUUAUUUUGGUUUUUUUAUUAUUUAUAUUUUUUCUAACAUUUUCUUUUUAGUUGUCAUUUUCUUUUAAGCUUUCCCAACCCAUCCAGGUGUGUCUCUCCAACUUUCAUUUUUAUUAUUUAUAUAUAUAUUUUUUUCUUUCAUUUGUUUGCAUGCUUAUCUUUUGUUUGUGAAACAUUAAGGACAAUGUUCCAAAUAAGUUUGGAGGUGGGAAUAAUGUGUGCUUUGUUUGUUAUUAAAAAAAACCAAAAAAAUUCAAAAAAAAUUCAAAAAUUCAAAAAAAAAUUGUGUUUUUUGUUUUUAUGUGAAAAGCCAAUGAUAAGAAUUUGAUUGACAAUGAAUAUGGUUUUUAGAAAGGGUUGAAUAUUGUCUUAGUUUAUACUUGAUUCUUGUGUUAGUUCCUCUUGAUUGAGAUUCUUUAAACCAUGAGCACUAAUAUCAGUUCUUUCAUGAUUUUGACUUGAAAUUUGAGAUUGAUGUAGCCUGAGUUGAGAAUUUUAGAUAGAGUAAAUGACUGUUUGUCUUGAUUCUUAUCUCCACAAUACAAAAUAGUAUACACAGGCGCCAGAGUUAGAAAUAACUACCUAUAACCCUUAAGAGUGAAGCUAUCCUUGAGUAAUUUGGGCCUAUGUACCACAAGUAUGUAGAGGAUAAUCUACCAUGAGAAGAAGACUACCUUAAGGGGUAGAGUGAAAGCUCCUGACUAUGGUUACAAAAAAAAGGAAAAAGAGGAGAAAAAGAAAAAAAAAUCAAGUGCAUGUGCUAAAAAAAAAUCAAAAGAAAAUGCACAUAAAAGCCUGUGAGAGGAAAAAAUUGGAGAUCAAGAUGAUAAGAUUAGUUUGACCUACUCUUUUCUUUGUUUGAGGCGAAGGUUGUUGAUAUUGAAGAUUUUAGGAAUGAAUUUGAUUGAAUUGAUUUCACACACACACACUAACUACAAGAAUCGAAAGAGAGAUGAAAUUGAUUAUUGAAUUAAAGUUAGAACUUUGCCAAUAUUUGAAAUUUUCUUUGAGCUAUAUAAUUUAUGCAAUCUUUGAGGCUAUUUUCAUAUUUUAUUUAAAGUUUUUUUCUUUUUAUUUUAUUUUAUUUUAUUAUUUUUUUAAAAAAUGAUGUUUGUGGGUAUCAUCACUGAAGCCCUCACGAGACUAUAACUCGUCCACUAGGGCCGCUUAGGGGUUUAAAGGCUUGUUGCAUACGCUAAAUGCAAUCGCGAUUACCUGCGAAAGUGGUUUAGUUAGGAUUUACUUUUUGUUUUGUUAUUUUUAUUUUUGUUUUUAGUUUUAGCUUUGCUCGAGGACUAGCAAAAUCUAAGUUUAGGGGUAUUUGAUGAGCAUAAUUUAUAUACGUAUUUUACCUUUAAUUAUAUAAUUAUUAGUUAUUUUUAAUUAAUUGAAUUAUUUUAUUGCAUAGGGAAUUAAUUGGAGAUUGGGAAAUAAAAAGUGCAUAAAAAAUAACAAGUUUAGAAAAGCAUCAAUUAAAGCCGUGACACAAUUAAGAGUUUAUAGCAUAUGAAACCAAAAGUAAUUUGCACUUAAAAAGAAUUUCAAUUAUUCAAGUGACCUGGACGUGCAUGGCAUUGUAAUGCAUGGAAAACAACUUAAAGGGGCCCACACUUGGCUUUUACAAUUGGAAAAAGGAAUCAUAGUGCAAGCUUAAUUGUUGAUGAGAGCUAAAGUAAAUAAAAGGGCAAGCCUUUUGACUUUAGGAUUUAAGAGGUGGGGCCCAUUUCAAAGAUUAUAAAAGUAAGCUUUUGGCUUUUGGCUUUUGGCUUUUGGCUUUUGGAGAAGGGGAGCCGCGAGAGGAAGAAGAGAGUUGCAGACGCAAGGAUUCGGCACAGAAGAAGAAUAGCGAGAGCAGCAAUAUUUCGGCUUCCCAUGGCUGAAUUUAUUUAUUUUGUUGCUCCCAAUUUAAGUAUGUCUAGCUAAUUUUCUUAUAUUGAGGUUAAGGAUGAAACCCUAUUCAAUGAAAUAAUUAUCUUUUUAUUUAUUUAAUUCCCUAUAUAUGUUCUUUGAUGAUUAUGGUUUUUAUUUCACAUGAUUAAUUGGAUGUUAGUAAAAUCUUUUCAUCAAUUCUGUCAUGCAUUAUUGAUUGUUAGGAUUAAUAUUCGAUUAAAUAUAUGCUUGGAUCUAUAAAGUUUAUACAUGAUUAUCUUUGAUUUUAUGUCUUUCAUUAAAUUGUUUACUUAGAGUGCUUAAGAAAAUUUUGACUCUUUGUUAUUCAAUAUGUUUACAUGGGAUGCUUAGAUGUCAUACUAUUAAGUAGAAAAAGAACCUACAUUAGAUUUAAUUACUUGGGCUUAAUUAUUAUAUUUAUGAGAUGACAUAGAUUGAUUUCGAGUUGUUACUCUAAAAUUAGGGAUUAAUUAAUAAUUAGAUAAUUACUAGUUGCAUAGUUGUGGAUUCUGAAACUUUAGUAAUUCUUAUCUUAUUGAAUUCUCCUUUAUUUUAAUUGCUUCCUUAGUUUAAUUAGUUUGAUUUCUCUUAAAACUCAAUUUGGUCAACUAUGUUAAGAUUAAUAUUAAUUUUGGAUUUAAAUUAGACUUUUCAAUUUAUAACAAUCCCUGUGGGAUCGACCUCGUUACCAUUAUUCUAUUUCUAGAUUCGUGCGCCUGCAAGUAAAUUAAAAUUUUAACAACAAUCGAGGUCACCGAAUUACCUCUUAAUCGAGGUAAUCUGCUUGAGAUCAUUGAAUAACCUCCAAACACCUCCACUUAACUUCUCCUAGAAGUUUAUUUGCUCUUUGUUGAGGGGAGCAGCAUGUGCAUCACUUAUUGCAAAUGUCAUUCAUCUCCCAGAGGCUCUAGAACCGACAUGUCAUAUACAUUCUGAAUAUAUAGACGACAUAUCAAGCGCGAUCAGAAACUUAGAUUUAAGCUUCAUCCUUCAAUAAUUUCUAUCAGUAAACAAGUCAUCUUUAAGACGUAAAGACCCGGCAGAAGGGGCCUGCCGUUUCUGGCUUUCUUGUAAAGCUUCCAGCUCCUAAUAAUAUGAAUAAAAUCAGAUAAAGAGAGUUAUUGUUACAAAUAAUAAGAAUAAGAAAAAUCAAAGUCAGAGAUGAAAGCCUUACCUCAUCGCUUACCUCAUCAAUGGCAAACUCAACAAUAUUUUCUCCAGCAAAGCAAUCUGCAGAUUAUAGAACACUUAGAUAGAAGUUUAUAUACAAUUUUUUAUUUUGAUAAAAGACUAUAAAGACAUCAUGCAAACUUCAUAUCUGUUAGGACACAUACAGUUGGAAUCCAUAAUGGCCUAAAUACAACCGAAUAAAAAAAAAAACUGAAGACAUAAUUCCUUUCUGAGAACAUAUAUCGUAAGGAAGAAGAUUAGAUAUAAAAUGGCUGUAAGAAAUAUUAACCAUUAAUUUGAAUCUAGACUAAAUUAAAACAUUAAAAUUAAAUGUCAUGAUAUCUUUCACGAAAAUACAAAGUAUAUACAAAUCCAAAAGUUUGUAUUUUAAAGUUCAGUGUAAUUUAUUCUCAACAUAAUUUAUAUUAUAAAGUUCAGCAUGAAUCCGAAAGUUUCAAAUGCAUCUUUAUCAAUUGAUAGCCUGCAAUAGAAGCAAUAAUAUAGUAAAAUGUACAGGAUAAAUUAACACCAUAUUUACGUAUAGGAUGAGUUUGGUUGAAGGAUCAAAAUGUGGGAAUGGAAUAUUCUUUUAAACUUCAUCCAAAUCCCUUAUUGAUGCUCUCAAAGAGUAUUGGGAUUAUCUUAUCCUGAGCCCACAAGAUAAUCCCAACUUUAUGAAGAAAGUUAUCUCAUGGGUGGCGAUAGGACUGGUUGGGAAUAAUUUUAAAAAGCAAUUAUUUAUACUUAAUAAUUUCUCAAUAUUAAAAUUAUAUAAAUAUGUACUAAGCAUAAUACAAGUUUUAUAAUAAUAGAAUAUUAUAAAUAAAAAAUAAAACAAAAAAGUUAUUUAUUUAUCAUGAAAAUAAAAUAUUAAAAAGUAAUUAUAUUUGUUUAAAUAUUUUAGUAACAUUAUUAAUUUAAAUUUAUUAUUAACUAAUUUUUUAUUUGAUUAAUAGUAUAAAUAUUGUAAUUUUCGCUUGUUUUAAACACUAAAAUAUAACACAAUUUUAAAUUUAAAUAUAUAAUUUUAUUAUUAUAAAAGUAAUGUUUUUAUUAUUAUAAAAGUAACGUCUAUAUCUUUCCAUUAAACUUAAAAUAAUAUAUGGUCGUUUUUAUUAUCUUUAACCUAAUUUAAUGUUAAAAUUAUAUAUACAUUACAAUCUAAUCCAAUGUUGUAUUAUGCCGAACAUGAAAGGUCAUGAAAUAUAAUCUUAUCUUUAUCAAAUCUUAUUUUAAGUCAUAUAGCUCAAGUCAUAUUCAAUUAUAUCUCAUCUAAUCCUAUCCUAUCCAGCGCACCAAACAAGCAUAUAUAUGUGAUUAAGAACUAAAAAGACUAUAGCUAGAAGCAUUUCUGUUAGAGUUUCUCCUAAAACAUAGAUAUCCAGAGACAAGCUUUUAGAAUGUUAGAAAUAUAAUCACUCAGGGAUGUAAGUCGAGAUAGUUUACGGUACAUUAAGUCUGUAAUACUAACGCUAGCUAGAUUCGAGCCCCUCUCAAAUCCAAAAGCCAUAUAGCUUUCCGAACACAUUUACUGAAUGACCAACAUCAAUUUCUUCUGCAAGUGAUAAAGGACAAAUACAACAAUAUAUGAUAACUAAAAGAACAAAUUCCCUUUCAAGAAGUUCCCAGAUCGCAACUUCAAUGGACCAUUCCAUAAAAGAUUCAUUAUAGGAAACUGCUAUUGCGUUUUUAUGGAAUUAAAAUGAGGAGAAUAUUCAAAGGAACCCUUAAUUCUUUAAUUUCGGAGGAAUUUGGGGAUUAAAUUGCAUGUGUUAUAUAUGCUUCCGUUUUCGUUUCUAUUUCAACUAAAUUGCACAAGUCAAGUCACAUAGCAGCAGAUUUACGUGCAUCCAGUUUUGGAGUGGCAGAGAUAGACCAAUUGUACCGAGGCUAUUAUAUUUAAUGUACUAAUUAAUGUUAUGGAUAAUUAGUGAGCAGCCUAACAAAUAACUUGUAUCACAAUUUACAGCUUCAACUGACAAAAUAAUAAAAUUAAUGACUCUAUGUAUAGCUAAAAACUCUAAUUCAUAAUAAUAAUAAGGGAGUUCAAAUAAAACAGCGGCUAAUAAAAUAGUCGGUCACUACAAGUAAUAUGAAGAAACACCAAGCUUUAGAGUUUGUCAUUUAUUAAUGAUUUCUUCGUCAAAUUAAUCCAGUGAGCUUGUUCAGAGACCCAACUUGUUCAAUAGACGAGGAAAAUUGCUUGAAUUCGAAGAAUUUUGACAGAGAUAAGAAACCUACAAGGAGGGAGGAUUAAUAAUUAGAAAAAGAAUAGUGCAAACUUUUAUGUGUGUGUGUGUCUAUAUAUAUGUAUGUAUGUAUGUAUGUGUGUGUGUGUGUGUGUGUGUGUGUGUGUAUAAACAUGUAUACAUACGGGAGAUUUUGAAACAACCUUACAAUCGAGUGAACAGAAAUAAUUAUUCCCUUGCAGCCUAGCUGGACACCCACUGCAUUUGUUGGUGGUGGAUUCUCUAAAAUAUGUUCCUGGCCUUUGGUUUAUAUGUAGCACUUUUUCACCAUUAUGUUGAUAUGUCUGAAGAGAAAAUAUAUGGAGCACGUUUGUAAGAAAGUGGUCAGAUAUAAAUGUAGUUUCACAAGUCAUAUGCUCAUGCCCGGAUACCGAAUUUGAACCCAGAACAAAAUUGAGUGGCACAGCUCAAUUCGGAUUAAAAUUCGGAUGUUCGUGCGUGAGCAUUAUUAUGCAGUUCAGAGUAGUACUUCGUUGGCAAAUAGCAGAAUUUUUAAGAAAAUAUUCAAUGAAGAAGAAAUAGAAAAGAUUUGAAUUCAAGCUUUGACUUAUUACUUGGAUAUGUCCACAGUCAAUGAACUCGUGAGCCUCAACGAACCNNNNNNNNNNNNNNNNNNNNNNNNNNNNNNNNNNNNNNNNNNNNNNNNNNNNNNNNNNNNNNNNNNNNNNNNNNNNNNNNNNNNNNNNNNNNNNNNNNNNAGCAUUUUUCGCAUAUACUGGUGCAACAAUUCAAACAAUAUAUGUUCCUUUGUCUAACUGCCGUUCCGUGAUUGCAAUUUUGAAAGCUUCUCUCUUGGAAAAAAGUCAAAAGACCUUGGAGCCACUGUGGUUGAUUCCCGGCCUGAAAACACGAUUGAAUACAAUUGAUGUUAUUAACUAAUUAAAAAAAGUAACAACGAUUUCGAGUCCUAAUGAACCAACGAAGUUGGAUUCAAUAUGCUAAUCACCCUUCAUACGAGAUUAUUAAAAGAUCAACGCAACUAUAUGAUAAAAGCUAAAUCUUAAUUCUAAAUCAAAAGGUGAAAAUUAAAGAAAAGACCGACCAUAAUUGUCUAUUGAUGCUGGAGAGUGUAUAUUUUUCUUUGAGAGAGAGGGGAGUGUUGGUAAAGAGAAUUACACAAGAGUCAAAGAGAAUUGAGCUUUUUAUAUAUGUGUGUAUCGUAUUUGUGUCGUAUUGCUUUCCGAAAAAUUCUAGCACUGUUUAGUUAAUUAAUGUAAUAGGUUUCGUCAACAUAAAAAAAAAAAAAAUUAGCACGCGGGGAGAUUAAUUUCUAUUUUAGCAACGAUAAUAGGAAACGUUUGUGUCUUAUUUGGGUUGUGUUUGUGUUUUAAUUAACGCAAAAACUAUUUUGUUGCCUACUCUAGAGUUAGAUCAGGAAACUUAACAAAGAAUAAAAGUGGAAAAAAAAAAUUGUAAUGAGUUAAUGGGAAACAGAAGGUACAUGCGCAAGCUGAUUCGGAUUAAUUUUAAUGGGAAACAAAAGAUACAUCCACAAGUUGAUUUGGAUUAAUUAAUUUUCAACAUCUGUAAUCAAUUAUAGGGUGAGGUCGCUUGAACCUACUAAAUCUCUCUUUAUACCUGAACAAAAAUUAUAUUUAUUUUUAAAUUUUUAAAUUUCAAAAUGUUAGAAUUACUCUUCAUUUUUUUUAACAGGUGUCUGCCAUAACAUCCUGUAAACUAAAUUCUCACGUAUACUCUAACAUGGAUAUUGAUUCUUAAUCUUUCUUAUUAGAUCAUGAUUGCAUUAUUAAUAAACCAUUACUGCAUUUCUUGUAUUAUUGAAGUAAAAAUACCAUGGAGCUCAACCAUAUGCAUAUCUCCGCUGGGCAAUCAAAGUCUUUUAGGCAGGGCUUACAAUUCAUGUCACUAUAAUCCAUGUUCUUCAAUAUGGACGAAGGAUGCCGAGGUCAUUGGAAUCACGAUUUUCAUUUUCAAAGAUUUUAGGAAAAAAAAUUAAUGACUUUGAUGUCUUGUAAAUUUCGUUUGAAGUUUAUAUUUGGAUAGUAAGUUUUGUUUUGUUUUUAAUUGUUGAUGGCAUGUAGAAAAUCUGAAUUUAUCAAUUUUUGACAGACAAACAAUACCAUUCACUUACAAUUGAACAUUGAGAGAAGAAAAAAUGCGAAGCCCUGGGUGCGAAACUGAGGCAUAAAGCGAAAGAGAAAACAUGGUACAAUAGGUAAUUCCAUCAAAAAAACUUUAAUAAUAAGAAAUUUAAAUAAAAAAUAGGUGUAUAAAUAAAAUUGGUGGGUUUUAGUACUCUCACCCUUAUCACGUGUCUUUUGAAGCGCAAGUGGAAUUCAUGCUUUUUUUUUUAACCUUUCCAUUCGCUCAGAUCCCUUCCAUUUCCUUAAUUUGGUCUAGAUCUUCCUUUUCUUCUGAGAAAAGGGAAGAAGAAGGAUCUUCUUUGGCAGACACCUCUUGCUCCUCUUUAAUUUUCCCUUUCAAAGGCUUUUCUAUUUCUACAACUUUUUCAUUCAUUUAUGAGGUUUCUUUCACUUUCAAUUUCUUAGUAGAAAUGGAUGAGGGUAUUCUGCCUAAAUAGUAUAUAUAAACAAGAGAAUACAUCUCUAAAGUUUGGGAAAAUUGUCAUGCAGACCUUAAGGUUAGGCUGGGCAAAUAAACCGACCCGACCCGAUUCGAUCCCAUCCGAUCCAAAUAUUUCAGGUUCGGAUUGAGAGUAAUAUGAUCAUUUUAGGGAAUGUAAUUUCAUUCCCACCUUCCCCUAUGUGAAUGACAAAUCUAGUAAUUAUUUUCAAUUUUAGGUGGGGCCCACCUCUCAUUUAAGCAAGUAAACACAUCAUUCAUUCUCAUUCUUUGAUUCCCAUUCAUAUUCCCAAUAAGUAAACACACCAUAAGUUUUUUUUUACUCUCUCUUAUGACGGGAUAUCAGAAAGAAUAGAACGAUAUGCGUGACCUGGAGAUCAUAACUACUUAUAUAGAUAACUUUUCCUAUUAUUUUUUGUUAUUCCUAUUUCAGCCAUCAUAAAAAUAGAAAUUUUCCUUAAAAAUGAAUUCAAGAUUUGACUUGGAUAGGUUUGCAUUCAACUUUGCAACAUCCUUAUUUUCUUUUGUAAAUAUCUAAAAUAUUAAAAUAAUAUCAUAGGGAUAAGAGGAAAGAGAGCGAGAGAGAGAGAGAGAGAGAUGUAGAUGGUUUUAGAAAUUGAAUGAUGUAAUUUAAAUUAGUUUUUAUUUAUGAAAACCUGCAAGUAGUGACGGACCCAGAAACUAAAAUUAAGGGGGGCUUAGUUCAAAAAAUUUUAUUUAACUUGGGGUUUUUUUUUAAUGUUCACUUGAAUACGUUUUAAGUCUUAUAAACUCAAAUUUUAUUACUUUAUUUUAAAUUCUAAAUAAUAAUGGUAAUAAAUUAUUUAUUUUAAUUGCGUGAAAAUAUCAUUUUUCGAAGUAGUUUCCACAAAAUAUUUAAAAAUGAAAGAAUAAUGUGGCUAUUGGGAUUUGAACCAAAACUUUAAAACCAUCAAAUAACACUCUUACUAUUGAACUACAAGUCUUUUAAUAUAUGAAAAAUGUAUCUAAUUUUUUUUUAUGUAACAUUUUCAAAAUGAGCUUGAGAUACAUUUAAAAAAAAAUUAAUGAUCCAGAAGGGGCUGAAGCCCCUCUUGGGUCUUAAUUGGGUCCGCCCAUGCCUACAAGUGUCGAUGUUUAUGAAAUUUGUCAAGGGGCAAGCAAUAUUUUUUGCAUACAUUGUUGCAACAGUGCAAACAAUAUAUGUUUGUUUGGAGACUUUCAUGUCUUCGGCAAAAGUUGUAGAAUUUUUCUUGUAGAAGAAAUUGGAGCCAAUCUGCCAUUGAUAGAUUCGCUACCUGAAAACAUGUUUAAAAAAUACAAUUGUAUUAAUUAAUAAAAAUAACCAAAAAAGCCGGAGUUCUUAUAGUAUGACAAAAAGAUCACUAAAUUCUGUUUAUUUUUAAAAAGGUUAUACGGAUCCUUUCAUAAAUACAUAGGUUAUUUUUUCUAUUAAAAAAUGAUCGCAUACACUCAAAUAUUUUGUUCAAAAGUAGGGGUGACAAAAAAGCCCGGGCCGGCCAGCCCAGGCCCGCGGGCUUAGGCCCGGCCCUCACACAUGAGGGCCUGGACAAGGGCCCAAGAAAAAAAGCCCGGAAAAAGCCCAGGCCCACUACGUUUUUUAAAAAAUAAUUUUAUAAAUUAGAAUAAUAUAAUUAAAAUUAAAAAUUAAUUUAAAAAUAAAAAAGAAAACUUAAAUUCUUAACUUAUAAAUCAAUUAUGAUUCAAAAAAGCUAAAAUUAUGAUACUAAAUUAAAUUCUCUCUUUUGUGUCAAUUAAUUAAGAGAACAUUUGAAUUAGAAAAUCCAGUAUUAAAGAAAAUUAAAGUUAUGAGCUUUUAUUUGCUUUAUUUAUUAUUUUAAUUUGAAAUAUUCAUUUUCUUUAAUUUAUCUAUGAUUGUAAUAACCUGUUGAUCAUUAAUUUAUUUUAAAUUUACAAUAAUUAAAAAAAUUUAAAAUAAAUAAAUAAAGCCCAAGUCCGGCCCGAGCCUGGCCCAGGCCCGCAUGCUUAACUGACAGUGGGCCUGGAUUUGAGGUUCAAAAAGCCCGGCCCAGGCCCGCUGUUUGCCAUCCCUAUUCAAAAGAGAGGUCAAUGUAACCAUUUAUGAAAACAACGAAAUUUCAAACUAGAGGAUGUUGUAGUUAUUUUUGUAACAAAAAAAAAAUUAAGAAACAAGAAGGCAAAAAGAAAUAACGAACCAUCUUGAUGUUGGAGAGAUCUAGUAUAUUUUCGAGGGAGAGGAGUAAGGAGAAUGACACAAGAGGGACAAAGAGAACUUGAGCUAUUUAAUUACAGAUGAGCGUCUCGUAUUGGUAUCCUAAAAUUGUCAAAUUAAUGCAGUGGGAUUCUGUUAGGUGUGCACAAAUAUUAAUGAUUAGUGUUAAUAUAUUUUAUGAGACCUCAUAAAUUCUCAAGAUAUUUGUAUUACAUUUAAUUAAUUAGUCUAAUACAAUUUAAUUUUGGGAAUGAGAUUAGUAUUAUAUGCUAUUUAAAUUUAAAUAAAAUUUAAAUAUAUGCUAUUUAAAUUAAGUAAAACUAUAAAAAUAAAUUAGUUAAGGCUAUCAACACUGAUGUUUGCCCCGAGUCAAACCGGGAAACUAAUGUAAACGACGCCGUUUCGUGAAUUUUUUUUCUUGUUUUAAUCGACAUCAAAACUACGCCGUUUGCUGUGUUUCUCAUCUCUGUAUCAUUUAUUUCACACAAGUCUUGGAAACUGAAAUCGAUUCAGCAUUCACCAAGAUACCAAUUCCAUGCAUAUCAGAUUCUACAAUUUGAGAGGAAAAUAUGCUUUAAGAAUAUAGAAGAAGUUCUCACAAGCCUUUCCAAACAAUUACGCCAAGAUAAAGAACCUAGUAGUGCCUUGCCUGGAAGAUAACGCCUAGUCAACAAUCGAAGAUACUGGGACAACCAAAUGAAAUGGACUAAAAUUAAUCCAAGAACCAUCAACUAAUCGGAAUCUUGCAUCGAUUUAAUUCGCCAAGUACUUCCCGGUCACUUAAGCCAACAAGAAAUUAGGCUAAGCCUUCAAGAAACAAAGCCGCUUGAAUGAACACUCAAGGCACCAACAAUUUCAGCAAUCACACUCUUUCUCAACCUAUUAGCAUCCACAAACACACUCACCAUAUCAUCCAUCUCCUCUUUUAUUGCCUCCCCAAUAACCCCUUUGAAUACCUCAUCACUCUUUCCCUUAAAAGGCACUCAAUCCUCUGUUAUCCUCACUUUGCACCGUCUUGAUUCUACCAAUCAACGCUGGCACCAUCAACCUUAACCCACCUUCAAUUUGCUCAAUCUGUGACAUUAAACUCUUGGACACAUUACUCCAUGCCAUGAAAGAGGAAUGAGAUUUCAAGACUAUUACGCCAAGACGGGAAAAGAAGUUCGGGUAGUUUUCUCGGGUGGCCGCGUUGUUUAAUGCGUCGUAAUAGGAAAGAAAAUGGCUGGCGAGGAGGUUGACAUGAGAGUAGAGAAAGGUUUGCGAUGAAGGAACAAAUUUGUGAAUGAGAGAGAGGGAGUAGGGUUUUUUGCAGAGCGUUGCACCCGUUUGUGUAGUAAUCUUUGAAGGCAAGUGUUUGCUAUUUCUUGCGAGAGAAAAGAGGAGCAAAGGAUCUUGGCAUCUUUGAAGAAGAUGAUGAUUUGAGCUUGAUGUGAGCAAAUUCGUUGUUUCUUCUUAAGCAGUCAAAGAAAAGGAGACAUGAAAGGGGAAAGGGAAAGACAAGAAACGAAGAAGUGAAGGGAAAUAUUUGGCAAGCAAAAUGCGCCGUUUUUGGCUUUAGUUUUGAAAUGGUGCGUUUUGAGUUUUUGGGGUUUGACUCGAGGCAACUAUCAUUUUCCUAAGGCUGAUGAUUAAUUUAAUUUAUAUAAUUAAAAUGGAAUUUGAUUAAAUCAUUUGUUUUUGUACUAAGGGUUAUAAUUGAAAUAAAAAUAAUUGUUGAAAUUAAAUUACACAUAAUUAAAAUUAAAAUAACUAAAAUUAAAAAUAACACCAAAUUUAUUGAUGGUUGUCGAAGCCAGCAAAAAUAAAUACCUACUCUAAAUAAAUUGUGUAUAGUGAUUGAGCAAGGUCGUGUCCACAGAGAUUGGUAAUUAUUUAAAUCAUUUUAAAAUGUAAAACGUAAAAUGGGGGAAUUGUUGACAAUAAUAAAAAUCAAAUUAAAAUAACAAGAAUGCAAAUUAAAGUUGUAAUUCAAAUUGGAGAAAGCUCUGGUUGAAGGAAUUAACUCAGCUUGAUUCGACUACUGAUCGUUUAUUCAAAUAUAAAUUAUUACUACUUAUGAAUAGACCGGUUAUAGUUACUGAGACCCUCUAAUAGCCAAUCUCUCCUUAACUAAUCGAUAACCAAGGUAUGACCGUUGGUUAUUUCCCUAAUGAAUAGACAACCCUAGAUACGAUCAUAGGAUUUAAUCAAUUGACAGCCUGAAAAACCAAAGAGACCCAAAUCCUAAUCAACAAACACAUACGAUGGUUCAUUUAAAUUAGAUUGUUUAUUCUCACAACACAACUCUCUGCUAUGUUAUUUGUCACAAACAUUAAAAUCUUCAUACGAUGAAUCUUUUAAUUGACAAUAGAUUAAGUUGAUAAUUAAAUAGUGGUCAGUUAUCUAAUUAACAAACAUAAUCAUGAUAAUAAUUCAGAGAAUAAACAAAUACCCAAAAAGUAAUAAAACAAUUAAAGCAUAAGAAAUAUCUCACAGUAGUGAUGAAUCAAAGCUUCAUUAACCUUCAACCAGAAUAAUAGGUUUAGUUCUUCAUAGAGAGAAGAGAAAAAUUUAGAUAUAGGGUUUCUUUCUUUUCACGAAAGUCUCCCUUUUUCACAAUAGAUUCCUCCCUUAAAUACCCUAUCUUUCUUUUCCUCUAGAAUUCUAUUUAAAAUAAAAUACUAAUAUCUGAAAUAUUAAAUUCGUAAUUAUAAAAAUAACAAAAAAUACAAAACAUGUUAAACUAAAAACUGCAGGUCCGUAGUUGACAGCACGCGCCCACGCCUUAUCAACAAAGUUCUUCCGACGCUCAUAAUUUCUCCAAGAGAACUAUCAUCCUUAAACAUCAUCUUGUAGCUCAAAUUUAUCACCAAUCAGUAGAAUUGCACCUACAAAAGUAAAACACAAGUAAAUCACUAUUAUUAAGUACAAAACAUUGAUAUUAAGGGAAGUAAACAAUGCAAAACUAGUGCAUAAAUUGCACUCUAACAUUUAUUCAUGAAUUAAAAUUCAAACUUCUAAAAUAAAUUAUAAGAAAAUUAAAUACAAACAAAAAGAAAUUUUUUUUGGAAACUAAGUCUUCCGUUUCUCACCCCUCUAGUGCAUACUACCUCCCGCACCUUCCUUUAAUUCUCCUCUCCUUUCCUAAUUUUUUUUUCUUAUUUGUUUCUCAUGUCCUGGCCUCGUCGCUCCCAUUUCCUUUUAUAGGAAAAGAAAGACUCAUCCUCCUUUUUAUUUUAUUAUUAUUUAAUUUUUUUAUUAUUUUUUAACAUUGCAAAAGAUAAGCAAGUGGCAGGUGGCUGCUACUACUGAUUUUGGCAAAGUGGCUCCACAUUUUUUUAAAAAUUUUAUUAUUAUUUUUUUUAAAUUAAUACAAUCCAACCUCUUUGUCUCCUGCAUUUGGUUUUAAUUCCUCCUAUAUAGAAAUGAGGUAAAAUUAACGUAAUGCAAUUUAAUUUAACAUAAAAUUAUAUUAGGGAAGUAUUAAGCUAAUUUAUAGGUUAUGAGUGCAUUAAUAAACACUAUAAGUGAAAAAAUAAAAAUUUUAACUUUUAUUGAAUGUAUACUUUCUAGAGUUAAUCAAACAGCAACAUCACAACUUCGCCCUUUUCAAUCUUUAUUCUUGAAUUUCCCCUCAGGGCAGUCUUUCUUAAAUUGUCCUUUAUGGCAUUGGGAAUAUUUCAAGUUCUUUGGUUUUGAUUUAGACCUUUUUUUUCUUACUUGUUGAACUCUUUUUUUUUUUUUUUUCUAAUCUUCUCCUUGCAACCAGACUCUUUGGUUCUUUCACUUCUUUUUGUAUGACUUGCUUUGAAUUCAUAGUCUCUUUUACAUUUGCCAUUGUGCGUGUUUGUCUUCCAUACAUCAAUGUAUCGACCAGAUGCUCAUAUGAGCUCGGUAGAGAGCACAACAUAAUCAUGACUUUAUCUUCACCAACAAUUUUACAUUUAUGUCUUUAAGAUCUAGGAUGAUCUUGUUAAAGGCAUCAAUAUGAUCUGAAAUUGAUGAUCUUCCUCCAUUUGUAGAGUAUAUAGUUUUUUUCUUGGUCUCAAGCCUCUUUGUCAUGAUUUGUUGGUUUAUGUGUCUUCAAGUUUCUUCCACCACCCAACUGCUUUCUUUUCUCCACCAACUUCUCUCAAAACAUUAUCACUAAGACUCAAAAUAAUGGCACUAUGUGCCCUAUAUAUCAUGAAUAUUAGGUAGAUCAUCAUCAUAUACUUUUCUUAUUUUUCUUGGAUGUAGAUGAUUCUCUAAGAGCCUCUUCAAGUCCUUGAUGUACUAAAAGUGGUCCAUCUUGAGCCUCCAGAGAUAAAAGUCAUUUUCCUUGUAAACUUAUCCACUUCUAAUUUGAAAUUGAUAUCUUAAUAAUGCAAAACUUAAGAAAGAAGCUCUGAUACCAAUUUGUUAUGGUCGAACCAACAAAGUGCUGACUUCAAGAGUCACCCCCAAGAUCCAAUCUCAAACUUAACAUCCUUAAAUUAAGUAUCUAAUUAUUUUGUCAAAGUGUCUAGCUUCUGUCACAAACCUAGCAAGAAUUAAGCACAAGAGAGCAAUCAGAAUCAAAGAAAGAAAACAAGGAAUUAUAGUGGUUUGACUUUGAGCAGUCUACAUCCACUGUGAAUACCAAAUAGAGAUUUCACUAUUAUUUGAAUAUUCAAAAUACAAGAUUGAUAAAAAUGUAAUUGAACAACAUGAGCCUAAAAACAAAGCUUGAGAGCUUUUAUACAUAGAAAGAAUCAUCUAGAAUUCACCCCCAACUGCCAGCUCAAGUAUGGUUCUGAGUUUGUUACAAAACCCAGAAAGUUCCUGUUGAUAACAGCCUCUUGAAUAGUUGUAAGACAUGGGCAAAACUUUCAUUCAAUCUGACCUUCAAAAUGAUAAUACUAGCAGUUGUAACAAGUAAGUGAAACGACCCGUCCCGCACCCCUAGCGUGAGUCUAUCUAUACUCGUAUAAUCGAAUCGAUAAUAAUUAUGAUAUCUAAGAAUUCUAUCAAAAAUUCGACAGAAUCUCCCCUAUAAAUAAAACAUGCCCAAACCUGCAAUUUACAAAACAAUACUCCAAAAAUAAUUCAAUAUCCAUCCAUCCUUCAUAACCAACUUCUCAAGUUAACAUACCAAAUAUCACCCAAAUCAUUCUAAUAUUAAAACACAAUAGUUAUCCUUAAUUACAAAAUAUAACAAAUAAAUAUAAUUCGUAUUAUCCCAAAUACCAAAAUAUUAAAUCUACGACUCCUAGCACCAUCACGUGGCCACAAUUUCAAAUCUAACUAUCGUUGCUGGGUCGACUGAUGUACCUAUAAAUCUCAUGUGGGGGGAAAAAUAUAAUAAAAACGGGGUGAGUAUAAAACUCAGUGAGCUCAGUGAGUGGAUAUUAGUUUUUAAAAAAUAAAUUUAUUUAAAAUGAUUUAAUCUUUCUCAAAUCAAUUUCAUCAAAAUAUCAUAAGAACUUAUAUAAACAUAUUCAAUUCAAAUCAUGCACUGAAAUAACUAUAUUACAUAAAUCUGCAUAAAAUCAAUAAAAUCAUAAUACUUAUAAUAUCAAAUAAUGAAUACCAAAAACUAUCACCAAACAAGUACCCAGGAAAAUGAUCUCAUCAUAUCCAGACCUCGACGGACGGGCAAUCAGGGAACCAUCAUGCCCCGGAGCUACAACGGAUAGACGGGAAAAUCUCAUCUCACUUCAAACGGCGGCGUUCCAGUCGUUUUCCGGAAACUAGGACUGCUGGGUUAUGACGGCCGGCUUCCAAGCUUCCGAUCGGUACCAAGCUCGGCCGGUGAGGUGGUCGGAAUCGCGAGAUCCGUCCGGGUCAAGGUCGCGGGUUGGGUCGGAUUCGCGGGUCAAACCGGAUCAAUCACUCUCUCUCCUUCUCUCUCACGUGCCCUUCUUUCUUUCCUUUUUUGGAAACCAGCUUCCCACUUUCCAUUUAUAGAAACCAACUUUUUUUUUUUUAAUUUGCACUUAAGCUUAAUACAAAUUAAGCUAAUUACCGAACCCGUGACGAAAAUAAAAUCCGACUACCCGAGUUUUUAAUCACUCUCAAUUUGUCUUGAUUUAAUGUUGUGACAAUUUUAAAAUUAAUAUCGAAGAGAAAAAAUUAAAUCAUACACUUAAUUAGGAAAAAUCAAAUUACAUAUGUUACAGUAAGUAACUCACGUGUUGAGGAGAUUUGCUCGAGGUUAAAAGAAUCACCUCUCAAUUUAGUUGAGAACUAAAAUUACUUCAUAAUCAAGUUGGUAUGAUCGAGGUCACCGAAUUACCUCUUAAUCGAGAUAGUCUGCUUGAGAUCACUGAAUAACCUCCAAACACCUCCACUUAACUUCUCCUAGAAGUUUCUUUUCUCUUUGUUGAGGCGAGCAGCAUGGGCAUCACUUACUGCAAAUGUCAUACAUCUCCCAGAGGCUCUAGAACCGACAUGUCAUAUACAUUCUGAAUAUAUAGACGACAUAUCAAGCACGAUCAGAAACUUAGAUUUGAGCUUCAUCCUUCAAUAAUUUCUAUCAGUGAACGAGUCAUCUUUAAGACGUAAAGACCCGGCAGAAGGGGCCUGCCGUUUCUGGCUUUCUUGUAAAGCUUCCAUCUCCUGAUAAUAUGAAUAAAAUCAGAUAAAGAGAGUUAUUGUUACUAAUAAUAAGAAUAAGAAAAAUCAAAGUCAGCGAUGAAAGCCUUACCUCAUCGCUUACCUCAUCAAUGGCAAACUCAACAAUAUUUUCUCCAGCAAAGCAAUCUGCAGAUUAUAGAACACUUAGAUAGAAGUUUAUAUACAAUUUUUUAUUUUGAUAAAAGACUAUAAAGACAUCAUGCAAACUUCAUAUCUGUUAGGACACAUACAGUUGGAAUCCAUAAUGGCCUAAAUACAACCGAAUAAAAAAAAAAAAAACUGCAGACAUAAUUCCUUUCUGAGAACAUAUAUUGUAAGGAAGAAGAUUAGAUAUAAAAUGGCUGUAAGAAAUAAUUAACCAUUAAUUUGAAUCUAGACUAAAUUAAAACAUUAAAAUUAAAUGUCAUGAUAUCUUUCACGAAAAUACAAAGUAUAUACAAAUCCAAAAGUUUGUAUUUUAAAGUUCAGUGUUAUUUAUUCUCAACAUAAUUUAUAUUAUAAAGUUCAGCAUGAAUCCGAAAGUUUCAAAUACAUCUUUAUCAAUUGAUAGCCUGCAAUAGAAGCAAUAAUAUAGUAAAAUGUACAGGAUAAAUUAACACCAUAUUUACGUAUAGGAUGAGUUUGGUUGAAGGAUCAAAAUGCGGGAAUGGAAUAUUCUUUUAAACUUCAUCCAAAUCCCUUAUUGAUGCUCUCAAAGAGUAUUGGGAUUAUCUUAUCCUGAGCCCACAAGAUAAUCCCAACUUUAUGAAGAAAGUUAUCUCAUGGGUGGCCAUAGGACUAGUUGCCGUUGGGAAUAAUUUUAAAAAGCAAUUAUUUAUACUUAAUAGUUUCUCAAUAUUAAAAUUAUAUAAAUAUGUACGAAGCAUAAUACAAGUUUUAUAAUAAUAGAAUAUUAUAAAUAAAAAAUAAAACGAAAAAGUUAUUUAUUUAUCAUGAAAAUAAAAUAUUAAAAAGUAAUUAUAUUUGUUUAAAUAUUUUAGUAACAUUAUUAAUUUAAAUUUAUUAUUAACUGAUUUUUUAUUUGAUUAAUAGUAUAAAUAUUGUAAUUUUCGCUUGUUUUAAACACUAAAAUAUAACACAAUUUUAAAUUUAAAUAUAUAAUUUUAUUAUUAUAAAAGUAAUGUUUUUAUUAUUAUAAAAGUAACGUCUAUAUCUUUCCAUUAAACUUAAAAUAAUAUAUGGUCAUUUUUAUUAUCUUUAACCUAAUUUAAUGUUAAAAUUAUAUAUAAAUUACAAUUUAAUCCAAUGUUGUAUUAUGCCAAACAUGAGAGGUCACGAAAUAUAAUCUUAUCUUUAUCACAUCUUAUUUUAAGUCAUAUAUCUCAAGUCAUAUUCAAUUAUAUCUCAUCUCAUCCUAUACUAUCCAGCGCACCAAACAAGCAUAUAUAUGUGAUUAAGAACUAAAAAGACUAUAGCUAGAAGCAUUUCUGUUAGAGUUUCUCCUAAAACAUAGAUAUCCAGAGACAAGCUUUUAGAAUGUUAGAAAUAUAAUCACUCAGGGAUGUAAGUCGAGAUAGUUUACGGUACAUCAAGUCUCUAAUACUAACGCUAGCUAGAUUCGAGCCCCUCUCAAAUCCAAAAGCCAUAUAGCUUUCCGAACACAUUUACCGAAUGACCACCAUCAAUUUCUUCUGCAAGUGAUAAAGGACAAAUACAACAAUAUAUGAUAACUAAAAGAAAAAAUUCCCUUUCAAGAAGUUACCAGAUCGCAACUUCAAUGGACCAUUCCAUAAAAGAUUCAAUUAUAGGAAACUGCUAUUGCGUUUUUAUGGAAUUAAAAUGAGGAGAAUAUUCAAAGGAACCCUUAAUUCUUUAAUUUCGGAGGAAUUUGGGGAUUAAAUUGCAUGUGUUAUAUAUGCUUCAAGUCACAUGGCAGCAGAUUUACGUGCAUCCAGUUUUGGAGUGGCAGAGAUAGACCAAUUGUACCAAGGCUAUUAUAUUUAAUGUACUAAUUAAUGUUAUGGAUAAUUAGUGAGCAGCCUAACAAAUAACUUGUAUCACAAUUUACAGGUUCAACUGACAAAAUAAUAAAAUUAAUGACUCUAUGUACAGCUAAAAUCUCUAAUUCAUAAUAAUAAUAAGGGAGUUCAAAUAAAACAACGGCUAUAAAAUAGUCUUUCACUACAAAUAAUAUGAAGAAACACCAAGCUUUAGAGUUUGUCAUUUAUUAAUGAUUUCUUCGUCAAAUUAAUCCAGCGAGCUUGUUCAGAGACCCAACUUGUUCAAUAGACGAGGAAAAUUGCUUGAAUUCGAAGAAUUUUGACAGAGAUAAGAAACCUACAAGGAGGGAGGAUUAAUAAUUAGAAAAAGAAUAGUGCAAACUUUUAUGUGUGUGUGUGUCUAUAUAUAUAUAUGUAUGUAUGUAUGUGUGUGUGUGUGUGUGUGUGUGUAUAAACAUGUAUACAUACGGGAGAUUUUGAAACAACCUUACAAUCGAGUGAACAGAAAUAAUUAUUCCCUUGCAGCCUAGCUGGACACCCACUGCAUUUGUUGGUGGUGGAUUCUCUAAAAUAUGUUCCUGGCCUUUGGUUUAUAUGUAGCACUUUUUCACCAUUAUGUUGAUAUGUCUGAAGAGAAAAUAUAUGGAGCACGUUUGUAAGAAAGUGGUCAGAUAUAAAUGUAGUUUCACAAGUCAUAUGCUCAUGCCCGGAUACCGAAUUUGAACCCAGAACAAAAUUGUGUGGCAUAGCUCAAUUCGGAUUAAAAUUCGGAUGUUCGUGCGUGAGCAUUAUUAUGCAGUUCAGAGUAGUACUUCGUUGGCAAAUAGCAGAAUUUUUAAGAAAAUAUUCAAUGAAGAAGAAAUAGAAAAGAUUUGAAUUCAAGCUUUGACUUAUUACUUGGAUAUGUCCACAGUCAAUGAACUCGUGAGCCUCAACGAACCGUACAACGCUCUUUUCGCUAUAUGUGCGGAUCUGAAAUAUUAAAAAUUUACAAAACAAAUACAUAAGUAAAUAAAUAAAUCAUGCAGAUAGUAUUAAAAAUUUAUGAUGUAAUAAAUUUAAUUCAAAUAAUAUUUAUUUAUUCAUGUGAACCUUUAAGAGGUGAUGAGUACUUUCGUGAUUGGACAAGCAUUUUUCGCAUAUACUGGUGCAACAAUUCAAACAAUAUAUGUUCCUUUGUCUAACUGCCGUUCCGUGAUUGCAAUAUUGAAAGCUUCUCUCUUGGAAAAGAGUCAAAAGACCUUGGAGCCACUGUGGUUGAUUCCCGGCCUGAAAACACGAUUGAAUACAAUUGAUGUUAUUAACUAACUAAAAAAAGUAACAACGAUUUCGAGUCCUAAUGAACCAACGAAGUUGGAUUCAAUAUGCUAAUCACCCUUCAUACGAGAUUAUUAAAAGAUCAACGCAACUAUAUGAUAAAAGCUAAAUCUUAAUUCUAAAUCAAAAGGUGAAAAUUAAAGAAAAGACCGACCAUAAUUGUCUAUUGAUGCUGGAGAGUGUAUAUUUUUCUUUGAGAGAGAGGGGAGUGUUGGUAAAGAGAAUUACACAAGAGUCAAAGAGAAUUGAGCUUUUUAUAUAUGUGUGUAUCGUAUUUGUGUCGUAUUGCUUUCCGAAAAAUUCUAGCACUGUUUAGUUAAUUAAUGUAAGAGGUUUCGUCAACAUAAAAAAAAAAAAAAUUAGCACGCGGGGAGAUUAAUUUCUAUUUUAGCAACGAUAAUAGGAAACGUUUGUGUCUUAUUUGGGUUGUGUUUGUGUUUUAAUUAACGCAAAAACUAUUUUGUUGCCUACUCUAGAAUUAGAUCAGGAAACUUAACAAAGAAUAAAAGUGGAAAAAAAAAAUUGUAAUGAGUUAAUGGGAAACAGAAGGUACAUGCGCAAGCUGAUUCGGAUUAAUUUUAAUGGGAAACAAAAGAUACAUCCACAAGUUGAUUUGGAUUAAUUAAUUUUCAACAUCUGUAAUCAAUUAUAGGGUGAGGUCGCUUGAACCUACUAAAUCUCUCUUUAUACCUGAACAAAAAUUAUAUUUAUUUUUAAAUUUUUAAAUUUCAAAAUGUUAGAAUUACUCUUCAUUUUUUUUAACAGGUGUCUGCCAUAACAUCCUGUAAACUAAAUUCUCACGUAUACUCUAACAUGGAUAUUGAUUCUUAAUCUUUCUUAUUAGAUCAUGAUUGCAUUAUUAAUAAACCCUUACUGCAUUUCUUGUAUUAUUGAAGUAAAAAUAUCAUGGAGCUCAACCAUAUGCAUGUCUCCGCUGGGCAAUCAAAGUCUUUUAGGCAGGGCUUACAAUUCAUGUCACUAUAAUCCAUGUUCUUCAAUAUGGACGAAGGAUGCCGAGGUCAUUGGAAUCAUGAUUUUCAUUUUCAAAGAUUUUAGGAAAAAAAUUAAUGACUUUGAUGUCUUGUAAAUUUCGUUUGAAGUUUAUAUUUGGAUAGUAAGUUUUGCUUUGUUUUUAAUUGUUGAUGGCAUGUAGAAAAUCUGAAUUUAUCAAUUUUUGACAGACAAACAUUACCAUUCACUUACAAUUGAACAUUGAGAGAAGAAAAAAUGCAAAGCCCUGGGUGCGAAUCUGAGGCAUAAAGCGAAAGCGAAAACAAGGUACAAUAGGUAAUUCCAUCAAAAAAACUUUAAUAAUAAGAAAUUUAAAUAAAAAAUAGGUGUAUAAAUAAAAUUGGUGGGUUUUAGUACUCUCACCCUUAUCACGUGUCUUUUGAAGCGCAAGUGGAAUUCAUGCUUUUUUUUUUUUAACCUUUCCAUUCGCUCAGAUCCCUUCCAUUUCCUUAAUUUGGUCUGGAUCUUCCUUUUCUUCUGAGAAAAGGGAAGAAGAAGGAUCUUCUUUGGCAGACACCUCCUGCUCCUCUUUAAUUUUCCCUUUCAAAGGCUUUUCUAUUUCUACAACUUUUUCAUUCAUUUAUGAGGUUUCUUUCACUUUCAAUUUCUUAGUAGAAAUGGAUGAGGGUAUUCUGCCUAAAUAGUAUAUAUAAACAAGAGAAUACAUCUCUAAAGUUUGGGAAAAUUGUCACGUAGACCUUAAGGUUAGGCUGGGCAAAUAAACCGACCCGACCCGAUUCGAUCCCAUCCGAUCCAAAUAUUUCAGGUUCGGAUUGGAUGCAGAUUGACAGUGAAACCCGAUCGAAUUGAUUUUUUCAAACCCGAUCAGAUUAUGUUCGGAUCGAAUCAAACCCCAUCCGAUCCGAAAAUCUGAUCGGAUUACAAAUAAAAAAAAAAUAAAGAAUUACAAAACCCUAAUUUAUCAUUUCUCAACACCACACGAGCACCAGCCACCGGCACCAGCCCACCACUAUCCAAAAGUCCAAUUCCAAAGGACCAAUCUCAUCGGCACCAGUCACCACUGUUGAACCGCCAUUGUCCGCUGCAAAAGUAAACCAGCAAAUCGCACCAAGUCAUGAGCCUUAGCCUUCGUUUUGAUUGCGUCGGCUGGCACCAAGCACAAUAGAUCCAUGGUCGCGCCAGCCGCCACCAAGCACACAAUCCGUGGUCGCGCCAAGCAGCCAUGUUCGCAACCUCUCUCUACUGCUGAAAUGGCAUUUUCUGAUGAAGCCAUUUACAGGUGAUGUUAAUAAUAUUGAGUUGUGAAAGUUAGCCAAUUUUUUUUAGGCUUGGGAUUUGUUUUAUUGACAUGAGGGAUGCUGUAAAGUCGUUUGAAUUGGUGAAAGGGAUGGGAAGUUGAAUUGUGAUUUUUAUUGUUCUCUUAAUUUGUUGAAAUGAUUGUUCAAUUUCGUGUGUUCAAAUUGGAGAUAUAAAGUUCCCCGAUUGAUUCUAACUUCAGUUAUCAAAUCCAAGAUGUGAUUUAAAAAAGAAAAUUACAAUUCUCUCUACAACCUAAGCAAUACCACCCAAAUCCGAUCCGAUCCGUUCUUCACCCGAUUUUUUGAUCCGAUCCGAUCCGAACCGAACAUAUUCGGAUCGGAUCACAUAUUCGGGUUGAGUUCGGAUGACAUUUUUCUCAAUCCAACCAACCCGAAAUCCGAUCGGGUUGACCUGAACCCGAUCCGAAUUCGAUUUUGCCCACCCCUACCCUAAGGUUUCAACAAAAGCUAACAAGAUCACUUUUUUACCAUAGUACUUGGCUCUAUUAAUCCCAAAAAUUGACUAAAUGUUUUAUAAAAAUAGAAAUGCAAUAUUAAGAUAAUGUAAUAAUACAUAUAUUUUAAAAUAAUUUCAACAUUAAAAUUUUGUUUAAUAUUUUAAAUCUAUUAGACAUUUUAUUAUAUUAAAUUAAAUUUUAUAACAAAUGGAAACAUUAUUGUCUAUUAAAAUAAGCAUAUAAUAAAUUAAUUUUUUAAUAUUAUAAAAAAUAAUUUUAAUAUUAUUAAUACAUGAGACAUAUUUUAUUAAUUGUGAAAUUUAUUUAACCCAAGUAUUUAUUUAAAAUCUUUAUGCUAAAUACAAAUGUAUUAUUAAAAAAAAUUACAUUUUAAAAUUAUUUUAAAUAUUAAAAUUGUCAAUAUCACUAGUCUACUAGAUAGUUUAAAUUAUUUGUAUUAUACUUUUUGAACUCAUUAAACAUUUUAAGCUAUUUUUUAUUUACUAUAUUUCAAAGAGGUCCCUGAAUGAUGUAGUAAAAAACUUAUGGCAUCAAUAAUGUUUCAACUGUGUACCAUUAGAUUUAAUUAACGGUAAACAAUAUUUGUAUUAAAGAAAGAGACAUAUAAAAAUUUUUAACCCUCCUUUAAAUUUAUAAUGUGAUAACGUUUUUGAACAUAAAUGUUUCAAAAUAUAUCAUCUAAUAGUUAUCUAACAAAAAUCAAAUAAAUAAGUUGUAAUUAUAAAACUUAUAUAUGGUGUAACACUAAUAAAUGACACAACUAAGUACGUAUAUUUCAGUAAAUGUCAUAAAUUGCAUCAAUAAGCUCAUGGAUGAAAUUGUUUGUAAUCUAAAAUUACUAGAUCACUCAUGUUUUAAUAAAAGUUACAUUCCAUAUUAAAAUACCCGCUAUAUACUACUAUAGACCAUUAUAUAAUUAAUCAACAAGUAUAGAUUAUUUUUAACACCCAUUUAGUACAUGAUAAUUUCAUUGCGGGUUAGAACACUAUCAUCUAAUUAUUUUUUUCCUAAUAUACCUCCUUUUCUUUUCAUUUUUCUCAAAUAAAAAUAAUUUAUUUUUUCCAAUUUUUUAAAAGAAAAGGAAAAUCAGAAGAGUUUUAAUUCUUUUUCUAAAUGGAAUUGAUGAGUGGUACAAAGGACAAGUGCUGUAAUCAAUGGAGUUUUGGUGAAGAGUAGCCUUCAAAUAUCAUAAUUGACGAAGGAAAUUAUACCCCCAAAAUUGGGUUUACGGGAUUUUGAACACUUGCUCUCACACAGUGUAAAAGCAAGUGUUCGCCAAUUAGGCCAAAGAACUAUUUACUUUAAUUAAGGAGAAAGAAAAAUGUUAAAUAAACUAAAUAUUGUAAGAUGGUUUCAUGGGGUGAGGAAGGAACUUUCUAAAUAUCAUAACUUGGGCUAUAGGUACCCAUUUUGGCCAUAUAAUAUAAUUUCAAAGUUUGCGAUGAGAUGAACCAAAUUUAAGACCUUGUUUAUGCCAUUCUGCCACAUGAUCGAGCCAAAAUUCUAUUUCUUUCCUUUCUAUUUUAUAAUAUUAAGUUAUUAUUUUUAUUUCUCUAGUUAAUUUCAGGAGUUUUAUAUUUUUUUUAAUAUCAAAUUUAGAUGCCAUUUUUUUUUUGUUUUUCUUAUUUGCAAUAGGAGAAUUUUACUAUAAAAUGUGCCUAUUUUGAUAAAUUUACCAUAUUUAUGGUUAGUAUAAAUCCGGCCCAACUGUUUUGGGGAUAUACUAUACCAUUACGAAGCUUGCGACAAGACAAACCAACCCACAUUGUCUAGCUAGAAAUUUAGUUUCUUUCCUAGUCAUUUUACAAUUUUAAGUUAUUUUCCUAUUUUUCCUGUUACUUUUAAGAUUUUUAUCUUUUUUUUUCUAGAUUUUAGAUUUGGGCGCCACUUGUUUUGUUUUCCUUAUUUAGAUUAAGAGAAUUAUGUUAUAAACUAAUAUGUCAGAUUUGCCUACUUUGGUAAAUUUCCAAUAAUUAGGGUUAGUGAUAAUUUUAUGAAAUGAGAGUUAUCAUGACAUUUCUAGACUUAAACUAAUAUUACUUACAGAGUGAAUGAUUUAUUUUUAUUGCAUUUUUAGUUACAUUUUUGCAUGAGCAUCUAUUUAAGUUUAAUUUUAAUAAAUUGAUUGUGUUUUAGAUCACUUUGUGCUCUGAAUAUGAGUAUGAUUAUAGAUGACCAAAAAGCUCAAACUUUAUAGAUGGGAUGCAGUAGCAGACUUGCAUAAAUAACAAAAAACUUGUCUGCAGAUGAACUAAAAGAAGUCUAAAUCAGAGAAAAUGUUGUGGCAAUUGUUUUAGCAAUCCAGAAGCAAAUUACAAGCAAGACUACUCGCGUGUUAAUUGACAAAGUAGCGACAGGCAACACAAAAUGAUAUGCGAUCCAAGGUUUCUAAAAAAGAGACACAUGGUCACAUACUUUUGGUUGUCCUAAUUCCAAGAUAUAAAAAGCGUACAAGUUAAAGAAACAGGGUGGCCGUCACACAAAGAAAAAACAGAGAAAAAAAAAAAGAGAACAAGAGAGAGUUGAGCGUUGCAGCAAAAGAUUUCUGAGAAAAAGAAAGAGAGGUCGCAAAAACCUAAGAGAUGGAUGUCUUAUACUAGCAUUACUCAAUUCUUCAUCUUUAUUUGCUUGUUUUCAUCUCUCUAUGAGAAUGUAUCUGAUGGCAAAAACGAGUAUUAUUACUGUUUUAUCGCUAUCAUGAACUAAACUUUGAUGUAGUUGGGUAAAAGCAAGGUUAAUGAUUAUUUGACUUAUAUAUGCGUGUUUCUACUGCAUCAUUUUGUCUUGAUUUUACUUAUUACAAAUCUCUAUGUCAAUUGACCACCCAUUUAGUGGAUACUAGCUAAGGAGAAGCCUAAAAAUAAUCUGACUGAGUGGAACAAAUCAAGACAAUACAUGGUUUUAGUUUGAGUUUCCCAAGUUCAGUUAAUCUCGAUUUGGAUAGGGUCAUACUUAAUUUAAGAUUAGUGAAGAACCAGACAUAGGGAUUCACCUUGUAGAGCAAUUGGAUUUUAGAAUAUAUAAUACUAUAUCUAAUGUUAGCAUAGCAACUGGUUACUGUUACAUUGCAUAUAGAUAUAAAAUAUCCAACAUGUGACAGCUGAGGAUGCAUGAGGGAUUCUGUCCAGUGCUUUAGCAUGUGUCAUAGCAACAAUAUUGUAAUUGAAAAACAAUUAAUAGAUUGAAUUGAAUGAGUUUAAGCACUCAACUAUUUCUUUCAUAUUGAGUAUAUCUUUGUGUUUACCAUGAGAUUUUUUCCUUAUUGCAUUCUGUUUAUUUUAUUUUUAAUUUUGUUAGAUCAUUAAUUUCAUUCAUUAUUUUAUUUUAAUUAGAUUGAAUUUGUACUGUUAAGAUUGUUGUAGCCAGUACUAUAACAUAAAUCCUUAUAGAGACAAUCUGGAUACUCAUUAGUAUAUUACUUGUUGUGUACACUUGCACAUUGACACCUAUAGCAAUACAUAUCAACAAGUUUUUGACAUUGUUUCUGAGAAUUGAAUGCUUAUUGUGAUUUGUGAAGUCAAUUUUUGUUGGUGCCAAUUUUAGUUUUUUUUUUAUAAUUUGUUUACUGUGUUGACAGAAGUGCUCUAGCAACCCUUGUAUGCGUAGGUACAAAUAUGUUUAAUUCUAGUUUGAUUUAGAAAUUUAAAAAAAAUGCAAGGAGAUUGAGAAAAGAUCAUAGAAAUUUAAGAAAUGCUGCAGACAUAGAUGAUUUGUAAGAUAUAAGGAACUUGAACCCUCGAUGAGAAAUAGAACCCGUCAAUGCACAUGGAGGUAAAGAAGGUCAAAAUGGACAAAAUAUUUAUGGGCAACUAGAGAACAAUAAUAGUAUCUACAUAACAGAUGAUAGAGACAGAGCCAUUAGAGAUUAUGCCUUGUUGGCCCCUCAAGCCAUAAAUCCUGGAAUAGUUAGACCUAAAGUGCAAGCUGCUAAUUUUGAGCGUAAACUAGUGAUGUUUAUAUACUUCAAACAGUGCGGCAAUUCAAUUGACUGGCAUCAGAAGAUCCUCGCCUUCACCUUAAAUUAUUUAUGGAAGUAAGUGAUGCUUUCAAGAUUACUGGAGUAUCGCAGGAAGCAUUAAGAUUCAUACUCUUCCCAUUUUCUCUAAGGGAUCGAACAAGAGUAUGGUUGAACUCUCUACCGCCUGAUUUCAUUAUUAUAUGGAAUGACUUGGUGGAUAAAUUUUUAAUAAAGUACUUCUCACCUGCCAUGAAUGCAAAAUUGAGAAAUGAGAUCACAAAUUUUUCCAUCAACUUGAAGAUGAAAGUUUGUAUGAUGCAUGAGAAAGAUUCAUGGAGUUACUCAAGAGAUGUCCUCAUCAUGAUAUUCCUUAUUAUAUACAGUUAGAAAUUUUCUAUAAUGGUCUCAACCCAAGUACUUAGAUUGAUGGUGGAUGCUUCAGUAAGUGGGACCUUGUUAUCUAAGUCUUAUAAUGAGGCUUAUGAAAUUUUAUAAAGAAAUGUUAAUAAUAACAAUGGGCAGGAGUCCACAAUGUAGAUGCAUUGACAGUAUUAUCAGCCCAAGUAACCUCAUUAACAAAUAUAGCGAAGGCUAUAAUUACUACUUCAGCAACUUUAACCAAAUUACUGAGGUAUCUUGUGUUUAUUAUAGAGAAGGACAUCUAUUCGACAAUGGUCUUGGAAAUCCUGCUUCAGUGAACUAUGUGGGCAUCUGCAACAGACAGAACUACAAUAAUCCUUAUUCAAACACUUAAAACAUUGGAUAGAGACAUCACCAAAACUUCUCAUAGAGCAAUCAGAAUAAACAUACUGCCGUACCCAGUGGACAAAACAUGCCUGGUCAACCACUUAUAUUUCACCAGUAAAAUCAGGGGAAAAGAAAUACCAGCAAUGAUCAACUCAGUUCUUUUGAAACUUUGAUUAAAGAAUAUAUUGUGAAGAAUGGAGCGGUUGUCCAAAGCCAAGUUGUAUCCUUAAGAAACUUAAAAAAUCAGAUUGGACAGCUUACUACAGCACUAAGCAACAGACCUCAAGGCAGUUUACCUAGCAAUACAGAGGAUCCAAGAAGAAAAGGAAAAGAACAUUGCAAAGUGAUUAAUUUAAAAUCUAGAAAAUAUGUUCAUAUUCCAAUUAGUGUACUAAAAAGAAGAGUUAACCCGUUAUAACCUAAGAAGAAACUCAAGUUAAAACGGAACCACAACCUCCCACUUUCCAGCACAUUAGUGUAAAUAGGCAAGCUACAACAUCUACAAAAAAUGAUGCUCCAGCAUGUGUUGGUGAGGAUACUGCAACACCACCCACAUCAAUCCAGAACAUGACAAAAGAAAAGCAAUUUGUACAACCUGCUAUAGCACAACAGUUUAGACACCCGCCAUAUUUUUCUCAAAGAAUCUAGAAACAAAAACAAGAUAAAUAAUUCAAUAAAGUCUUAGAAGUGUUCAAGCAGCUACAUAUCAACAUUCCUUUUGUGGAAGCCUUAAAACAAAUGCCAAAUUAUGUGAAGUUCUUGAAGGAUAUUUUGGCAAGGAAAAUAAUGCUUAAAGAGUUUGAAAUAGUUGCUUUGCUACAAGAAUGCAGCUAUAUGCUUCAUAACGAGAUGCUUCAGAAGCUGAAGGAUUCAGGAAGCUUUACAAUCCCAUGCUCUAUAUGAACUAAAUACAAUGACAAUACGUUUUAUGAUUUGGAAGUUAGCAUCAAUCCCAUACCUCUAUUAGUGUUCAAGCAAUUGGGAGUUGGAGAAGUUAAAUUAACAAUAAUGACUUUACAACUUGCUAACAUAUCUUAUGUCUAUUCAUAAGGUAAGAUUGAAGGUGUAUUGGUGAAAGUGGAUAAAUUUAUUUUCCAGUAGAGUUUACAGUGCUGGACUUUGAGACAGAUAAAGAAGUACUGAUAAUUUUAGUCAGACCCUUCUUAGCCAUAGUUAAGACCCUAAUAGAUGUACAAAAAUGAAAACUGACUAUGUGGGUUAAUGAUUAGUAAAUUAUACUCAAUGUGCUAGAUGCCAUGAAGAGUAUUGAUGAUGUUGAAGACUGUAAUUUUAUCAGUGUUAUAGAUUUUACUGUAGUAGAGAGAUUAAACAGAUACUGCAGUAAUGAAGAAAUCAAGGCUGUAACAUUUGAAGAACUUGAAGAAAAAGAUCGUGAAACAGCUGACAUAGUAUCAUUAGGAGAGAAGUAACCUAGAAGAACUUACGAGCACCUUAAAUCUUUAAAUCUUUCAAACGGGGAAGUAAAGUCUUCUAUUCCCUCUAUUGAAUCAUCUCCUAUUUUAAAAUUAAAACUUUUACCUUCACAUUUGAAGUAUGUUUACCUUGGUGACAAUGACACACUACCUAUAAUCAUUUCAUCUUUUUUGAUUGCAGAACAAAAGAAAAGCUUGGUGGAUGUAUUAGGGAGAUACAAUAAGGCCAUCAAAUGGACUGUGGCAAAUAUCAAAUGAAUCAGCCCAUCCAUAUACAAGCAUAAGAUUUUGCUGGAGGAUUACUACAAUAACUUAGUAGAGCAACAGAGAAGAUAAAAUCCCAUCAUGAAGGAAGUUGUGAAGGAAAAGAUCAUCAAGUGGCUUGAUGUUGGAAUCAUUUACCUAAUAUCAGAUAGCUCAUGAGUAAGCCCAAUACAAUGUGUUCCAAAGAAAGGUGGAGUAAUAGUCAUCGCAAAUGAAAAGAAUGAGUUUAUUCCUACAAGAACAGUAACUAGAUGAAGAGUUUACAUAGAUUAUAAAAAGUUAAACAAAGCCACUAGCAUAGAUCACUUUUCAUUGCCUUUCAUAGAUCAGAUGUUGGACAGACUUGCUAGAAAAGAGUACUACAACCGGAUUGCUAGCACUAGAGGAUCAUGAGAAGACAACAUUCACUUGUCCCUACGGAACAUUUGCCUUUAGAAGGAUGUUAUUUGGCUUGUGCAAUGCUCCAGCAAUUUUUCAAAAGUGUAUGAUGUCAAUUUUUUCAGAUAUGGUUGAGCAAACACUUGUAGUAUGCAUGGAUGAUUUUUUUGUUCUUGGGGAAUCAUAUGAUGUCUGUUUUCAUAAUCUAGAAAAUAUGUUUAAGAGAUGUGAAGAGACAAAUUUAAUGUUGAAGUAGGAAAAGUGUCAUUUCAUGUUACAAGAAGGGAUAGAUCUAGGCCACAGGGUCUCUAGAAAGGGAAUAGAGCCGGAUAAUACAAAAAUAGAGGUGAUUAAUAAACUUCCACCACCUACUUCAGUCAAGGGCAUAAGGAGUUUCUUAGGACAUGCUGGGUUUUAUAGAAAGUUUAUUAAGAAUUUUUUCAAAAUAUCCAAACCUUUAUGCAUGUUGCUGGAGCAUGAUAGACCCUUUAAUUUUGAUGAGAAUUGCCUAAAGGUCUUUGUUGAGUUGAAGAAAGUCAUUGUUACAGCACUAGUUGUUGUAGCACUCGAUUGGAGUAUGCCUUUUGAAUUGACGUGUGAUGCUAAUGACCACUUUGUUGGAGCAUUGCUAGGGCAAAGGCAAGAUUUUUCACUCUAUUUGUUAUACUAGUAAGACCCUAGCUGAUACACAACUCAAUUAUACUACCACAAAAAAAGAGUUGUUGGUAGUUGUUCAUACAUUUGAUAAAUUCAGAGCUUAUUUAGUUUGCACCAAAGUGACUGUUUAUACGGAUCACUCAGUUAUAAAGUACUUGAUUUCAAAGAAAGAUGUCAAACCAAGGUUGAUUAGGUGGAUUCUUUUACUCCAAAAGUUUGAUCUAAAGAUCAAAGAUAAAAAAUGAAAAAAAAAAAGAUCAUCUCUCAAGGUUGGAAGCAGAUGCAUGCAUUUUAACUAAGCAAGAUGUAAUAGAAACAUUUCUUGAUAAGUAGUUGCUAAUAAUACAGCAUGCACAAAUGUUGUAGCAAGCUGGUUUUCCAUGGUAUGCAUAUUUUACUAAUUAUUUAGUGAGUGGAUUACUACUGUCAGAUUUGAGCUACCAGCAGAAGAAAAGAUUUCUCCAUGAUGUCAGAACCUAUCAGUAGGAUGAUCCCUACUUGUACAAGAUGUGUUUAGACCAUGUGAUCAGAAGAUGUGUUUCUGACGAAGAAAUUUCAAACAUUCUGCAGUCUUGUCAUGCUGCCGCAUAUGGUGGACAUUUUGAAGGACAUAGAAUAACAACAAAAGUUCUUCAAUUAGGUUAUUACUGGCCCUCUAUUUUUAGAGAUGCUUACGAGUUUGUUAAAUGUUGUGACAGGUGCAAAAGAAUAGGGAACAUGAAAUGCCACUGAUCAACAUCUUAGAGGUGGAACUUUUUGAGUAUGGGGAAUAGAUUUUAUGGGACCAUUUCCAUCCUCUUUUAGCAGCUUAUACAUCUUAAUUGUUAUGGACUAUGUAUCCAAGUGGGUAGAAGCAGCAGCAUUGUCCACAAAUGACGCCAAAGCAAUGGUAAAGUUCAUUUAGAAGAAUAUUUUCUUGAGAUUUGGCACUCCUAGAGCUAUUGUUAAUGAUGAAGUGUUAGCCUAAAGAGCUACACAUAAUGUAAUUUUGAUGAUAACAAACAUGUGUCUUAAGUAAUUCAAUAAAUAUUGUAUUUCACAAGUUCACUAGUUCUUGAAGGAUAAUGUUUAUACAAGUGAAUAAAGUGAAAUCAAGUUCAAGACACUCAACAAACAACGGCGCAAUCAAGAAUAAAGUUUAGAGAUUAACGGACUAAUUAUUGCGAUAAAUUCUGGUAAAGCCAGUAUGAUUUAAUUGAUGCAUGGUUUAACAUUUGAGAAGCUCAAUAUUUUAUUUAAAUCAUUACUUUUCAUAAACUAAAAGGUUUUAUAUUUAUAAGAUAAAGUAUUUUGUGGAUUUGAAUAAUUUGAACUAAAAUGAAAAAGUUUUGCCAUCUUUGAUUUUAAUAAGUAUUGUUUUGAAUUCUGGAUUUGGACUUAUUUGCAAUCAUUUGAAACGAUUUGGGCCAUACUAUAAUUUAUAAAAGUUUGAGGACCCGAAUGAAAAUAUCAAAAAAUGGACAGAGAGUUAGCGGCUAACCACUUGAGGGCUAGUAGCUAGCCGCCUGAGGAAAAUUUGAUAUUUUCUAAUGUUGGACUAAAUUAUAAAGGGUUUGAGAAUUUUGAAAUUCAUAAGUAUUUUGUUAAAGUUUGAAAAGAACUUUUUUGAAAAAUAUUAUUAUAUUUUGGGCCAUAUCACAAUUUCAUAAAGUUUUAGGAAUAACAAGUACUAUUUAGAAAUUCUGAAAUUGGACCUGUUUGAAAAGUUUUAUGACAUUUUAGGCCAGAGUAUAAUUACAUAAUGUUUUGGGCACAAAUGUAAUUUCGUGAAUAGUAUUACUAUAGCCAGGUGAGCUUAAAGGCAUGGACGUAGGCGGAAGUUAGGAUUGGCAAAAAAGCCUGGGUCGGCCCAAGCCCGUGACAGCCCAACCCACGCCCGCGGGCUUUAGGUCCAGCCCGCGACUUAAAGUUAAGGACAAGGUCUCUCACGUGGUGACUUAAGCCUGUGCUUUAUAAUAUAAUGCAUACAUAUAUUUUUUAAGAAAUAAAUUAUAAUAUAUUAAAAAUUUUAAAUUGAAAAAAAAAAUGAGAAAUAAAAAAAAGCUGAGAUUAAGUAAUUAACAAAAAACAAAACGAAACCAAAUUCUCAAAACCUAAAAUCCCUAAAUUUAUGUCUACAUCUCUAGCCGCUACAUCAGCCUCUCACUGUACUCUCCACUGGCAGCCAACAGCCGAUGUUUAUUGCCUUACCCUCACACCGAAUUAAAGAGACACCACCGUCAGUAGCGAUCCACCAUCCACGUGCGACGCAGCAGAUUCAACAACCCAAUAGCAGUACAGCACCAAAUGGGCGACGCAACAGCGACCCACACCCACCAGCACCACUAGCGCGAUGUAGCUGCAGCCAAUCGAAUGUGCGCGAUGUAGCAGCAUCGAUCUCAGCUCCAACACGAUCCAAAACUAGCAGCACCAGCAACACAAGCGAACCAACAGCAAACCAUCACCAACUCCACCCCAAGUAAGCUUUGAAUUUUUUUAGUUAUUGUAGAAAUUCUGAGAGUACUGAAGCCAUUGUUGAUGUUGUAAUGGAGAGUAGUUUUGUGGAAGAAUCGAGAGAGAGAGAGUGAAAAAGAAGAAGAAGAAUGUUUCAUUGUUGUCAUAGCAAGUGGAUAAUGAAGAAGAAGCACUGUGUUUCAGUUUCAACCACAAAUUCUUUUAAAAAUUAUUAAAGGGUAUUUAACAUUUACCUAGUUUAUCGUAUUUUAUCUCUUGUAAUUUGCAUAUUUUUAUUUGAUAGGCACUUUCUCUAUUUUGUCAUCAAAAUUAAGCAAAAUGUUCACUUAUAUGUACAUUAUUUUUUUUUAUGAGAUUUGGUGGAUAAUUAAUACGCUGUAGGAAAAGUUUCUAUCUAUAAAUGGAAAUGCAAGUGGCUCUCAGUCAAUAAAAAAGAAAUUAAAAUAAAAUUUUAUUAAAUUAUUAAAAAGUCCAAGCCCUGUCCUGGCCCAGCCUAGGCCCGCGCAAGCCUGGCCUAAGCCCGUAAUUUGCCAACCCUAGCGGGAGUUGCCGAACUACGUAAAAAUCAUUGUGUUUGCUCUCUCUUCCCUUACUAUUUUAUUAUUGUACUUUAUUGAAUUUAUUGUUUUUUAUUUCAUUAAGGGAAUAUAUUGAAUUGUUGUGUGUUUUGUUUAUCUUAAAUUUUAAAAUCUCAAUUCACCUCCCUCUUGGAUUGCCUAGUUAGUAUUUGAAAAGGAACCAUUUUUGUCAACAUGAUGAUUGUUGUAGCAUUGGCUAAGUAUGAAAUUAAGCAUAAGGUUGCUACAAUAUAUUAUCCACAAACAAGUGGUCAAGUAGAAGUGUCUAAUAAAAAGAUAAAAAAUAUUCUAAACAAAGUGAUGAAUCUACUAAAAAUGAUUGGCUUAUUAGACUAAAUGACUCCUUAUAGGCUUAUCGAACUUUCAAAACCCCACCCGGCAUGUCUCCAUACAAAAUUAUUCAUGACAAAGCUUGCCAUUUGCCAUUAGAGCUGGAGCACAAAACAUAUUGGGCAGUUAAACAACUGAACAUGGAUAUGAUAGCUGUAGUAGAGCAGAGGAAGCUACAACUUUAUGAGUUAGACGAAUUGCGGUUAUUCUCCUAUGAAAAUGUAAGAAUCUACAAGAAGAUGACCAAGCAACGACAUGACAAGCAGAUAAAAAAAAAAAAGAGCUUACUUCAGGCUACCAAGUCUUGCUCUACAACUCGCCAUUAAAACUCUUCUAAGCAACACGAUGGUCAGGACCUUUCAAACUUAUGAAGAUUUAUCCUCAUGGGGCUUAUGAACUUCAAGAUGAAUGGACAUGUCAAGAAUUCAAGGUGAAUGGACAAAGAAUGAAGCAUUACAUUAGAGCUGCUAUGAACAAUCCAAGGAAGGAUAUGUUCUUAAAGGAUCCAGCUUAAGCAAUUGGGGACAGUCAGGCUGAAGAACCUAAAAUCAAGUGCUGAUCGGCAAGCGACCCAAUAAAGGAAGUUAUUUCCAAUUUUUAAAGCUCUAAAUUUAGUCUUUUAUAUUUUUUAAUUUUCCUUUUUUUUUAUUUUAAAUUGUGCAUCCAACUUCUUUAUUUUCUUUUAUUUUCUUGUCAUUAAAUUGCAGUAAGAAAAGUGGAUAAAUGAAUUCUCAAAUGCAAAAAAAAAAAAAAAAAUACUGCAAAAUCACUCACAACAAGGCAAACAAAAGAUGCUUCUCAAACAACAUAUGCGUUUACCAUUAUUUUUGUAGCAACAGAUUGGUUAUUACAGUAACGAUUUUUACCGUUGAAUUGUCAGUCUUAGUUUUUACCUUUGCUGGCUGACAUGCUUAUGUCAGGAGAUCAUUAUUUUUGACAAGAAAGACAAUACAAUCCCUAAUUUUUCGUGACACGUAUCUCUUUCUUUCCAUUUAAUUUUUUUUAAUUCAAAAUUUUCCAAACUUAUCAUUUUAAUUACCUCUCUUUUUCCACUCUCCUUUUAUUAUAAAUUCGGGUUUUACUUCCACCAUUUCAAUUUCAUUAUCACUUUCUCUCUUUCCGUCUGUAAUUCUUUGUAUCUUAAUAUUUCUUUCCCAUGUUUUUAUCUUUUCAACAUAACAAAACUCAUUUUGAAUUGCUACAGCAUACCUAACAUCGAAGCCGGUGCUGGCAGAUUGAAAGAUCCUGAGCGUUUCUACUACUUCAAAGCCGAGAAAAAAUAUGAAGCAUUUAUCGAACCUUGAAAAAUUUUAGAAGAAAAGGGUUUCCAAUUUCCAAGAUAGCCAACUGGAACGAUGAACAACAUGCACAUUACUGCAGUACAGAUAUGUUGGAUUAAGUUCUAUGCUCAUCGCUGAGACCUAGUACUCCAAAUUGUUAAGGAGUUAUGCUCAAACAUAUUAUAGCAAGACCAACACUAUUUUUGUGAGGCAAGUUCAAGUCCCCAUAGAUUCUUAAGUUAUCAAUGUUUCUUAUGACUUGCCUACUGUUAUUGAUUUUGAGUAUACUACGUUUGCUAAAAAUAUGACUGUAUAGAAGUGGGGGGAAGUUUUAAAACCCUAACUGUAUAAGGCAGCGAAUGGAUGAAUGAGGAAAGUAUGGUGGUUAAUAGGAUAGACUUAAAGCUUAUUGCUAAGGUGUAUGUGAAAUUCUUGAAGUCUAGACUGAUGCCAACCAUACACACAACCACAGUGUCCCAGGACAAACUGCUACUUCUUUAUGCUAUUGUAAAAGGUUUAGCCACAAAUGUUGAAAAAAUCAUUGAACAAGAAAUUAGAGAGUGUGCCACAAAGAAGCAAAAGUUUGUUGCCUUAUUAUUUAUCACAGGUGUUUGGGAGGCCUUAUGAGUAAAAUUUAUUGCAAAUGAUGAGAGAAUAAAGAUGAAGGGGCUCUCACAGCUAGGACAAUCGAAAAGAUUGUUGGUGAAUCUACUGCUGCAACAACUCUAGUACAUCCUACUACAACUAAAUUAGGGCAAGCUACAUGGAUUGGAAAGAUGCUGCAAGAACUCAAUACAAGCUUAAAUGUAUGUGUCCAAGUGUAAAAGGAGGAGAGUUAGAGGUUUUGGACUUACUUACUGCAUCUUGAAGCAUAGAAACAUCAAUUUACCAUGUAUAUGAAGAGCAAACAUGCAGAUUUCCUGAAUCUCUGCUAUAACAAUUCAAUUUCCAAAGAGCUGAGGAGACUACUCCAGUAGAAGAUGAAGAAGAAGAAAGUGAAGAUGAGGAAAAAAAAAACCUCCAAUUUGUGACUCCUAAAAGAAAGGGAAAAGAAAAAAUCUUAAUCGAAGAGGAGUCUGAGACUGAGGAGCAAGAAGAUGUUGAUGCAGCUAUUGAAGAAGCCAUCAAUAGAGUUACAAGAUAAAAAAAAAAAAAAAGCAAAGAGGAGUAUGACGGAACUCAUUGCGAGCAUCACUACUGAAAAAUCGGUAACAACAACUCUUUCACCAGUUGUCAUAAAGAAAACUCCCAUAAAGUUUCCUGUCCAAACUUAACAGUCAUCCAGCAAAAGAAAAUGGGCACAACCUUCUAGAGGUGUUGUAGCAUUGUAAGUACCAAAAGAACUAGAACCUAAGAAAACAAAGCCAACUCUGCUUAAAGUUACAGAAGCGGCUGGAACCCCUCCAACCAGUUAAAUUAAAAGACAGAAGAAGAAACAAACAUUUGCUGCACUACUGGGUUCACCAAAGGAGCGUUUGAGAAGUGGAUCGAAGAAGUAAUAGCCCUGCACAGCAUGUGCUGCGGCAUUGCUUUCAACAAUAGAGGAGUAUCCCAUACCUGCCCAGUCUAGCUUUGUAAUUUUUGAAACUUUUCUUUUAUUUAUUUUAGCUUGUUUAUUUUGCAUUUCUUGAUUUUAAGUUUAUGCAUGAUUGUUUGUAAUUUAUUUUGAGUACAUGUGAGGACGCAACAUCUCUCAAGUUUAGGGGGCUAUGUUAUGGUGUAAUAUGUCUAUGAAUGUAUGUGUUUGUAUUGUCUGUGUAACUUUGUUUAUCUACCAUUCAUAUUUGGAUUAGAAAACCCAAUAAAGAGGAAUUAAGUGAUAAAUGUAGGAUGAAUGACUUCCAAGUAGAGAUAGUUUAUAUAUGAGGGUUGGAACUUUGUCUUAACAAUUAGGCUUUGGUUGAGUUUUGUGAGUAUACUGUAGCAAAACUACGUAAAGCAAUGUAGAAACUAUUAGUAAUCUAAAGUUUAAAAAUAUCUUAAGUUUGGGGGGAACCUGAAAUUUUUUUCAGAAUUAUCACAAACUAUGCUAGAUAUAAGAUAAAAUUAUGCUUCAGUGAUUCAGUUGCUGAGUAACUAGGGCUAAGUAUGUACCCCAUAUGCAGACUUGAGUAAAAAUGCAACAAAAGUUAUUAGUAUUGUUGUAGCAACCCAAGAAGCAAGAGAGGUCCUUGUCUAAGAUACUGAGUAGUCAGGUCUGUUCAUGAGCCUCAUGUUUAGCUUUCAGUUAAAGGUGUCUAAAGAUAAGAGUAUGUUAUAGCAUCUUAGAUUUUUUUGCUGCAACAACUCUGAGCUGUACAUUGAUCGAGUAAUUAGGUGUGAUCAUUACAAGUGAUAGGCAUUCACAUGAAAAAUCAAUGUUACACUGAAAGGUACUUAUGAAAAUUUCGGUGGCACAAUUUGAAGCCAUUUUUUACCAUCGUUCCUUUACAAAUAGAAAUUUAUGUUGUUAUCUUUGAGUUAUACUUUAUGCUUGAGUGAUGUUGCAGUAAUUUUAGAACUUGAUCAAAGUGCCACACAUACACUCUGGAUAAAAUAAAAGUAAGUCUAGAACUGGAACUGCUGAUGGUGAUUUUGUAUGUUUAAGAAUGAGAUCUGAGGGUUGAUGAAUCCGAGCAAGCUAGAUGACAGAGCUAAGUUGUUUGUUGCAUAAUUGCAUAAGGACAAGUAAUGAUUUAAGUUUGAGGGUGUGAUAACUCUAUGAAAUGAGAGUUAUCAUGGCAUUUUUAGACUUAAACUAAUAUUAUUUAGAGAGUGAAUGAUGUGUUUUUAUUGUAUUUUUAUUGUCAUUUUUGCAUGUAUAUCUAUUUAAGUUUAAUUUUAAUAAAUUGAUUGUAGCAAUUGUUGUUGUAGCAAUUGUUGUAGCAAUCUAGGAGCAAAUGCGGGCAAGACUACCUAUGUGUUAACUGACAAAGUAAUGACAAGCGACACAAAAAGAUAUGCGAUCCGAGGUUUCCAAAAAAGAGACAUGUAGCCACAUGCUUUUGGUUGCCUUAAUUCCAAGAUAAAAAAAGCACACAUGAAAUAAACAAAAGGUAGCCAUCACACAAAGAAACAAUAGAGAGAAAAAGAAAAAAAAAUAGAACAAGAGAGAGUUGAAGGCUGCAGAAAGGGAUUUCUAAGAACAAGAAACAGAGAUCGUAAAAACCUAAAAGAGAGACGUCUUGUAUUAUUGGAACUCAAUUUCUCACCUUUAUUUGCUUGUUUUCAUCUCUCUAUGGAAAUGUAUUUGAUGGCAAAAACGAGUAUUGUUAUUGUUAUUGUUUUAUUGCCUAUCAUAAACUAAACUUUGAUGUAGUUGGGUGUUAAAUAAGCUUAAUGGUUAUUUAACUUAUAAAUGCGUGUUACUUAGAAUCUAUCGUAGCAUUUUGUCUUGAUUUUACUUAUUGCAAAUCUUUAUUUUGGUUGACCACCCAUUUAGUAGAUACUAGCUAAGGAGGAGCCUAAAAAAAGUCUGACUUAGUAGAACAAAUCAAGGCAAUACAUGGUUUUAGAUUGAGUUUCCUAAGUUGAGUUAAUCUCUAUUUGAAUAGGGUUAUGCGUAAUCUAAGAUUAGUGAAGAACAAGACAUAAGAAUUCACCUUGUAGAGCAAUUAAAUUUUAGAACAUAUAAUGCUAUAUCUAAUGUUAGAACCGGUCACUGUUAGGUUGCAUAUAGAUGUAAGAUAUCUAACAUACGACAGUUGAGGAUGCAUGAGGGAUUCUACCUAGUGCUUUAGCAACAUUAUUAUAAUUGAAAAACAGUUAAUACCAUUAAGUGAGUUUAAUUACUCAACUACUCCCUUCCCAUUGAGUAUAUCUUUGUGUUUGCCUUGAGAUUUUUUCCUUAUUAUAUUCUGUUUAUUGCAUUUUUAAUUUUGUUAGGUCAUUAAUUUCAUUCCUUAUUUUAUUUUAAUUAAGUAGACUGAAUUUGCAUUGUUAAGAUUGUUGUAGCAAGUCCUGUAACAUCAAUCCCUGUGGAGACGAUCUGGAUAUUCAUCAUUAUAUUAUUUGUUGUGUACACUUGCACACUGACACCUAUAGCAAUACACAUCAACAGUUAAUAUAAAGAGGACCCAAAAUUCUUAUUUUAUUCAUUUAAACUUUUCUAAUAAAAUUUUCAUUAUUUAAAAACCUAGUUUCUCUUAUCUAAAAUUUUCUUGAUAUUUUGAUGACCUGUGCAAGUAAUCGAAGGCAUGGUUUAAGGACUCAUCAACGCUUCUUAGGGAUUCUCUAGAUGGGGUGAUUAUGUUAUUGAGUUUUGCGGUUUUUUAUUGUUUUUGUAGUUAAUAUUGUGUUAUGGUGUAUUGUAUUAUUCUUGUAUUAUUAUUUUCCUUCUCUGAUUUGGAAAAAGGGCUUCAUCUGCAUUAGUUGACACAACUGUCCAUAAAAUUCAUCAUGAUUUUAAGUAGUUUUAAUUGGUGAAAUUCUUUUUCUCCUUUUGGCUUGUAAUCAUAGUUAUUUUUAGAAUUGUAGGAAUUGUCCUAACCCAGGAUUGAGUCAUAAGCCUUAUCGGAUAUAUUGUACUUAAGCUUAGUCAUCGUGUAUUUAUGCUUGUGUGGCACAAUAUUGUGUAUUUAAGCGCCUAUGGCAUUAAAUUGGUGACCAAUAAUUAUUGAUCCUUAGUCAAACGCAUACUUUCAUUUCUAAAAUCAAAAUAUAUAUACAUGAUAAAUAAUAAUACCAAUAAUAAGAGUUUGCAAGCAUGGUGUUAACAAGAAAAAACAAUAUAGUUUUAUAUAGCUGGGAGUUGAAAAUUCAUAAAAGAGAAAAAUAAAACCUUUUUUGUUUUUCUACAAGAAGUUUGUGAGCAUGAGAAAAUAUAGCGCAUUACAGUUGGUAAAAUACACUUCUUUAGUCCUUAAAAAAACAUAACAUAAAGGGUCUUGUUUGGUAUGUGGUAUAGCUAUAUGGACCAGACAAUUUUUGUUUAAUCCCAAGCUUAUCCCAUGUUUGGCAAGAUCAUGGAUAGUGAUGUUAUGGUACCAUAAACCCACAAAUUCGCCCAAACUCGCCCACCAAAAACUAUUUGCUGUGGAUAAUUUUGUGAGUUACUGGUGGAUUUAGUACUAUAAAUUUAAAUCUGCUGCCAGUUGCAGGUGGAUUUGGUAUUAACAAAAAAAUCAAGAGGGUAUUUGUUGAGUGCUGCAGAAUGCAUAUUUGUAAAGAGUAAAAUUAUCAUUUUUCACUCCAAGCCUCGCUAACAUUUCUACUUUUAUAUAGUUAAAUCCUUUAAGCUUUAAUGUCUCGAGAAUCUGACUAUAAAUAUCCCAGUUUGUCAGUUUACAAGAAAAUUGGAUGGGAAUCCUUUCCUCGACCUAUAGAGGGCGUUCAAGUCGUUUUUGAACAUAAAACCAAAGAAAAAUAUAAGUCACAAUCACAACUAACAAUAUAUAUCGUUUUAGUUUAUAGUUCUUUUAUCAUUUGCAUUAUUACUUUUAAUAAUAUGAUUUUAUAUCUAAUCAUUGUUCGUUUCUUUUUAUUGUUUGCUUUUGACUAUUAAGCCAUGAGUUUUACACAUCAUUUGAUAAAUACACCACCCUAUUUACAAUAGGGGUGGCAAAACGAAUAAACGAAUCGAAUUCGAAUCGAAUCGUAAACGAAUUGGGUCAAAAUUCUAUGGAUUCGAAUUCGAUUCGUUUAUUAAACGAAUUGAAAUUUCAGGAUUCGGAUUCGAUUCGUUUAUUAAACGAAUAUUCGGUUCGAUUCGUUUAAUUCGUUUAAUAGAAUUGAUAAACGAAUUGAAUCGAAUCCAGAUUCGUUUAUUAUUCGUUUAUCCUUUACGAAUCCAUAAUGAAUCGAAUCGAAUUAGGAUUCGUUUACAAUUCGUUUAGAAAAUAUAAUUAAUAAACAAAAUUAAGCAAAAAAAACAUAUUUAAUAUCCCACAACAAAAUACAAAUAAUUCAAAUUAUAUUAUACAGUCAUCCAAAUACCAAAUACCAAAUCCUUAAUAUUACAAAUAACAAUAAUUCAAAUUCAAAUUAUAAAGAAAUGUAAUUUCUUUAAUUCUCUUCAUUUGUCUUUGUCACCUUGAAAACAAAAAUCCUACACCAAAAAGUAAAUAAAAUGUUAUUAACAUGCUGCAAUAUUGUAAAAUUUCAAAAAUCAAAUAUAUAGCAAAUUUGUAGCAUUUUCAAGGAAAUAAUAAUUGAACAAGAUAAAAACUUUACCUAACAAUAUUUCAAAAAUCAAAUCUAUUCAUCAUGUAUGCCAAAUUCUAACCCAGCAAUAUUCCUAAUGCACAAUAUUCCAAUGCACAAUAUUAACAAUACAACAUAAUAAAUUAUAAAUUCUAAUACUAAAAAAAAAUUAAUCCAAUAUUUGUGGGGGCUUCUUCCUUAUCCUACAGAUAAUUUUUAACACCAUAAUCGAUUUAUACAUACUUUCAUAAUAUUUUCCGAACAAUACAAAACAUUUUCUAAACUAUAAUCUCAUAAUAUUCUACAAUACAAAAUUUCUCAAUAAUUCAACCAUAAUCUCAUGAUAUUAUCCACAAAAGCACCAGCAGAUGAGUUUAGCAUUGUGUUACCAUCACUCUUAGACUCUUAAAAGCUUCACUCGACAAGUUCUCUCAUUUUUUUUUUUGCUCACAAAAUAGAACUGUAGCAGCCGACUAUGGAGUUAAUAUCUGUCAAAACUGGAAUUGACUGUCAUCUAAAACUUCGAUAUCUGAAAUUAGGAACCAAAAUUACAAUUGAGAAAUCAAAUUCAAGUUCUGAGAAAAUUUAAACCCACAACAUAAUUGCAGAUCCCCUGCAUUCAACAUCCAAAUUGGAUAGCCAAUCACGAACUUCGAAGAAAAAUGAGUCAUUUUCAUAAUAUUUGCCACACUCAUCAUCGAAAAUUUAUCAUGAAAAACAAUCUUUUUCCAGAAAAAAUAAACAGAGACCAAAAUUUAAACAACAUAACAAGCUAAUGAAAACCAAUCCAAAACAAAUUGAAUGAGAAUUUACCAGAAAAGAAAGAACAAAGAAGACCAAAGAAACGCUGAGUUGGUGAUGGCUUGUUGAUUCGGGUCGCGGUCACCUGGGCACUGGUUCGGGUCGCGCUCGUCUGGGUUUGCUGCUGCUGCACCGCCGCACGGGUUAGCUACUGCUGUGGGUUCGAGUGGCUGCUAAUACGUUGCGCGGCUGAUGCUCCUGGGUUGCUGCCGAGUUGCGGGCUGCACUGGCGUGGCUGCGUCCCUCAAGCUCAAUCGAUGAUAGAUGCACUACCGGCGGCUGUUUUUGUUGCUUGAUUGCUUCACUUGGUAUGGGUAGGUGAGUGUGAUUCGUGUGAGAGAGGUAGAGAGCAACGAGAGCGGCUAAGUGAGGGGAGAAUUUUUAGGGAUUUAGCUUUAGGUUUCUGCUACUUUGUUUUUUUUUCUUUUGUUAUUUGCUUAAAAUUACAAUAUUAAUCUUCAAAUUUUAAAAAGCUUUCAAAUAAAUUUAAGGAUAAAAAAGUAAUUUAAUUAAAUGAAUAAUAAACGAAUUUUAAACGAAUCUACCCGUAUUCGAUUCGUUUAUGACCCAUUUAUUAAACGAAUUCUAAACGAAUAAACGAAUCUAAAUUUUUAAACCCGCAUUCGAUUCGUUUAAUUAACGAAUCGAAUCGAAUUCACCCAAUUAUUAAACGAAUCAAUUUUUUCAAGCCUAAACCCAUUUAAUUCGCAUUGAAUUGAAUCGAAUAAACGAAUCCUGACCCAUAUUGCCACCCCUAAUUUACAAUUGUAUAUCAUUAUGUCUGUCACCAGAUCUUUAAAUACAAGUUUUGUUUUUCAAACAACUCACAAAUAAUUUUAACAAUUGUUUUAAUAGCGAUAACUUUGAGCAGACAACUCAAAAAGAACAGUUAUGUCAUAGUCGUGUCAUAGCCAAAAGAACACUACACCUGAUAUAUAGAGGAGGUGAUCAAGGGUUAUCAAAACUAGUCUUAGAAGCUACUUUUACUAGAGGAAGUUAAGUGCUAGGCAUCAUAAAAAAAGCCCUGAAACCUCAGGGAAGCUUGUCAGGCCCACUAAUUUGAGAAGAGUUAGUUGUUUCAAGUAUACAAGAGAGAAUAAGCAGAAUGCCAAAACAUGCUAACAAUUUCAUUUUCUUGCUAGGAGACCUUGCAACUCUAGAUGCACUAUUUACAUUUGCUUCUUGGGCCAAUUCGAAUAUUCAUCAGAAGCCCAUCUUGUUAAAUGAUAAUAACUUUUAUGAUGCCUUUAUAGAAUUUAUUAACCAUGAAAUUAAAAAUCAUUUCGUUUAUAGCCAAAAAACUCUUUAUUUGUGCUCUUACUACUAAUGAGUUACUCAAUCUUUUAGAAGCUUAUAGUCCAGAGCCAAAUCCCAAGACUCUUACAUUGGAUUGGUCGAUUGAUGAAGGUAGUAGUAGUAGUAAAAAGUAAAAAUUAGAUCUAACUCUCCAUUUCUAAAUAUUUUCUAUUGAUGUGUUCAAGUGAUGUCUUCUAAACUCUACUUUUUUCCUUCAAGACAUUGAGGACAAUGUCUGAUUGAGAUUAAGAGGAGGGAAUAAUUGACAAUUGUGCAAUAAAUAAUAGUUGUGUUCUUGUAUUCUUGCUAACCUUUUUCUAAAUUUUUAUGUCGAAAAUAGUCGAAUAUAGAGUUUAGUUACUCUAGACAUACAUCUUGAUGCGCAUCUUCUUAGACUUUUGAGUCUAAAUUAAAAAAAAAAAACUUUGAAUUCUCCAUUAUGAUAUUAUUGAGUGCCCCUUUUUGUCUACCUUGGCUAUCUUGACAGAUUCAAUAAAUUAGUCUAGACAAACAUGACAGGUGGUGGUGGUAAGUUAAGAUUUUGUAAUACCUAAUCUUUUCAUUUUAUUCGUAAGCAACAAUUAAAGGUAGUAGAAUUUACCAAAAACAAAAGCAAAAAAGAAAAGCGACACUCUCACUCACUAACUGGGUCUCCUGCCUAAGCAAGCAGAGGGUAUUCGUGUAAAAUGGUAAGAGUUGAUCAAGCUUAUGUAAACUCUUACUUAGUAAUUGGGCCUCCUGCCUAAACAAGCAGAAGGUGUUUGUGAAAAAUGGUGAGAGUUCGAUUUGUCCAACCCAACUCUUUUUUAAUAACCGAGCCUCCUUCCUAAGCAAGCAGAGAGUGUUCACGUAAAACAAUUAGAGUUGGUUAGAAAUAUAUUAUAAAUAAACAUGCUACCUAAGAAAAAUAACUUCAAUGAAGUGGUAAGAACAAAAAUACCACUUUCUUUUAACCAAACCCCAUAAUCAUUAUGUCAAAGAUCACUGCACACAAAAGAAGAUUUGCUAAAUUGUUGAUUGAUGGUUGAGUGGCGAAGGAGAAGAAUAGAACUUCAAAGAGUUCAUUUAUUUGGUAAAUAGAUUUUAAUUUGAUUUGGAUUUUAUAGCUUAUUGUUAGGGACUAGCAAUAAGCUUGUUGAAGGAUCUGUUGAGGGAUAGAGAAUACAUAUUUACAGAAGGUUAAAUCAUCAUUUUGCAUUCCAAGCCUCACUAACAUUUAUACUUUUAUUUAUUUAAGUCUUUUAAACUUUAUUUUUGUGUGUAUUGUUAUAAUGUUAUGUAUUUCAAGGGUAUUUUGGAUGUUUCAUGAUUAAUGAGUAGUCAGACAGCAAAAUGAACACAGUAGGAAGGGCAUAAAGGGUAAAAUUGUAAUUUUGAGAUUUUAAUAAGGCCCAACUAGUGUGCCAUUGACUAGCUAACAUGGCGUUGACCAGAUGAUGUGCCAGUAGCUUAUUGGACUGAAAAAUGCUAAUGUGGCAUGAACUAAUGACGUGGCGUUGACCAAUGAUGUGGCAGUAUGCCAGUAUCCUAUUAUACCGAAAAAUGUUGAAGUGGUGUUGAUUGAUGAUGUGGCAGCAUGUUAUUGGACCUGAUGAUUUGUUUCAACCAAUAAGAUCUUGCCACGACACAAUCUUGAGUAUUCGAAUUGUUUUCAUCUAAUGCCCAUGAUUAACUCAUUGCAACUAUAAAUAAGGGGCUCCAUAAUUUGACAGCGAAGAAUCUAAAUUUGAGCUCCAUUUUUCAUAAUUCUCUCUUCAUCUUGUAUUUUCUACAUAUUUUAAUAACUCUAGUUCAAUCAUGAGUGGCUAAUUUAAUUUCAAGUUUUGGUUGAAGGUGAAGCCUCAACAUGAUUCAUAGGUUUAUUUUGAUAAGUUUAUUUUAUUUUCCUCUCCGAUUUAUGUGGUUGUUCUGACUUAUUGUCAACAGACAAUGUAUCCUAUCUAGAUUUUGCAUGGUAUAUUGGCUCUCUAGUGAUAAAUCAUUAAUGGCCGGCAUAAUAAGCACUUUACACCAUAUUUAUUAGAAAGAAAAUCUCCUCCAGUAAUUGUGGAUUUUCUUGACUCAGUGUUGACCGAGAGUGCAUCUAACUUAUUUAGUAAAUGGUCUUGCCACAUUGUCGACAGAAAACUUAUUAUUGUCUAGCACAACGUUUACUUGACACUAUACUUAGCAGAAGAUGAUUACUCUCUGGGGACACUAAGUGCUUGAUACAAUAUUUAUUAAAGUGAGGCUAAAGUUUUGGAAAUACCCUCUUAUAAAUUAAUUAGAAGUAAAAAGGAAUAUUAAGCCCUUGGUGAAGUGUUGAGUUGAAUUCAAAGACUCAAGUGUUGAUAAAAAAAAUCAUUUCUAACCAAUUUACAUGCACACUUAGAAAAUUAACUCUACACAUAACUAAAUUAACCUCCUCGUCAAUCGACACUCGUCACCAUAAAUAUGUACUACAAUAGAUUCGUGUGCUUUCGAGUACAAUAAAAUUCGCACAGCAGUAUCCGUCAACCCAUAAUUUUAUUUUUUAAUAAAUUUUAAUUAUUAAAAUUACAUUAAAAAUAUUUAAUUAUAAAAAUACAUAAACUCUAUUAUUAACAACCACUUGUUGCCCAAGACCUAACCUAGUCUUUUUAAUUAUAAAAAUACAUAAUUGCUAUCGCUAGCUUGAUUCACAUCUUUCUCUUCACAGUAUGUAUGUAUGUAUAUAUUUUUAAAGAAACUUUUGUAGCUAUCAAUGAAAAGGCAGCCAUGUUAGUUGAAAUUGGUCUAUCUUAGAUUUCUCGAUUUUGGCCAAAAAUCCACCAAAACGUGCCUACUAAUCUAGUUGAAAGCUCAAGCAUAAGCAUAACUCCUAGCCUAACGUUAAUUGUGGAAAAAUUCUAGCAUUGUUUAAUUAAUUAAUGUAAUAGGUUUACUGAACAGAAAAAAAAAAGAAAGAAACAGCACGCGGGUAGAUUAAUUUCUUUUUAAAGUUUUCUACUGUUAGAUGAGGAAACUUUAAAAAGAAUAAAAGUGGAAAAAAUAAAUUGUAAUGAGUUAAUGGGAAGCAAAUGAUACAUACACUAAGUUGAUUUGGAUUAAUUAAGUUUUCGACAUCUAUAAUUAAUUAUAGGUUAUGGUUAGUUGAACCCACUAAAUCUCUCUCUACACUUAUAUAAAAGGUAUAUUUAUUUUUAAAUUUUUAGAAUGUUAGAAUUAUUAUUCAUUUUUUUCAUUUCUUUUACAGAUGCAUAUUCUCUCUCGAAUAUAACAUCUUGUAAACUAAAUUCUCACUCACACUCUAACAUAGAUAUUGAUUCUUAAUCUUUCUUAUUAGAUCAUAUUAUAUAAUAGUUUGAAUUAUUUUGAAUUUUACAUAAAAUGAUUUUAACUUUAAACUAAAGCAUGAGAUAUAUUUUAUUAAUUGUAAAAUUUAUUUAAACCAAAGAUUUAUUUAAAAGUUUUAUAAUAAAUACAAAUAUAUUAAUGAAAUAAAUAUGAUAAUUUAUAUUUUCAAAAUUAUUUCAAAUAUUAAUUUUUUUAAUAUUAUUAGUCUACUAGAUAGAGUAAAUUAUCUAUAGCACAGUUUUAUAUUUAUUAAAAAUUUUAAGGCUAUUUUUUUACUUACUAUAUUUAAAGAAUAUUAAUUGGUCAAAAUUAGGUCUUGGUGUCCAUUAUUGAAAUUGGGGUUCUCCAUGACCAUUUUCCCAAGCCUCAGAGGCUUAACUAUCCUUUUACCCUUAACUUGUGUUACAUAUUAUGGAAUUGAUUUUACCAAAAUGAUAUACACCGAAAGAUUCUAUUAGGUUUCUAUUUGUAUAUACAUGCACUAUAUAUAUAAACUCACAACAAUAAAAACUCUUUUCAUCAGGUGUAUCAAAUAUGGGGACUUUAGAAUAAUAAUAAUAAUAAUAAUGUUGUAAUACAAUAAAUGAUAAAUUAAUAACCUUAACUAAAUAAUAAAAUUCUAUGGUCCCAACUUAGGCCUAUUUGAAAAAUUAUUAAUUUCGAUAAAAGCAUAAGAUAAUAACUUUUUAUUCUAAAGCAACAAAAGUAAAUACAUAGAUAAUUCAUGAUUGAGACCAAUGCUUCAUACUCUCUUCAUUAAUUCUUUUGGUUACUCUAUUUGUGUUUCAUAGUCAUAAACUUGUAAUUUGUUUUGCCUAGCCCCAAGGGCUUAAUUGUCAUGUAGUUUUACAUAAUUUUAUUUGAUUUGUUAUCUAAGUUUAAAUCUUGAGAAGAUAUAAAAAUCAUCAUUUUACCCAUCUAAAGCCUAAACUUAUAUACAUAUAUAAAAUUAAAAGAAAAAACUUGUUCAGUGUUGAAAUUAGUUUUUCUUAUAUAACUUUCUAUAGAGGGAUUUACCUUAGUGACGAUGUGGAAACAUAAGAAUUUGAUUAAUAAGAGAAACAAAGCUUCUCGAUAAUGAACAUUAUAUUGAAAAAGUUGAAAUUAACAAAACUGGGUUUUGGGCCCCUUACAUAGUAACCCUAAAGAUCGCAAAUUUAUCAAAAUAGAAAAAUCUAAAAUAUUAAUUUAUAUUAAGAUUUUCCUGUUCUAAAUAGGAAAAACAAAAUAAACGAUACCCAAAUUUGAUUUCUAAAAAAAAUUUAAAAAAAAUGAAAAUAUCUUGAAACUAAAAAACGACCAAGAAAAAAGUAGAAUUUUUAGCUCAAGCACGGACCAAAAAGGUGCAAUCUAUUUGUGGCUUUGUUCGUCUAGUCGCAAACUUCGAAACAGUAUAUUAUAUGCACAAAACAAACACAUGUAACCCAAGUUAUGACCUCUAGAAGGUACCCUACUCGUCUCAUGCAACCAUCCUACAUCACUUAGCCAACCAAGUACCCAUACUUUGGAUCAUGGUCUUCGGUUUGUAAGACAAACUUGUACACUUAACUUGAAUGGUUUAAUUUUAUGAUGUUGAUUAGGGUGGGUGUUUUGAUCAGACUCAAUAAAGUAUGAGCACACACCAAAAGGGUGCAAUCUAUUUUGGGUUUUGUUCAUCUUGUCGCAAACUUCAAAAUAAUAUAUUAUAUGCCUAAAACGAACACCUGUAACCUAAGUUAUGACCUUCAGAAUGUACCUUAUUCAUCUCUCGCAACCAUCCUACCACUUAGCCAACUAAGUACACAUACUUUGGAUCAUGAUCUUCGUUUUCUAAGAUGAAGUUGUACACUUAACUUGAAUGGUUUAAUUUUGUGAUGCUGACUGGGUGGGUGUUUUGAUCAGACUUUAUGAAGUACAAUGGGAUUUUGUAUCUUUCUUGUUAAGAACUUAGCCCAGCACUUCAAGCUUCUUUAAGAAAAUCAAAGCAUACGAACAAAUGUACUCUCACUAAAGAUCAAAACAAAGCAACCAAAGACACCAAGAAUAUAAAAGAUAAUGGCAAGAAGAUGUAACGUGGUUCGGCCACAAGAAGCCUACAUCCACGGUUGAAACAACACUGCUCUAAGCUUUAUUUAGAAUGAAAAAUGGUUUAAAAAAGAUGAUGAGAUUACAGAGAUAUUAACUUCUCAUAUAAGCUCUAUAUCUCACUCCAAGAAUCUCUCACACACACACCUCUGUUUCAUGAAUACUUUUGCUGCCCUUUUAUAACCUCUUAGUCACGAGAGAAGAAGCCAGCUGCUGUUCUACUCAACUAACAGAUUUAACAGCCAAAAGAUCCCACGCCAGCUCAGCAUGCCACCUCAUUAAUGUUUAACAGAAUAUAACUACUUUCUGGCUUCACAAAUCUCCACCUAGUUUUAUUCUGUUAAAGCUUCCUCCAGUCACUGAAUCAACCUACCACAACUUGAUCUACUGACUAACCAUGCCAAUCAAAUUCAAAGUAGCUUUGAAUUUGACUGAUGGCAGAGGCUUCGUAAGCAUGUCUGCAAGGUUACAUUCUGAUGCAAUCUUAAUUACAUUUACAACUUUUUGAGCAAUCUCAUCUCUGAUGAAGUGUAACCUUAUAUCCACAUGUUUUGUCCUCUCGUGCUAUUUUGGGUUCUUACUUAACUGGAUGGCACUAGAGCUGUCACAGCUGAUAUUGAAUGAUCUUUGCUUCAGGCCUAACUCAGUUACUAACCCUUUUAACCAUAUUGCUUCUUUCACUGCUUCUGAGAGUGCUAUGUACUCUACCUCAGUAGUUGACAAAGCAACUACUGACUGUAAAGAAGCCUUCCAGCUGACUGCUCCACCACACAAAGUGUAGACAUAACCAGUGAUUGACCUCCUUUUAUCCAGAUCGCCAGCAAAGUCUUAAUCAACAUAACCUUGAAUUUGACUAGAGCUUUUGUCAACCCUUCCAUAUACUAUACCCAGACUAGCUGUACCCUUUAGGUACCUCAACAUCCACUUAGCUGCAUGCCAAUGAUGUUUUCCAGGAUUUGACAUGAAUCUGCUCAGCACUCCAAUUCCAUAGGCCAAAUCAGGUCUGGUGCAGACCAUGGCAUACAUAAUACAACCAACCACACUAGUGUAUGGUAUAUUCUUCAUGUGUUCAACCUCUGCUUUUUCUUCUGGCUCUUCCUGUUUAGAGAGUCUGAACUGAGCUCCUAAAGGAGUUAAGACUGGUUUGGAUUCAUUCAUUCCAAAUAUACUGAGAACCUUCUCCACAUAUCCUGUCUGAGACAAGAAAAGAGUUUUAGAAACUCUAUCUAUGAUUAUGUGCAUUCCCAAUAUUUUGGUGGCUGGACCUAGGUCCUUCAUUUCGAACUCUGAGCUUAGUUCACCUUUAAGCCACUCUAGCUCUUCUUUUUAUUUACAUGCCAGGAGCAUGUCAUCCACAUAGAGUAAAAGGUAAAUAAAAUUUCUAGAGUUUAGAGCCAUAGAAUACACACAACUGUCAUAUUUACUUCUGCUGUAGCCAUGUGUGAUCAUAAACUCAUCGAAUUUCAAAUACCAUUGCCUAGGUGUCUACUUUAAUCCAUAUAGGCUUUUAUUGAGCAAGCAAGCCAUGUCUUCUAAUCCAGCUUCAACAAACCCCUCUGGCUGUUCCAUCAGUAUCCUCUCACUGAGAUCUCCAUGUAGAAAAGCAGUCUUCACGUCCAUUUGAUCUAACUCCAAGUCAUUGUAUGCUGCAAUAGAUAAUAAGACUCUUAUUGAGCUGUGUUUGACCACAGGGGAGAACACUUCAUUAAAAUCCACUCCCUCUCUUUGGAUGAACCCCUUUGCUACAAGUCUGGCCUUGUACCUAGCUAGUUCAUCUUCUGAGACUCCUUCCUUUAUCUUAUAUAUCCAUUUACAGUCUACUAGCUUUUGGUUAUCUGGUUUCUUUACUAAAGUCUAGGUCUUAUUCUUUCUAAGUGAGGUCAUUUCUUCUUCCAUGGCAGCUACCCACUUUCUUUUGUCCUUGGUUCUCAUAGCUUGCUUGUAGGUUGCUGGUUCCUCACUUAUUUCAACUUCAGCCACAGCCAAAGCAUAUGAUAUAAGAUCUGCAACUCCAAAUCUUUCAGGCAUUUUGAUGGUUCUUCUUAUUCUAUCCCUUGCCAGUUGAUAUCCUUCCAGUUCAGAAUGUGUUUGCUUUGGAUGCUGUUUUGCUUCUUUAGGUGACUCUACCUCCAGCUCAACAACUCCUUUAUCUUCAGAGCUUGUAUUGAUUAUUUCAGUCUCAACCCUUGACUGUGUCAGGGCUUCCUCAUCAAAAACAACAUCCCUGCUAAUAAAGGUUCUGGUGGGUUUCCUAUUUAUGCUCCAUAUUUUGUACCCUUUAAUGCUCUCAGGGUACCCCAUGAAGUAACCUUUCACAGCCCUUAGUUCCAGCUUGCCCUGUCUGAUGUGUGCAUAGGCAGGGCAACCAAAUACUUUCAGAUUGCUGAGAUCAGGUGGCUUCCCAGACCAGACUUCCUGAGGUGUUUUGAACUCCAGAGCUGAUGAUGGACUUCUAUUAAUGAGAUAUGCAGCUGUAACAGCAGCUUCAGCCCAAAAAAACUUGAAGAGAUUUGAGCUCAACAGCAUGCAUCUGACCUUUUCAAUCAAGGUCCUAUUCAACCUUUCAGCAAGUCCAUUUUGCUGAGGUGUAUGCCUUACUGUCUUAUGUCUUGCAAUGCCCAGCCUUUUACAGAACUCAUCAAACUCAUUACUGCAGUAUUCUAGCCCAUUAUCAGUUUUGAGCCUUUUCACUUUCUUCCUUCUUUGAUUCUCCAUUAGAGCUGUCCAUUCCUUGAAUUUAUCUAGGGCUUCACUCUUAUACUUCAAGAUGUAAACCCAAAGCUUCCUUGAGUAGUCAUCUAUGAAGGUGAUAAGGUAUCUAGCUCCACCAUGAGAUGGAACUUGGGAGGGUCCCUAAAUGUCAGAAUGUAUGUAGUCCAGGGUCUAUUAAGUUUCAUGCUUGCUUAUGUUAAACUUAAGUCUAAUGGCUUAACGAAACACACACUUUUCACAGAAUUCCAGUUGAGAAAUCUGAUCAUAACCAAACAAACCUUGUUUCUCCAGCUCUUUCAUACCUUUUUGACUCAUAUGUCCAAGUCUCAUGUGCCAGAGCUUGGUUUUAUCACUACUUAUGUUUGCAUUUACUCCAAGCUGAGGCACUGUCCUAACUAACACAUACAAACUAUUUCUCCUAACACCCUUCAUUAUGACUUCACCUUUAUUUAGGACCUUAAUUUUCCCAUCUUCAGCCUUAAUGCUACAACCCAUUUUAUCCAUCAUCCCAAGAGAAAUCAGGUUUUAGUUCAGGGACAUACCUUACUUGUUUAAGCUCCCUGGUUUUAUCAUCAAACAUCUGAAUGUUGAUAGUCCCCAUUCCAGUGACUUUGCAAGCAAGGUUGUUUCCCAGCAACACUUUCCCACCAUCUAUGCUCUCGAAGGUCUUGAAGAAUUCUUUAUUUGGGCACAUGUGGAAGGAUCAUCCAGAAUCAAGAAUCCAUUCAGUUGUGGGUUGUUUUUCUAUUGCAAUGAGAACAUCAGCAUCUUCUUCAUCUUCAGAUGCAAUUGCUGCCUUUCCAUUUGUCUCCUUUUACAGCUUUUCAAGCUUCUUUUCCUCGAAACAGUCCUUGAUGUAAUGUCCUUCCCUUUGACAAAAGUAGCAUUUUCUUUUCUUCUUUUUCUUGUCAUCUUUUUGUUUUUGAUUUUUGUUCUUCUUGUUUUUGUUUACUUUCUUUUCUGAUUUUUUUUUGACAAACAAUCCAUCUCCUAUUGCUUGAUCCUUGAAGUCUGAUCUUUUCUUUAGGUCUUUAGAUUUGAGAGCAUUCUUGACAUCCUUCAAUGUGAGGGUCUGUCUUCCAUAGAGUAAGGUGUCCAUAAAAUGCUCAUAGGAAUCAGGCAGUGAGCUCAACAAAAUAAGAGCUCUAUCUUCAUCUUCAAGCAUGACAUUAACGUUUUCAAGAUCGAGUAUCAGUUUAUUGAACUCAUCAAGGUGGUCUUUCAUGGCUGUCCCUUCCUUCAUUGAAAACGUGUAGAGCUUCCUCUUCAUGUACAAUCUUUUAGCCAAAGAUUUCUUCAAGAAGAGUUCUUCCAGUUUAGCCCAUAAACCAGAGGCUGUCUUCUCCUUGGCUACUUCUCUCAGCACUUCAUCAGACAAGUGUAGAAUGAUAGUGUUGUGAGCUUUGUUGUUUAUAGUCCUUGAGUCUCCACCCAAACUUGAAGAUCCUCCUUCCUUUUCCUUUUUGGACUUUGAUUCAUCUUCAUCAUCGAGGGCACUAUCCAAGCCCUGUUGAAUCAGAAUGGCUCGCAUCUUAAGACUCCACAAAUAGAAGUCAUUCUCUCCAUUGAAUUUUUCAAGAUCGAAUCUUGUGCUGCCCAUUAUGCCAGAUCAAGAACAGAGUGUCCUUCUGGCUCUGAUACCAAUUUGUUAAGAACUUAGCCCAGCACUUCAAGCUUCUUUAAGAAAAUCAAAGCAUACGAACAAAUGUACUCUCACUAAAGAUCAAAACAAAGCAACCAAAGACACCAAGAAUAUAAAAGAUAAUGGCAAGAAGAUGUAACGUGGUUCGGCCAUAAGAAGCCUACAUCCACGGUUGAAACAGCACUGCUCUAAACUUUAUUUAGAAUGAAAAAUGGUUUAAAAAAGAUGAUGAGAUUACAGAGAUAUUAACUUCUCAUAUAAGCUCUAUAUCUCACUCCAAGAAUCUCUCACACACACACCUCUGUUUCAUGAAUACUUUUGCUGCCCUUUUAUAACCUCUUAGUCACGGGAGAAGAAGCCAGCUGCUGUUCUACUCAACUAAUAGAUUUAACAGCCAAAAGAUCCCACGCCAGCUCAGCAUGCCACUUCAUUAACGUUUAACAGAAUAUAACUACUUUCUGACUUCACAUUUCUCAAUGCAAACUGUAUCUCAUGGUGUUCUAAGAAGCAGCCCACUGUAUGAAGUGUAGAUCACUUGCUUUCACAACAGUUGAGCUCACAUGGCUAACCUUCCUAUUCUUCGUGUUUUGUGAUAAUAUAAGUGCGUUACACACAUAUGACAGUAAAUCCAGUCUUGCAUGCGCGGUCUAAACAUAAUGAGAUGGACUAUCAUUUUCGUAUAAGCUGGUGUAACAUUGCAAAUAUUUUGAUAAGAGAUUUAAGGAACUCCUACCGCAUUCAAGAUGCCCGGUUUUGGAUUUCCUCAAUGAAGAUUCAUAUAAUCUCUUUGUUUGCUUUACUUUUUGUUUUCUUUAUAUCCUUGUGGGUCUUUUGAUGGAAUAAGUCUCACCACUUAUUCAUCUUUUUAUUUUUGAAUUUAACAAAGCUUAGGGUUUUCAGAAACCAAUUUUCAGUAAUUAAGUCAAACCACAUAAUUGACCAAAGAUUGAUAACUCAAAUAAAUACUCAUUACUAAUAAUAAUAAGUUCCGAAAACCCAAAAAAAAAAAGCGCCCUUCACUAGAAAUUUAAAUGUCUAAUGAAGGGAAAAAAAAACAAUUGAAGAAUUUGAUGAUGCAUGCAGUGCAAGCUAUGGCAGAUUCACUCCGUUCAGAAGCCAUCUGGCGUUGCGAUAAUUGGAUGGAGCUGACAUGAUAUGAUUAACCUGUAAUUAGAAUAAAAUAAUUUAACUAAAGUGAAAUUAAUUAAUUAAUUAACUAACCUUGCAAUCGAUUGAACAAAAGGAAUUAUGACGUUCAAGCGUUGCAUCGCAGCCGUCACGUUCACAAUUACUGCCUCCAUAACUUGUCUGUGGCCUUUGCUUAAUAAAUAACACUUGGGCACCAUUAUGGACGCGUGGCUAAAGACUAACAUAGAUUUAGAACACAUAAAUGUAUAAAGUGAGGAAAAAGUUUUUUUUUUUUGAAAGUGAGUAAAUAUUUAAUGAAAAAUUAUUAAAAAUGAAAUUAAUAUAAUCAUUAUUUUUGGACCGUAUGAAAACACUAAUUCACUAAAAUAAUACUCUUUUUUUUUCUUUCUUCUUUUUUUUAAAGUAUUGUAAUAAAGAGAAAAGAAUAAUAGAAAGUCAUGGUUUAUGAAUAUCACAUACAUAAAAAUAAGAUGACAACUUACUUGGAUAUUGCUACAAUCAAGCACCUCGUUGGUAUUGUCCAACUUUACAACUGCAUAACUUUGAUUUCUACCAGUGCCAUAUGUGAAAAUCUGAAAUAUUAAAAACUGAUGUAAAGCAAUAUCAAAGCAAAAUAAAAGACCAUAAUAGUAACGUUUUAGAGUCGAUGAUUCGCACGAUCAUCGCAAUCUUUACAAAUACAAGUUCGACAUUCCAAACAAAAAACGUUUUUAUGUUUUCGAUUAUGACCUUGCUCUUCACAAUGCUCGUCGAAUCUUCCUUUAAGAAGAGCGGUUAGCCAACGAGGUACAAUUACAACAUUGUCCUGAAAAGCAUGGAAAGUAUUAAUACAGUUAAAAUUAAUCCAAAUUAUAAGAAACAACUAAAGAUAUAAAAAUAAAAGCCAACCAUUGUUUUCUUGGUAGGGAUUCUAGCAAGAGAAUAAGGGAUUCCAGCAAGAGAAUAACUUUUGCAAGAGGAGAGGAGUGCUAGCUAGCUGGCUAGAAAGAGGAUAAUUGCAAUGAAUCAAAUAGAGAAGAAAUUCGAACUAUUUAAAGAGAUGAAUGUGCCAUAUUUAUGUCGUGUUUGUGUGACUUAAUAGGUCGUAUUAUGUUGCAAAAAGGGAAAGAAUGAAAAGGGGACAAAUAUAUAUUGCAAAACGGGAAAGCAAGGAAAAGGGGGGAAAAAGAUUGCACGUUCGGAAGGUGACGCUCCGUAUGGUUAAAUUCUUAUAUAUUUUGCAUGUUAAUUAAAUAUAGGAGUAAUAACGGCAUGUAAUCCCUUUUAAGUUUGAAAAGUACAAUAAUUAUAUUAGAAAUAGAUUUUGCUUUGGGGAUGUUAUAAUUAAUGAAAUAGGUUUUAUUAACAAAAAUAGUUUCUAUUUUCAGCAACUAUAAAAUGGAAAAGUCCUUAUUCAAGUUAUGCUUGUGUCUUAAUUAACGCAACACUAUUUUGUUGCCUACUCUGAUCUAGUGUUAGAUCAGGAAACGAGAAAGAAAAGAAAAGGAACAAAAGUAGAAAAUAGAAAAUAUAAGUUAUUGGGGAAAAAAAUAUAUAAGCACAAGUUGGUUUGGAUUAACUAAUUUUCGAGAUCUAUAUGUAAUUAAUUAUAUGGCUUUUACACAUAUACUCAGCCUAUUAAAAAAAACUAAGAAGAUAAAGCAGAGAUAAAUCUUUUAAUUAACUUGUGUUAUAGACCAUGUGGAAUUGUUUGUGCCAGAAAGAUAUCGAAAGAAAAGCGUCCCUCUAUGAAGCCGUAGUUUUGUUACAACAUUAAUAAUGUGGUUAACAAACCAGUUGAAAAGGUGAUUUUAAAUUUAAAAAGUAAAGAAAAUAGAGAUAUGAUAAAAUACAAUCUUUGUAUUUAUCUCAUUGAAUUCACCGUCAGUUUUAUCUCUCACAUUGGAAAUUGGAUUCUUGAAGAUUGUCUCUACUCCUGAAUGAUUAUACGAAAAAGAUUCGAUAAGCUGUUCUUAUUCCAUAGCACUUUAGUGCCAAAUAAUCUUAAUUGUUUUUGUUAUUCUAAUUGAUUUGAUAGUGAAUUCUUGUACAUUUCAGUUGUAUUGUCAAAAUGGAUUAUGUUUAUAACAUAGCAGUCUCCUUCCAAAUCCAAGUGGACAUAUAAUGUUAACCUAGCAAGACCAUUUAUAGGAACGGUUAACUUGUCCUUCUAGCUCAAUUAUUGUCAGUUUAUUGCCUUCAAUGUUUGACAGGGAGGCUUCUAAAUGUGCUGUUGGACNNNNNNNNNNNNNNNNNNNNNNNNNNNNNNNNNNNNNNNNNNNNNNNNNNNNNNNNNNNNNNNNNNNNNNNNNNNNNNNNNNNNNNNNNNNNNNNNNNNNUAUAAUUUAUAUUUGUGUUUACGGAAUAUGUUAGGAAUUAUUAACUAUGUAUUAAAUAUAUCUAAUUUUAUGUAUUUUUAUGUGUUUAUUAGGUAAAAUAUUAAUUUCAGGCAAUUCGAGGCUCCAAACAAAUAAACGGAGGUCAAAUUUGGAUUCUGGAGGUCCGAAAACUUUAAGAUCAGUCAGCCGUUGGAUCUUGAUCUAUUGGUUGUGAGGAGCGCAUGCAUGAAACUUAUGAUGGACGGUAAAACACUGGAUUAUGAAUUUAUUUUUCUAUAAAUUGAGGCUCAUUUUUAUGUUUUUAAUGAUCUCUCUACAUCUCCCUUUUUCUCAAAUUCUCUCCAUCUCCCCGUAAUCUUGAUUUUCAGGUGUGUUUUUAAUAUUUUGUAUAAUUAUUUUUAUAAAUAAAUUUAGUUUUAUUUUCAAUUUUAGUUGUUUUUAUUACAUAUUUCUUUUAUCAUCUUGUAACUAUCCAUGCCGCCAUAGUAAUUAAAAACUAACAUCUGUGAAUUAUUAAUUAGAGCCAACUUUGAAUUGUGAGAACAUGAACUUUAUUAAUUAGAUGAAAUUUGUAUCUUGUUACUUUAAAUUUUUUUUUCCUUUCAAUUGAACUACAUAUUCGAUGUAAAGUUUUUAUAUGGAUUAUUCAUUAAGUUUUUUAGUUUCCAAGUUUCCAAUCUCAUCUUGUAUUUGGGGAAAUAAAAUUUCUCAGUAUUAAAAUGAAUAUACUUUUGCGGUAUUCCAUUUAGAGCUCAUGUGUCAACGUCUAAAGCAAGUAUAUAUAUAUUGAGCUCUUUUGGAAUGACUUGAACACUUCAACAAGAUCGGCAUCUUAAGUGCUAUCCAUGAUAUAGAAUAAUAUAGCAAUUAUAUGCUAAUUUAAAAUUAAAAAUCAAUAUUUACCAACAAGCUGUAAGUUACUUGCUAUAUUUCAAUUAAUUAAACCAUAUGAGAUUACCACUCUCUAAUAUUCAUUGAUAUUUUUUAUUAUCUGUGCUCUUACUACUAAUGAGUUACUUAAUCUUUUAGAAGCUUAUAGUCCAGAGCCAAAUCUCAAGACUCUUGCGUUGGAUUGGUUGAUUGAUGAUGGUAGUAGUAGUAAGAAGUAUAAAUUAGAUCUAACUCUCUGUUUUUAAAUAUUUUCUAUUGCUGUGUUCAGGUGAUGUCUUCUAAACUCUACUUUUUUCCUUUAAGAUAUUAAGGAUGUCUCAUUGAUGUUAAGAUGAGGGAAUAAUUGACAAUUGUGCAAUAAAUAAUAGGUGUGUUCUUGUAUUCUUACUAACUUUUUCUAAAUUUUUGGGUCGAAAAUAGCCGAAUAUAGAGUUUAGUUACUCUAGACAUACAUCUUGAUACGCAUCUUCUUAGACUUUGAGUCUAAAUAAAAAAAUAAAAAAAUAAAACAAAUUUUUGAAUUCUCCAUUAUGAUAUUAUUGAGUGCCCCUUUUUGUCUACCUUGGCCAUCUUGAUAGAUUCAAUAGAUUAGCAUAGACACACAUGACAGGUGGUGGUGGUAAGUUAGGAUUUUAUAAUACCUAAUCUUUUCAUUUCAUUCAUAAGCAACUAUCAGAGGUAGUAGAAUUUACCCAAAAAAAGAAAAAAAGAAAAGAGACACUCUCACUUACUAACAAGGUCUCCUGUGUAAGCAAUCAGAGGGUAUUCGUGUAAAAUUGUGAGAUUUGAUCAAGCUUUUGUAAACUCUUACUUAGUAAUUGGGCCUCUUGCCUAAGCAAGCAGAAGGUGUUUGCAAAAAAUGGUGAGAGUUCGAUUUGUCCAACUCAACUCUUUCUUAAUAACCGGGCCUCCUUCCUAAGCAAGCAGAGAGUGUUCACGUAAAACAAUUAGAGUUGGUUAGAAAUAUAUUAUAAAUAAACUUGCUACCUAAGAAAAAUACCUUCAAUGAAGUGAUAAGAACGAAAAUAGCACUUUAUUUUAACCAAAUCCCAUAAUCAUUAUGUCAAAGAUCACUGCACACGAAAGAAGUUUUGCUGAAUUGUUGAUUGAUGGUAAAGUGGCGAAUGGGAAGAAUAGAAUUUCGAAGAUUUCAUUUAUUUUGUAAAUAGAUUUUAAUUUGAUUUAGAUUUUAUAGCUUAUUGCUAUGGACUAGCAAUAAGCUGGUUGAAGGGUGUGUUGAGGGAUAGGGAAUACAUAUUUACAGAAGGUUAAAUCAUCAUUUUGUACUCCAAGCCUCGCUAACAAUUAUACUUUUAUAUAUUUAAGUCCUUUAAACUUUAAUUUUGUGUGUAUUGUUAUAAUCUUAUGUAUUUCAAGGGUAUUUUGGAUAUUUCAUGAUUAAUGAGAAGUCAAACAGCAAAAUGAGAAGUCAGAACAACUUAACACCGUAGGAAAGGCAUAAAGGGUAAAAUUGUAAUUUUGAAAUUUUAGUGGGGCCCAACUAGCGUGCCAUUGACUAGCUAACGUGGCGUUGACCAAAUGAUGUGGCAGUAGUUUAUUGGACCGAAAAAUGCUAAUGUGGCAUGGACCAAUGACGUGGCGUUUACCGAUGAUGUGGCAGUAUGCCAAUAUCCUAUUGUACCAAAAAAUGUUGAAGUGGUGUUGAUUGGUGAUAUGGCAGCAUGUUAUUGGACCUGAUGAUAUGUUUUAACUAAUUAGAUCUUGCCACGGCACAAUCCUGAGUAUCUGAAUUGUUUUCAUGCGAUGCCCAUGAUUCACUCAUUACGUCUAUAAAUAAGGGGCUCCCCCUAAUUUGACAGCGUUGAAUCUAAAUUUGAGCUCCAUUUUUCAUAAUUCUCUCUUGAUCUUGUACUUUAUACAUAUUUUAAUAAAAUUAUCAUUUUACCCCUAGUUCAAUCAUGAGUGGCUAAUUUAAUUUCAAGUUUUGGUUGAAGGUGAAGCCUCAACAUGAUCCAUAGGUUUAAUUUGAUAAGUUUAUUUUAUUUUCCUCUCUGAUUUAUGUGGAUGUUCUGACUCAUUGUCAACAGACAGUGCAUCCUAUAUAGAUUUUGAAUGGUAUAUCGGCUCCCUAGUGAUAGAUCAUUACUGUCUGGUACAAUAAGCACUUUACACCAUAUUUAUUAGAAAGAAAAUCUCCUCCAGUAAUUGUGGGUUUUCUUGACUUAGUGUUGAUCGAGAGUGCAUCUAACUUAUUUAGUAAAUGGUCUUGCCAUGUUGUCGACAUAAAGAUUAUUAUCGUGUAGCACAACGUGUACUUGACACCACACUUAGCAGAAGAUCAUUAAUCUCUGGGGACACUAAGUGCUUCAUACUAUAUUUAUUAAAUGAGGCUUAAGUUUUGGAAAUACCCUCUCAUAAAUUAAUUAGAAGUAAAAAGGAAUAUUAAGCCCCUAGUGAAGUGUUGAGUUGAAUUCACAGGCUCAAGUGUUUUAGUUGAAUUAUUUUCAUCCUUAAUUUAUUCCCACGGUUUUUAUUCUAAAUAUUAGUGUUGAUAAAAAAUCAUCUCUAGCCAAUUCACAUGCACACUUAGAAAAUAAACUCUACACAUAACUAAAUUAACCUCCUCCUCAAUCGACACUCGUUACCGUAAAUCUGUACUACAAUAGAUUCGUGUACUUGCGAGUACAAUUAAAUUUACACAGCAGUAUAUGUUAACCCACAACUUUAUUUUUUUAUAAAAUUUAAUUAUUAAAAUUACAUUAAAAAUAUUUAAUUAUAAAAAUACAUAAACCCUGUUAUUAACAACCACUUGUUGCUCAAGACCUAACCUAAUCUUUUUAAUUUAAAAAUAUUUAAUUUUAAAAUACAUAACUGUUAUCGCUAGCUUGAUUCACAUAUUUCUCUUCACAGUAUUUAUGUAUAUAUUUUUAAAGAAACUUUUGUAGCUAUCAAUGAAAAGGCAGCCAUAUUAGUUGAAAUUGGUCUAUCUUAGAUUUCUCGGUUUUGGCCAAAAAUCCACCUAAACGCGCCUACUAAUCUAGUCAAAAGCUCAAGCAUAAACAUAACUCCUAGCCUAACGUUAAUUGUAUAUUUAUAUGCAAUAGUAAGGGUAUAUUUUUAUAGAAAUGUUUAGAUGAAUUUUUUGGAUGUGUAUUAUGAUUUUGGAUGUGGUAUUGUAAUUUGGAAUAAAUAUGUCACUGUUGCCACCACCGCAAGUUACAGGCAAAACUACUGAUUUGAAAUAAAUCUAUUGCUACUGUCGUAACUACGGGUUAUGGGCAAAACCUACUGCAGGUUAUCGGUGGUUUUGAUAAUUGUUAAAAUCCACGGUGGUUAGUUUUUUUUAAAAAAAAAAACUAAAACCCGCAUCUUCAGUAAUUUAAACAUUUUGUUGGUGCUGGAUUUGUAAUGACAAAUCUGCUGCGGGUGGUACUCAAUGCCAUCCUGAAUCAUGGAGUGAGUAUAAAAGUUAGGUAUCUCAUGUGAGGGUUAAUCCCCAAAAUAGUGAAAAGUUAUCCCACGCUCUUUAUGGAAUAACUACUUAGGAUAAACGUUUAUAAUGUUGGAAAAAUAAUUACUAAGGAACAGUCCGUUUCUCUAAAUGAACUAUUAGGUUGAGAUAAUUAAUGAAGCAUCAAGUCUCUAAUACUAAUGCUAGCUAGUUUCGAGCCCAAUUUCUUCUGCAAUCGAUAAAGGAUAACCACAACAUUGUAUAAUAACUAAACGAAUAAAUGCCCUUUCAAGAAAUUCCAAGAUCGCCACUUCAGUGGACCAUUCCAUAAAAGAUUCAAUCAUUGGACAUUGGUAUUAGUCCCUUUUGUAUAUAGAAGUAUUAUUCCAAGUAAAAAAAGGAGAACGUUCAAAGGAUCCUUUAAUGCCUUAAUUUCGGAGACUAGGGAUUUGGAAUUUUAAUUGCUUGUAUCCUUCUUUUUUUCUUUUAUAUUUCGGAUUAAUUGUACAACUCAAGUCAUUUCGCAGCAGAUUUACUUGCAACCAGCAAAAGAAGCAUUCCAGUGUUUUGGAGUGGCGAAGAUAGGCCAACAUUUAUCCAUCAAAACUGUACUAAUUGAUAAUAUGUAUAAUUGGUGAUCAGACUAACAAAUAACUUGUACGACAAUUUACAGCUUCAACUGGCAAGAUAAUAAAAUUAAUGAUUCUAUUUGUAGCUAAAAUCUAUGCACAAUCAAGAGAUAUUAAUGAUAGAACUUUCAAAAAUAAAAAUUCUAAUUCAUAAUAAUAAUAAUAAGGAAUUUCAAAUAAAACAUAAAUUAAUAAAAUAGUCUGUCACUACAAAUAAUUUGAAAAAACUCCGAGCUUCAGAAUUUUCUUUGUCAUUUAUUCAUUAUUUCUUCGUCAAAUUAAACCAGCGAGCUUCUUCAAAGACCAAACUUGUUCAAUAGACGAGGAAAAUUGUUUGAAUUCCAUGAAUUUUGACAGAGAUAAGAAACCUAAAAGGGGGAGGAUUAAUAAUUACAAAAAGAAUAAUGUAAACUUUUAUAUAUGUAUACAUAGAUGUAUAACUGAUACUAAGCGACUAAAAAAAUUUACUCGGUAAUAUGUGUAUAGAUACACACACACACACACACACACAUACAUAUAUACGAAUUAUAAGGAGAUUUUGAAUGAACCUUGCAAUAGAGUGAACAGAAAUAAUUAUUAUGUAGUUCAGAAUAGUACUUCGUUGGCAAAUACAAGAAUUUUUGAAGAAAAUAUUCAAUGAAGAAGAAAUAAAUAAGAUUGCAAUUCAAGCUGACUUUUUACUUGGAUAUGUCCACAAUCAAUAAACUCGUCAGCGUCAACCAACCGUACAACGCUCUUUCGGCCAGAUGUGCGGAUCUGAAAUAUUAAAGAUUUACAAAACAAAUGCAUAAGUAAAUAAAUCAUGCAGAUGGUUUUAAAAAUUUCAUGAUGUAAUAAAUUUAAUUCAAUUAAUAUUUAUUUAUUCAUGUGAACCUUUAAGUGGUGAUGAGUACUUUCGGGAUCGGACAAGCAUUUUUCGCAUAUUCUGGCGCAACAAUUCAAACAAUAUAUGUUCCUUUGUUUAACAGCCUUUCCAUGAUUGCAAUUUUCAAAGCUUCUCUCUUGGAAGAGAGUCAAAAGACCUUGGAGCCACUGGGGUUGAUUCCCUGCCUGAAAACACGAUUGAAAUACAAUUGAUGUUAUUAACUGAUAAAAUUCAAUAACAAAAAUUUCGAGUCCUAAUAAACAAACGAAGUUGGAUUCAAUAUGCUAAUCACCCUUGACACGAGAUUAUUAAAAGAUCAGCACAACUAUAUGAUCAAAGCUGAAUCUAAAUUCUAAACAAAAAGUGAAAAUUAAAGAAAAGACCGACCAUAAUUAUCUUUUGAUGCUGGAGAGUGUAUAUUUUUUAGAGAGAGAGAGGAGUGUUAGUAAAGAGAAUUACACAAGAAUCAAAGAGAAUUGAGCAUUUUAUAUAUGUAUGUGUCUUAUUUGUGUCGUAUUGCUGUCCGAAAAAUUGUAGCACUGUUUUAAUUAAUUAAUGUGAUAGGUUUAAUGAACAAGAAAAAAAAAAGCACGCGGGUAGAUUAAUUUCUGUUUUAGCAACUAUAAUAGGAAACGUUUGAGUCUUAUUUGGGUAGUGUUUGUAUCUUAAUUAACGCAAUCACUAUUUUGUUGCCUACUCUAGUGUUAGAUGAGGAAACUUCAAAAAGAAUAAAAGUGGAAAAAAUAAAUUGCAAUGAGUUAAUGGGAAACAAAUAAUAAAUGCACCAAGUUGAUUUGGAUUAAUUAAUUUUCGACAUCUAUAAUUAAUUAUAGGGUAGGGUUAGUUGAACCCACAAAAAUCCUCUCUACACAGGUAUAAAAGAUAUAUUUAUUUUUAAAUUUUUAAAAUUUUAGAAUGUCAGAAUUACUAUUUAUUUUUUUCUUUCUUUUACAGAUGCAUAUUCUCUCUCUAAUAUAACAUCUUGUAAACUAAAUUCUCACUUACACUCUAACAUGGAUAUUGAUUCUUAAUCUUUCUUAUUAGAUCAUAAUUGCAUUUUUCAAUAAAUCAUUACUGCAUUUUGUUAGGAAAUUGAGUUUCCUCCCAAGAUCUCUCCAAGCAAUUUAUCAAGCAACAAAUUAAUAAGAAAAAUUGAAUGGAGAAUAUACCAAUCACACAACACAAGAUUUACGUGGAAAACUCCAAAUCCGGAGAAAAACCACGGCCGUUGUCACAAGACAACCAGAGAAAAAAAAUAUUCACUAUGUGGAAAAUUAUUAAAACCACACUCUCAUAAAUUUUCUCUCACCCAAGCCCCAAAUACAUAAUCUUGAGAAAUAUCCCUUAACAAAGCAAACCCAUAAUACCUAUAUUGAGGAGCCAAAUGCUCCUUCAAUAUAACUACAUGCUUAAGAAUAUUUCUCCCUCUUAAUUUCUCACCAAAACUUGGAUUCCAUCUCUGGGAUUUGGGAUACAAACAAUAAGGAGGAGCACUCCUCUAUUUAUAGCCACCAGUGACUAUUGUUCAUCUUGCGGUUACUGUUCAUCUUGCGGCUACUGUUCAUCUUGCGGCUACUGUUCAUUUUGUGGCUACUGUUUAUUUUACGGCUUUUCUUUUCUUCAUUCUCCCACUUGGAGAUUUGAUUGAUAAUCAAUCAAUCUCCACACCACCCUUGUUGUCUUCACCUUUAGUCAUAAUUCUCAACAUAGAGAAUUAUCAUACUCCACCAUAAAGAGUAUACCACUUAGAAUUAAUUACCAAUUCUAAGAAUUUUUUUUUCCCGGCACAUGUCGAACAUAUUCGCUGAAAAUUAUGGUGCAAUUCUCAUGCUUGGUUUCCCUGAGAAUUCUUCAGCCAUGACAUAACUUUUCCACCACACACCUUGCAUUUAUACCAAGCCAAUGCCCGCGUGCAAACUUGUGGACCCCACUGAUCAUAACAUGUUCUCUUUCAUGGCAACUUGGAGAUCUACAUGCUAAAAGAACUAACCAAGUCUCCUAUCAAAAGGAACCUCACCAUCUGCGAGAAUAUCAGUGUCUCCUUUACUGAUUUUGGAGUAAUUUGCCGAGCCCACUCCACCUUCUUGACAAUUUUCUUGAGGUGCCAAAAUUGUCCACACCUUCAAAUCUUUGUGCAUACCAGAUUGGAUACACCUUUGACUUGAAUUCGCCACAAGCCAAUAAAAUCAUUCUCCCAUUAAUUUUUCAACAACAUCAAACUUCAACCAAGUUUGAAAAACACCAGCUGCUGACAUAUUUGCUUCAUAUUCUCUUCACCACAGAUUAUUUGGAUUGGCUCCCACUGCUUCACGUGAACAGUACCGUAUACGUGAAUAGUACCCCGACACCAAAACUUCAAUCAAUGGCUCUGAUACCACUGUUAGGAAAUUGAGUUUCCUCCCAAGAUCUCUCCAAGCAAUUUAUCAAGCAACAAAUUAAUAAGAAAAAUUGAAUGGAGAAUAUACCAAUCACACAACACAAGAUUUACGUGGAAAACUCCAAAUCCGGAGAAAAACCACGGCCGUUGUCACAAGACAACCAGAGAAAAAAAAUAUUCACUAUGUGGAAAAUUAUUACAACCACACUCUCAUAAAUUUUCUCUCACCCAAGCACCAAAUACAUAAUCUUGAGAAAUAUCCCUUAACAAAGCAAACCCAUAAUACCUAUAUUGAGGAGCCAAAUGCUCCUUCAAUAUAACUACAUGCUUAAGAAUAUUUCUCCCUCUUAAUUUCUCACCAAAACUUGGAUUCCAUCUCUGGGAUUUGGGAUACAAACAAUAAGGAGGAGCACUCCUCUAUUUAUAGCCACCAGUGACUAUUGUUCAUCUUGCGGUUACUGUUCAUCUUGCGGCUACUGUUCAUCUUGCGGCUACUGUUCAUUUUGUGGCUACUGUUUAUUUUACGGCUUUUCUUUUCUUCACAUUUGAAUUAUUGAACUAAAACUCUCCUGGAGCUCAGCCAUAUGCAUAUCUACGCUGGGACCGUCAUGUAUUAUAAUCCAUGUUCUUCAAUAAGGUCAAUGUAUGCCGAUGUCAUUCGAAUCAGGAUUUUCAUUUUCAAAGAUUUUACGUAUUUCAUGGCCUGUAAACUUUUUUUUUUAAUUUAUUUUUUAUCGUGGAUUUUGUUUUGUUUUUAAUUGAUGAUGGCCAAUAGAAAAUUUGAAUUUAUCAAUUUUUGACAGACGAAUUUAUCAACUUUCGACAGAAACAUUAAACAUUCACAUGCAGUUGAACUUUGAAAGAAGAAAAUAUGUGAGGAAUAGGAAGAGAAAGAGAACACAUUACAUUCGGUAAUUCCACAAAAAUUUCAUAAAUAAUAAAAAUUAAAAAAAAAUGGUUCUAGAAAUGAAAUUUGUGGGUUCAAAUAGUCUCACUCUUAAUUAUAGGAGAAAGCAUAACUACACCCAUAAAGUUUAAAAAAAUGGUCAAAGAAACUCCCAAUUUCAAUAAAGGAAUCCUCCUUUGUUAUAAUAUUCUUUGGCGCUAAUUAACCACAAAAAAAUGACUCAAUGUUUUAUAAAAAUAGAAAAAUAAUAUUAAAAUGAAUGUAAUAAUAUAUACAUUUUAAAAUAAUUUCAACAUUAAAAAAUUAUUUAAUAUUUUACAAUCUAUUAGACAUAUUCUAUUAUAUUAAAGUAAAUUUUAUACAAAUGGAAACAUAAUAUUAAAAUAUUAUAUAAUAGUUUGAAUUAUUUUGAAUUUUACAUAAAAUAAUUUUAACUUUAAAAUAAUGCAUGAGAUAUAUUUUAUUCAUUGUAAAAUUUAUUUAAACCAAAGAUUUAUUUAAAAUCUUUAUAAUAAAUACAAAUAUAUUAAUGAAAUAAAUAUAAUAAUUUAUAUUUUAAAAAUUAUUUCAAAAAUUAUUUUUUACUAUUAUUAGUCUACUAGAUAGAGUAAAUUAUUUGUAGCACACUUUUAUAUUUAUUAAAAAUUUUGAAGCUAUUUUUUUACUAACUAUAUGUGAAGAAUAUUAACUAGAUAAAAUUAGGUUUUGAUGUCCAUUAUUGAAAUUGGGGUUCUUCAUGACCAUUUUCCCAAAUCUCGGAGGCUUAGCUAUCUUUUUCCCUUAACUUGCAUUACAGAUUAUGGAACUGAUUUUACCAAAAUUAUAUACACCGAAAGAUUCUAUUAUGUUUCUAUUUGUGUGUGUGUGUGUGUGUGUAACGUACUCACAACAAUAAAAACUCUUUUCAUUAGGUGUAUCAAAUAUGGGGACUUUAGAAAAAAUAAUAAUAAUAGUAAUAGUAAUAGUAAUAAUGUUGUAAUACAAUAAAUGAUAAAUUAAUAACCUUAAUUAAAUAAUAAAAUUCUCUGAUCCCAACUUGUGCCUAUUUGAAAAAUUACUAAUUUAGAUAAAAGCAUAAGAUAAUAACUUUUUAUUCUAAAGCAACAAAAAGAAAUACAUAGAUAAUUCAUGAUUCAGACCAAUGCUUCGUAGUCUCUUCAUUAAUUCUUUUGGUUAAUCUAUUUGUGUUUCAUAGUCAUAAACUUGUAAUUUUUUUUCUAGCCCCAAGGGCUUCAUUGUUAUGUAGUUUUUACAUAAUUUUAUUUGAUUGGUUACCCAAGUUUAAAUCUUGAGAAGAUAUAAAAAUCAUCAUUUUACCCAUCUAAAAUCGAAACUUAUAUACAUAUAUAAAUUAAAAGAAAAAACUUGUUCAGUGCUAAAAUGAGUUUUCCCCAUAUAACUUUUCCAUGGAGGGAUUUACCUUAAUGACAAUGUGACACUACUAGAAAAAUAACCUUUACUGACACUUGUCUUGUGAUACUUUAUUAAAAAGUAUCAGUAAUUACAUGCAUUUCAGACAUUUUCCGUGUUUAACAAAUAAAUAUCACAAAUUUGUGAUACUAUAGUGUCUGUAAAUUAAAUAUCAGAGAUCUGUGACAAUAAGGUGUUAGUAAUUAGAAAAAUAAAAUUUUAAUUUUGUGUCCAUUAGGAAUCGAACUAAAGACCUCUAAACUUUAACUUUUUAAUUUUAAACAUUAACCACUGGGCCAUGAGUUGGAUUUUGAUUUUUGGCUUAAUAAGUAAAUAAUAUUAAAAAUUAAAUUAAAUUACCUAGAUACUAUGUCGUUUUAAUGGAAGGUGUACGUGAAAACCUAAAAUCUAAAAUUUUUAAGAAGUGAAAAAACACUCCCCACGGCCGCUUCUUACUAUGAACUGAAGCUCUCUUCCUUCCUUCUCUCUCUCUCUCUCUCUCUCUCUCUCUCUAUAACAAUGAUCUACCUCAGCCGUCAUCGUCAACCUUCAAAUCGCCAUCCUUGACCUAAAAUACCCUUGAACUAGAAAGUGUUGUGAAGAAUUUGAGCAAAGCUACGGUUUUUUUGAAAGUUCGAAUCCAAAAAUUAGGGCUUUUUUGUAGGGGGUAUUUCAUUGUUUUUAAUGUUAAGUUCGAAGAGAAUGAUUUUGUCGCCGUUACCGCCUAAGCAGUAUGGAGUGACGAAGCCAAUAUCAAUUGCAGGAUCGAUGGAGGGUGAUAUGCAAAGAACCCAUGAGAAAAGGUUGUGUUUUAUCUUUAUUUAUAAUUACUUUUUUCUUUCUGUAUAGAAAACGCUGAUUUCAAUUUCCUUUAGGGUUGAAGUUUUUGGUUGGAGCUGGGUUUUAUGAAAGCAAAGAAGAAGCGGCAAAGGGAGAAGAGGUUCUGUUUCGAAUUAGACAGGCAAGAGUUUUUUUUAAAAAAAUUAAUUAUUGGUGAUUUUGAAACCUGGGAUGACCUUGUUGUAAUAUUUUUGUUAUCAGUUGGUUCAUUCUUCAUUUUGUAAUUGGGUUACGAAUUGAGUUUGUUUGAAUUGUAUUGGUGAUCUUAGAGGUUUUAUUUUAUUAGAGAAUUUAGUGAUGAACCAGAAAUAACUUCAUCGUCUGGCAAAUUCGUCUUUUGCUUUAUUAUUGCGCUCAUUCGUCUGGCAAAUUCGUGUUCUUUAACUCCCAUUUGAUUUUUUUUUUGGUUGGUCAAAUUGAUAUUUACUCGUUCAUUUAAGUUCACACAUUAAUUCUCAACCGUCUUAGUUGGUUAAUUGGAUCCUAUUAAUAGUCUCAGGAUAAUUAUAAGUGACUGGGUUGUGAAAUUGAGUUGUGACUCAAAUAUUGUACUGUCCGCUUCAUUCUGCUUUAUGAUGCUUAGUUUAAUAUCUUAGACAAUGGAGGAAUCAAAACUGGAGCAUGGAAUGUAUUUAUUUCCAUAGUUGGGAUCUUGGAGAUGUUUCUUUACGUGUUUGGUCAUUGAGCUAAAAAUUUAAUCUCACUUAGCUGUGACUACAUUUUUUUUUACUAUUAUCAAUGCAGGUAAUUAAUUGUUUCUGACAAAAUGAAGCAUAAAGAUAGGAAACCCAUUUCUCCAAAUGGUGAUAAAAGUCCCAGGAUUGUUCCUUUGACAAUAUUGUUUGUUGCACUACGUGGGUUUUCGUUUUACCUUGGUGGAAUCUUUUGUUCUGAGAAAAAUAGAGUCGAGAUUAGGGAUGUCCAGAAAGCAGUCCCGUCUCCCAAGGAUCCAGCGGUUGCUCCGCUUCAGAUCAAAUCUGUUAACUUCCCUGAUUGCAGCAGCAACUAUCAAGACUACACUCCAUGCACAGAUCCAAAGGUAUACCUUAAAUGCUUAUUUGAUAAUAGUAACAGCUUCUAGGCAAUGUUACAAAGCUAUAUGAUAUCAAGUGGCCAUAUUGAUGGCAAACAUUCAUUGCUACAGAGGUGGAAAAAGUACGGUGCUCAUCGGCUGACUUUCAUGGAACGCCACUGCCCUCCAGUUUUUGAGAGGAAGGAAUGCUUAAUACCCCCUCCUAAUGGGUAUAAGCCACCUAUCAAGUGGCCAAAAAGCAGGGAUGAAUGUUGGUACAGGUAUUAUGAUCUAUUAAUGAACUGGUUUUUUUGUCCACUGAUGUUGGCCGUAAGUCAAUUUUGUUCUAUUAUUUGGAUCUAGUUUCAGGAAUGUGCCUUAUGAUUGGAUUAACAAGCAGAAGUCAAAUCAGAAUUGGCUGAGAAAACAAGGAGAGAAGUUCCUCUUUCCUGGUGGAGGUACAAUGUUUCCCAAAUGAGUUGGUGCAUAUGUUGAUUUGAUACGAGAUCUGAUUCCAGAAAUGAAAGAUGGGACAGUUCGAACUGCUAUUGACACUGGAUGUGGGGUGAGUUUUGUUUUCCAUUUGCCCACUUUUUCGUCUAAUCAUAUACUGGGCUAAUCUAUGUUGCAUUGAUGGUUUAUUCUUAUGGUGCCUCUCGGUCAUCUUAGGAUAAAUUUAACUCAAUUACAUUUUUUUUUAUAGGUUGCCAGCUGGGGAGGUGAUUUAUUAGAUCGUGGAAUUUUAACGGUUUCUCUUGCACCAAGAGAUAAUCAUGAAGCUCAAGUUCAAUUUGCAUUGGAACGUGGAAUUCCCGCAAUUCUUGGCAUCAUUUCCACACAGCGCCUACCUUUCCCCUCAAAUUCAUUUGAUAUGGCUCAUUGCUCAAGAUGCCUUAUCCCGUGGACAGAAUUCGGUAAUUAGUCAUAUACUAUGAAGAUAUUUUCUAGAGAAGUAUCAUUAUCAAAUUGAUUGGAUAAUAGUAGUUAAGAUUAUUCAAUUAUAAGAAUAACUUGUCUUGUAAUCAGACGUCUUUGUGUAUUGAAGUAUUUGGAUUGUGUAAUAUAUAUUGAUAAUAUUUAAAUGUUACGAAAGGUUUUGAUAUAUAAAUUGAUUUUUGUUCUUAUUUCUCACAGCCUUUUAAUUCUAUCAACAAAUCAAUGGGCAACAUGUCAUUUUAUAUAAUUAUUUUUUUAAAUAAUAAAUAAAGUAGUGAUACUAUAGUAACAGUAAUCACAAAUACUAAUAUAGUAUUGUAAUAUUUUGAUACUAUGGUGUUAUUAUUUUAGUGAUACUAUAGUAAUAGUAAUCACUGACACCACUUACAAGUGUCACUAUUUUUCUGACUCCCAGAUUACUGACACAAUUAAUAAGUGUCAGUAAAAGUAAUUUCUGACACUAUUCUAAAGUCAGUAAAGAUCAUUUUUCUAGUAGUGUGAAAACAUAAGAAUUUGAUUGAUAAGAGAAACAAAGCUUCUCAAUAAUGAAUGUUUUAUUGAAAAAGUUUGAAUUAAUAAAAUUAGGGUUUUGCGCCCGUAACAUAGUAGCCCUAAACAUCACAAAUUUACGAAAAUAGACAAAUAUAAAAUAUUAUUUUAUAUUAAGAUUCUCCUAUUCUAAAUAAGAAAAAUAAAUAAAUGGAACCCAAAUUUGAUUUCUAAAAAAAUAAAAUCCAAAAAAAGAGAAAUAGGAAAUAUCUUAAAACUAAAAAAAGACCAAGAAAAAAUAGAAUUUUUAGCUUGAGCACGGACCAAAAGGGUGCAAUCUAUUUUGGGCUUUGUUUGUCUAGUCGCAAACUUCGAAACAGUAUAUUAUAUGCCCAAAACAAACACUUGUAACUCACGUUAUGACCUCUAGAAUGUACCCUACUCAUCUCAUGCAACCAUCUUACAUCAUUUUGCCAACCAAGUACCCAUACUUUGGAUCAUGGACUUCAGUUUCUAAGACAAAGUUGUACACUUAACUUGAAUGGUUUAAUUUUAUGAUGCUAAUUAGGGUGGGUGCUUUGAUCAAACUCAAUAAAGUACAAACACAAAACAAAAAUGUGCAAUCUAUUUUGGGUUUUGUUUGUUUAGUCACAAAUUUUGAAACAAUAUAUUAUAUGCCCAAAUCGAACAUCGGUAGCCUAAGUUAUGACCUCCGGAAGGUACCUUAUUCAUCUGACGCAACCAUCCUAACUCACUUAGCCAACCAAGUAGACAUACUUUGGACCAUGGUCUUCGGUUUCUAAGUUCAAGUUGUACACUUAACUUGAAUGGUUUAAUUUUGUGAUGCUGAUUGGGGCCCCUUUUUUUUUAUCAGACUUGAUGAAGUACAACGGGAUUUUGUAUCUUUCUCAAUGCAAACCGUAUCUCAUGGUGUUCUAAGAAGCGGCCCACUGUAUGAAGUGUUGAUCACUUGCUUUCACAACAGUUGAGCUCACAUGGCUAACCUUCCUAUUCUUCGUGUUUUGUAGACUUGGCAAAAUCCGGGUCCGGUCCGGGUUUUGGUGUUGCCCGGGACCGGACCGGAUGAGAGAAAUGCAAGCCCGGACCCGGGUUAAAACCCGGUUUUUCCGGGUGCGGUCCGGGCUUGAGCCCGGCACCUUUCGGGUCCGGGUUUUGAUCCGGGUUUUUAAAACCCGCAUGUGAUAAUUUCAAUUUUUUUUCAAUUUUUUUCUUUAAUUUUUUUUUUCAUUUCUCUAACAAUGCAAAUUUUAAAAAAGAAAAUAAUCAAAUAAACUCAUUCAAUCUCAAACUUUAAAAAAGAAAAUAGUCAAAUACAAAUAUAUAACACAUUAACAAUGCAAAUUUUGCACAAAUGAUAAAUAAAAAUUAUUUCAAUCUACUUUCUAAUACCUAAAUUCAUCUAAUUUCUAACUUAAACUCAUUCAAUCUAUAUAUAAAAUAAAUAAAUUAAAUUCAACAACACAAUAAAUUUAAAUAACAUCUAACAUAUCAUAAAUUCAUAAUUAUAUAUUUAUAUAUAAUAUAUUUAUUUUUUAAAUUUAUUAAAAAACCGGGUCCGGUCCGGGUUCCGGGUUUUUUGUGUUGAACCCGGACCCGGGCCCGGAAAUGUCCGGGUUUGAGAAUUUCAAACCCGGAUCCGGUUUUUAUAUGCAUGCGGUCCGGGUUUUGCCCGGACCGGAUUGGCCGGGUCCGGGCCGGGUCCGGUCCGGGCGGGCUUUUUUGACACCCCUAGUGUUUUGUGAUAAUAUAAGUGCGUUACACACAUAUGACAGUAAAUCCAGUCUUGCAUGCGCGGUCGAAACAUAAUGAGAUGGACUAUCAUUUUCGUAUAAGGUUAGCCAUGUUGAUAUUUUGAUAAGAGAUUUAAGGAACUCCUACCGCAUUCAAGAUGCACUGUUUUGGAUUUCCUCAAUGAAGAUUCAUAUAAUCUCUUUGUUUGCUUUACUUUUUGUUUCGUCUAUAUCCUUGUGGGUCUUUUGAUGGAAUAACUCUCACCACUUAUUCAUCUUUUUAUUUUUGAAUUUAACAAAGCUUAGGGUUUACAGGAUCCAAUUUUUAGUAAUUAAGUCAAACCACAUAACUGACCAAAGAUUGAUAACUCAAAUAAAUACGCAUUACUAAUAAUAAUAAGUUCCGAAAACCCAAAAAAAAAAAAGCGCCCUUCACUAGAAAUUUAAAUGCCGAAUGAAGAUAAAAAAAAACAAUUGAAGAAUUUGAUGACGCAUGCAAUGCAAGCUAUGGCAGAUUCACUCUGUUCAAAAGCCAUUUGGCGUUGCGAUAAUUGGAUGGAACUGACAUGAUAUGAUUAACCUAUAAUUAAAGACAGAUAAAUAUUAGAGUUAGAAUAAAAUAAUUUAACUAAAGUGAAAUUAAUUACUUAAUUAACUAACCUUGCAAUCGAUUGAACAAAAGGAAUUAUGAUGUUCAAGCGUUGCAUCGCAGCCGUCACGUUCACAAUUAUUGCCUCCAUAACUUGUCUGUGGCCUUUGCUUAAUAAAUAACACUUGGGCACCAUUAUGGACGCGUGGCUAAAGAGUAACAUAGAUUUAGAACACAUAAAUGUAUAAAGCGAGGAAAGUGAGGAAAAAAAGUUUUUUUUUUUUAAAGUGAGUAAAUAUUUAAUGACAAAUUAUUAAAAAUGAAAUUAAUAUAAACAUUAUUUUUGGACCGUAUGAAAACACUAAUUCAUUAAAAUAAUACUCUUUUUUUUCUUUUUUUAAAGUAUUGUAAUAAAGAGAAAAGAAUAAUAAAAAGUCAUGGUUUAUGAAUAUCACAUACAUAAAAAUAAGAUGACAACUUACUUGGAUAUGGCUACAAUCAAGCAACUCGUUGGUAUUGUCCAACUUUACAACUGCACAACUUUGAUUUCUACCAGUGCCAUGUGUGAAAAUCUGAAAUAUGAAAAAUUGAUGUAAAGCAAUAUCAAAGCAAAAUAAAAGAUCAUGAUAGUACAGAAUCAAUAAGUAUAGAUAGUAACCUUUAAGAGUCGAUGAUUCGCAUGAUCAUCGCAAUCUUUACAAAUACAAGCUCGACAUUCCAAACAAAAAAGGUUCUUAUGUUUUCGAUUAUGACCUUGCUCUUCACAAUGCUCGUCGAAUCUUCCUUUAAGAAGAGCGGUUAGCCAACGAGGUACAAUAAGAACAUUGUCCUGAAAAACAUGGAAUAUAUUAAUACAGUUAAAAUUAAUCUAAAUUAUAAGAAACAACUAAGGAUAUAAAAAUAAAAGCCAACCAUUGUUUUCUUGGUAGGGAUUCUAGCAAGAGAAUAAGGGAUUCUAGCAAGAGAAUAACUUUUGCAAGAGGAGAGGCGUGCUAGCUAGCUGGCUAGAAAGAGGAUGAUUGCAAUGAAUCAAAUAGAGAAGAAAUUCGAACUAUUUAAAGAGAUGAAUGUGCCGUAUUUAUGUCGUGUUUGUGUGACUUAAUAGGUCGUAUUAUGCUGCAAAAAGGGAAAGAACGAAAAGGGGACAAAUAUAUAUUGCAAAAACGGGAAAGCAAGGAAAAGGGGGGAAAAAGAUUGCACGUUCAGAAGGUGACGCCCCGUAUGGUUAAAUUCUUAUAUAUUUUGCAUGUUAAUUAAAUAUAGGAGUAAUAACGGCAUGUAAUCCCUUUUAAGUUUGAAAAGUACAAUAAUUAUAUUAGAAAUAGAUUUUGCUUUGGGGAUGUUAUAAUUAAUGAAAUAGGUUUUGUUAACAAAAAUAGUUUCUAUUUUUAGCAACUAUAAAAUGGAAAAGUCCUUAUUCAAGUUGUGCUUGUGUCUUAAUUAACGCAACACUAUUUUGUUGCCUACUCUGAUCUAGUGUUAGAUCAGGAAACGAGAAAGAAAAGAAAAGGAACAGAAGUAGAAAAUAGAAAAUAUAAGUUAUUGGGGAAAAAAAAUAUAUAAGCACAAGUUGGUUUGGAUUAACUAAUUUUCGAGAUCUAUAUGUAAUUAAUUAUAUGGCUUUUACACAUUACUCAGCCUAUUAAAAAAAACUAAGAAGAUAAAGCAGAGAUAAGUCUUUUAAUUAACUUGUGUUAUAGACCAUGUGGAAUUGUUUGUGCCAGAAAGAUAUCGAAAGAAAAGCGUCCCUCUGUGAAGCCGUAAUUUUGUUACAACAUUAAUAAUGUGGUUAACAAACCAGUUGAAAGGGUGAUUUUAAAUUUAAAAAGUAAAGAAAAUAGAGAUAUGAUAAAAUACAAUCUUUGUAUUUAUCUCAUUGAAUUCACUGUCGGUUUUAUCUCUCACAUUUGAAAUUGGAUUCUUGAAGAUUGUCUCUACUCCUGAAUGAUUAUACGAAAAAGAUUCGACAAGCUGUUCUUAUUCCAUAGCACUUUAGUGCCAAAUAAUCUUAAUUGUUUUUGUUAUUCGAAUUGAUUUGACAGUGAAUUCUUGUAAAUUUCAGUUGUAUUGUCAAACUGGAUUAUGUUUAUAACAUAGCAGUCUCCUUCCAAAUCCAAGUGGACAUAUAAUGUUAACCUAGCAAAACCAUUUAUAGGAACGGUUAACUUGUCCUUCUAGCUCAACUUAUUGUCAGUUUAUUGCCUUCAAUGUUUGACAGGGAGGCUUCUAAAUGUGCUGCUGGACGGUCAAACCAGACAAGGAAUCAUUGAUUUGAUGUUCUUGUUGAACAAUAUUCAUAUCAAAUCACGCUUUGAUGAUGUUAUAUAUUUAGUUAUUACCUUACAUGAAUUAAUGAUCUUGCCCACUUAUUAAAGGAGUUUUAAUUUUUUGUCAUUUAUGUUGCCUUAUUUUGCUGGGUCAUACCGCACUUAUGGUGCGUUGGUAGCCACAUUACCUGGUAUAAAUCAUGAUGCACCAUUCUUUCAGAUGCUCAUAGUUAGCAGUUUGUUUCCAGUAGCAUUUUGUAAAAGAAAGAUACAAUUGACUACUCGAAAAUAUCAUUAUAUAUAUAUAUUUGUUACGUUUGACAUUAAUGUUGUGAAACAUAUAAAUGCAACAUUUAAUUUUUAAUAGCACAACACUUUUUUUAUUCUCUUUUUGUCUCAAAUGCAUAGUUGAUUAGUGUUAAAAAUUGUCUAAUUAUCAAGCGGUAAUAAUGUUAUUUUGUGCUUAUGUUAUAAUUUUAUUUGUGUUUAUGAAAUAUAUUAGGAAUUAUUAAUUAUGUAUUAAAUAUAUCUAAUUUUAUAUAUUUUUAAGUGUUUAUAGGUAAAAUAUUAAUUUCACGCAAUUCGAGGCUCCAAACAAAUAAACGGAGGUCAAAUUUGGAUUCUGGAGGUCCGAAAACUUUAAGAUCAGUCAAGAUCGACUUAAAAUUGAGCUUGUGUAAAAAGAGUUGACUUUUUUGCUUGACCGAACAGUAAUUGAAUGAUGAAAUGAGCUUACAAUAGAUUUGAGUGCAUGGGAUAGCAGACAAUUUUGACGAAAUCUCAACCGUUCAUGAUUCAAUGGCCAUGAUUGUGCCACGUGGCAAUGGUUGGUGAAGCAAGUUGUAGGAUCCGAAUCUUUGUAUUCGGGUCGACCCAAUCCAUCCAUUAACCCGCCAAAUCUCAACUGUUCUUUGGCCAAAUUGAUCAAGUCAAACAAUGCCACAUGUGAUGUUGACUUUUGAAGUUUGACCAGCCGUUGGAUCUUGAUCUAUUGGUUGUGAGGAGCGCAUGCAUGAAACUUAUGAUGGACGGUAAAACACUGGAUUAUGAAUUUAUUUUUCUAUAAAUUGAGGCUCAUUUUUAUGUUUUUAAUGAUCUCUCUACAUCUCUCUUCUUCUCAAAUUCUCUCCAUCUCCCUGUAAUCUUGAUUUUCAGGUGUGUUUUUAAUAUUUUGUAUAAUUAUUUUAUAAAUAAAUUUAGUUUUAUUUUCAAUUUUAGUUGUUUUUAUUACGUAUUUCUUUUAUCAUCUUGCAACUAUCCAUGCCGCCAUAGUAAUUAAAAACUAACAUCUGUGAAUUAUUAAUUAGAGCCAACUUUGAAUUGUGAGAACAUGAACUUUAUCAAUCAGAUGAAAUUUGUAUCUUGUUACUUUAAUUUUUUUUUCCUUUCAAUUGAACUACAUAUUCGAUGUAGAGUUUUUAUAUGGAUUACUCAUUAAGUUUUUUAGUUUCUAAGUUUCCAAUCUCUUCUCGUAUUUGGGGAAAUAAAAUUUCUCAGUAGUAAAAUGAAUAUACUUUUGUGGUAUUCCAUUUAGAGCUCAUGUGUCAACGUCUAAAGCAAAUAUAUAUAUGUUGAGCUCUUUUGGAAUGACUUGAACACUUCAACAAGACCAGCAUCUUAAGUGCUAUCCAUGAUAUAGAAUAAUAUAGCAAUUAUAUGCUAAUUUAAAAUUAAAAAUCAAUAUUUACCAACAAGCUGUAAGUUACUUGCUAUAUUUCAAUUAAUUAAACUAUAUGAGAUUACCACUCUCUAAUAUUCAUUGAUAUUUUUUAUUAUUUGUGCUCUUACGACUAAUGAGUUACUUAAUCUUUUAAACGCUUAUAGUCCAGAGCCAAAUCUCAAGACUCUUGUGUUGGAUUGGUCAAUUGAUGAUAGUAGUAGUAGUAAGAAGUACAAAUUAGAUCUAACUCUCCGUUUUUAAAUAUUUUCUAUUACUGUAUUCAGGUGAUGUCUUCUAAACUCUACUUUUUCCUUCAAGAUAUUGCAGAUAAUGUAUCAUUGAUGUUAAGAGGGGGGAAUAAUUGAUAAUUGUGCAAUAAAUAAUAGUUGUGUUCUUGUAUUCUCACUAACUUUUUCUAAAUUUUUGGGUCGAAAAUAGCCGAAUAUAGAGUUUAGUAACCUUUAAGAGUCGAUGAUUCGCAUGAUCAUCGCAAUCUUUACAAAUACAAGUUCGACAUUCCAAACAAAAAAGGUUCUUAUGUUUUCGAUUAUGACCUUGCUCUUCACAAUGCUCGUCGAAUCUUCCUUUAAGAAGAGCGGUUAGCCAACGAGGUACAAUAACAACAUUGUCCUGAAAAACAUGGAAUGUAUUAAUACAGUUAAAAUUAAUCUAAAUUAUAAGAAACAACUAAAGAUAUAAAAAUAAAAGCCAACCAUUGUUUUCUUGGUAGGGAUUCUAGCAAGAGAAUAAGGGAUUCUAGCAAGAGAAUAACUUUUGCAAGAGGAGAGGAGUGCUAGCUAGCUGGAUAGAAAGAGGAUAAUUGCAAUGAAUCAAAUAGAGAAGAAAUUCGAACUAUUUAAAGAGAUGAAUGUGCCGUAUUUAUGUCGUGUUUGUGUGACUUAAUAGGUCGUAUUAUGUUACAAAAAGGGAAAGAACGAAAAGGGGACAAAUAUAUAUUGCAAAAACGGGAAAGCAAGGAAAAGGGGGGAAAAAGAUUGCACGUUCAGAAGGUGACGCCCCUUAUGGUUAAAUUCUUAUAUAUUUUGCAUGUUAAUUAAAUAUAGGAGUAAUAAUGGCAUGUAAUCCCUUUUAAGUUUGAAAAGUACAAUAAUUAUAUUAGAAAUAGAUUUUGCUUUGGGGAUCUUAUAAUUAAUGAAAUAGGUUUUGUUAACAAAAAUAGUUUCUAGUUUUAGCAACUAUAAAAUGGAAAAGUCCUUAUUCAAGUUGUGCUUGUGUCUUAAUUAACGCAACACUAUUUUGUUGCCUACUCUGAUCUAGUGUUAGAUCAGGAAACGAGAAAGAAAAGAAAAGGAACAAAAGUAGAAAAUAGAAAAUAUAAGUUAUUGGGGAAAAAAAAUAUAUAAGCACAAGUUGGUUUGGAUUAACUAAUUUUCGAGAUCUAUAUGUAAUUAAUUAUAUGGCUUUUACACAUUACUCAGCCUAUUAAAAAAAACUAAGAAGAUAAAGCAGAGAUAAGUCUUUUAAUUAACUUGUGUUAUAGACCAUGUGGAAUUGUUUGUGCCAGAAAGAUAUCGAAAGAAAACAUCCCUCUAUGAUGCGGUAAUUUUUUUACCGCAUUAAUAAUGUAAGAACUAUGUAUCAUUAGAUCUUAUCAACAGUACACAUUAUUUUUAUUAAUUAAAAAAUUUAUUUAUUUUUAAAAUAUUAUAACUGGUUAACAAACCAAUUGAAAAGGUGAUUUUAAAUUUAAAAAAUAAAGAAAAUAAAGAUAUGAUAAAAUACAAUCUCUUUAUUUAUCUCAUUGAAUUUAUUGUCGGUUUUAUAUCUCACAUGUGAAAUAUGAUUCUUAAAGAUUGUCUCUACUCCUGAAUGAUUAGACAAAAGAGAUUCGAUAAGCUAUUCUUAUUCCAUAGCACUUUAGUGCCAAAUAAUCUGAAUUGCUUUUGUUAUUCUAAUUGAUUUGAUAGUGAAUACUGUUGCGGAAGCGUGAGAUUGAGCAAUUACCAAUAUUUCAGUGACUGUAACUUCUGGAGAAAUAUAAAUAUGGUGUAAACAAAUGCAGAGAAAAUAGGACACAAUAAUUUUUACGUGGUUCGGCGUAAAACCUACGUCCAUGGGCAAAGACUGGAAGAUAAUUUUACUAAUAAUGAGACUUUACAAAAGUGAAAAAACUCUAAAAAAAAACAAUACCCAAUACACCCAACACUACAACAAAACUGGCAAUAGAUGACUGCAAAAAUCUAUCAUAAAGGGGGGUGGAUGACAGUGAAAUUAUCUAUCAUCUAUGUACCUGUCACUCUUUUAUGAUAGAAAAAAAGUAUGUCAUUAACGUAUGAUAGCGUUUAAAUGUCAUAUGUCAGUCAUGGAAAAAAAUAAAUAAAUUAUUUAAUUUUUUGGUGGGACAUGUAAAUUUUUUUUUAAUUUUGAAAUUUUGGCUGGAAAAUUAAUUUUCAUAUGGACAAUUUUGGCAGGUAAAAUAUUAUGUUUGGGAUAAAAUUUAUGAUUGAUAUUUUAUGUCAUUAAUUCUUUUUAUGACUUAUUUUAUGAUUAAUUUUUUCUAUCACAAAUUCUAAAUUUAUACUGAACAUAAUUAUGAAUUAUUUCAUUUAAAUUUAUGCAUUCUUGUAUAUGAAAUUCAAUCACAAAUUCAAUAUGAACCAAAAAUUAAAUUAUACAUUCUAUUAAGUCCAAAAACACUUUGUAUUAAUAACAUCAUCUAAAAACACUUUUAUCCAACAGUUAACACAUCCAAAGUAAUUAAGAAGUUGAUUCCAGCAAACGUUUCAAAUUUUACAAACUAACAAGCCGUCAAAUCUUGUAACGCAGAACUCCCAUAUUCUCAGUAAAAUUCCAGUAGAUAAACUACCAUUCUCAACAAAUACCCAGCAAAACUCCCAAGACCAGCAAUUUCUCUCAACCUGCAUAUGCAACACCAAUUGAAUAUACCAAGCACUAUCGUUAUAAAGAAUAAAAACCUACAGUAAAACCCCUAAGUUUUAGAUGCAACAGAAUCAUUACUAAUUCAAACUCAAUCUGUAUGUGCAACACUAAUUAAUAUAGCCAACCCUAUAUUAUAAAGAGUUAUCUAUUAAAGUAAAACUUUAACUUUUUAUACAACUUAAAUUAAUUCCUUGCUACAAUAAAAUAUAUAGUAAAUAAAAAAGGUACUUGUAAUAUAAAUUUCAAGCAUAGUACAUAUCACCAUGACAAUGAAGAUAAUAUGAACUAAUGAUUGUCUCAAUACUUAUUUUUCAGCAGAACGUUCCUAUAGGAAUAGGUAAGCAAGAUCAUAUAUGGGAGUUAGGCAUGCAAAACAUUAUGGUUAUUUCUAUCUGGGCACAUAUCCUGUGAAAAUCAUGCACAAAUGUUCUAAAACUCUAUUAUGAAUAUGACUACACACAAACUAUAGUUAAGAGUAUAAACACGAAAGUCUCCACAAAAUCUAUGAAAAGGCCAAAACUCUCCUUCUCAGGCUGCUGCCAUUUCUUGCCUGUUGCUAAGAAUUAAAAGGAGACUCAUUAAACUUUGAAGAAAUGGAAUGGAAGCCCAAUGAAAAGCCCAAAUCCUCACUUUCUCCCAAAUAUACAAAAAUAUCCUCACGUAUUGUCCUCAAAUAUUCUUUUGUUUCUCUCCAACCACACAACCUAAAAAGUGGCCAUAACUAAACUAGCCCAUAAUAUAACGAACUUCCUCUUUCCUUCAAAUGCAAAAGGAAAUUCCAAAAGCAAGAACCGACGAGAAAAUAGCACAAAUAAGUACACCAAACAUUUAUAUGAAUUAAUUAUUUUUAAAAAAAGUAUAUCAAACAGACAAUAGAAUGCAGUACCAUAUUCUCCUCAUUUCCCCUGCCACCCCAAACCACGCAUAGAGAAGCACAACAAAUAAAUAUAUUCCCUAUACUGGAGAUAUAUAUAAGAUUUCUCCGAAGGUCAUCAGGCUUUAAUACAGCCAGAAAGCGGAUCUCAAUAAAAAUUUAAUUCAAAAUCACUGGUUCUUUUUGGAUGAUGCAGUUGUCAUUAAAUAUUUUGAAAGUAGCUGUGAAAAUAUAUCUCAUUCUGUUAUUCUAACCCCAAAAAUAAAAAUGGAAGAAAUGCCUAAAUAAUAACAAACAUUUGUCGGUCGUUCAGUGCACAACAACCUACAAUUGAAUUUCUUUUUGAGUAUCUUGCCAUUGUUGAGAGUGUACAAAAGUUUUUCACAGCUUCAGCAUUAAACCAAGUAGUAUACUACAAAAUGAAACUGUAGGAUAAACCACGAACGACAUCUAAUUAUAAAAUGUUGAUGAGUGGAAACUUGAUAAUAUUGAUGAAUCUGUUAGUACCUAUAAACGAGGAAUACAAAAACAGGCCUGGUUCACUGCAUUAUUAUUCAUUACCCCUCUAAUUAAUUAAGCUGAAGAAAAUAUCAGUGGCAGAGAAUUCUGUUCUUGGAUCCGUUUUCAACAGUUCGCAUUGUAUAUUAUAUCCUUAAGCAACUUCCGUUUUUCUAAAUAUUUGGAACUGUUUAAGAACCAAUCCAACUAAAAUUAUUGUUGCAAAAGGAAAAAUAUUAAGCACAUAGCAGAGCGAAAGAAUGCAUAUAUGUGAGAAUACGUCUCCUUGAUAUCGAAUAGAAAAGGCCAAAGUAAGUUCAAUAAAAAUAAUAUUGUAUGUUUAGUUGUAAGGUGCUAUUUAUUACUUUGUCUGAACAAGAAAAAGUUCUAAAAAGACCAAUCAUUAGCUUCAAUAAGCCCAUGCUUGGCUCCAUAUAUAUUAAUAACGAUUACAACAUACACAAUUAAUUUUAAAUAGUGGUCACAAUUAAUGGCUAACAAAGUAGUGAAAGGAUACCUCUAUAGAUGAUUCGAGUUGAUGUUGCAACUUCAGCAUUGACAUUGUCUUUAAGCCAUUUCCUCAGUUCAGCAUGGACCUGUCACAUAUAUUUAAAACAUGGUCUGAGAAAAAUGAUUACAUCAAAAUUCACAGAAUAUCAACUUUAGAAGCACAACAAAGAGCAAUUAUGUCAGCAAGUUUUGCUGGCAAAAAGAGAUAAAGUAAUAAUUGAAAUAGACUUAAAACAUCUAUUUACUUGUAUUCAAUAUGUAAACACUGUCAUGACCCAACCCAGACCUGGCAAGAUAUUGUCCGCUUUGGGCCUUAACAAGGCCCGCACGGAUUUGUUCUUGGGGCGCUCAUACACCCCAAAACGCGUCUUGCCAAUUAAGGUGUGGAUCACUCCUUAUAAACCCAGCAUCUCUCCCGUACUUUGCCGAUGUGGGAUUUGCCUAGGGUGUUACAUACACCCCCCCUUGAGGACUCAGCGUCCUCGCUGAGGUUUGCCCCACCAUCGCUCAAGAGGACACGCGGAGCCGCUCUGAUACCAUAAUGUCAUGACCCAACCCAGACCUGGCAAGAUAUUGUCCGCUUUGGGCCUUAACAAGGCCCGCACAGAUUUGUUCUUGGGGCGCUCAUACACCCCAAAACGCGUCUUGCCAAUUAAGGUGUGGAUCACUCCUUAUAAACCCAGCAUUUCUCCCGUACUUUGCCGAUGUGGGAUUUGUAUUCAAUAUGUAAACACAAAGUACAAAACUAUUUCUGUGCCUGUACCCAUCUGAAAAGGAAAUGACACAGGCAAAAUUAUUGGUGGGUUUGUACGAAUAUUUAGGCAGAUGUAUAAAAGAAAGCAUCCACAAGCAUGGGAGUCUGAAGAUGGAUUGGGAAACAAAUAUAAUUCUUUGUUGUAUGUAUGAAUCUAUAAGGUGAAAAAAUGAUGAUGACAAUCAGAAACAGCUCUACUGUAUUAUUACUUGUUUCAAAACUUCUAGAGCUAUAUACAAAUUCUGAAAUGCUCUGCCUAGGAAAAAAUACACGUGGUGAAAAUAUAUGGAAAUGUGCUGACAAAAACACCAAACAAGCUCAUAAUCAAUUCUUGUUAAAAAAAAAAAAGGCUCAUAAUCAAUCCAACAAUAUUUAUGUUGAUAGCAAGAAUAAGGAUAGUCAUAUCAUUCUUAUAAGCACGAAGAUCAUUGUCAUUGAAACAUCAAAUUAAAUAAGACAUAAACUCAAACUUCCUUCCUGAGCCUAAGCAGGGGUUGCAACCUUUCCAGUAUCAAUGGCCCAAACUAGCUCAUAAGCCAACACAACAUUGUCCCAGUUGGAUUUUUUUUCUGCAAGAGAACAAAUAAUUAAUUGUUCAUGCAGUGUAGAAUCUAAUAUUACAAAAUAUACAGUCUUUCGCUGACCAUAGAUAAUCAUCCUAUAAGAAAAGCAAACCUCACGUACGUACCUAAGAUCAGAAAAGAAACAAUAAUGGAUGGAUGUGGAUAUAUAUAUAUGCAUGAAAAUAAGAAUAUUCCUAACAUGACAGCAGGGAACGCCACUAAAAUAACGUUAGGUGCCACGGCGACCGGGGUAUAGUACACCAUAUAAAUACUCAAGUUUAAUUUUUAUCAAUUAAGUUCAAAAACACGCCACCAAAAAAGCUAAGGUUUCUUCAACCUCAAAACUUUUAUUAUUGAGAGCUUGCAAGCUCUCUAACCUGAGAUAACCCAACUCCGACUUGAGCGUCGGAGUGUGGUCGCCGACCACCCCCGGCUCCACCUCUGACCUCUUUUUUAGUUGUUUUGCAGGUUUAAGAUAAUUUUCACCAGCCUUCCGCACCUGAAGUCAGACCCCCGCCAUAUCCACCACCUUCUCAAUCCUCCUCCACUCCACAAAAAGCCUAAACAACCCACAUGCGCCGAACAAGCGAGGCACCCCGCUCCCCAACAAAAAUAAAUUUAUUGUUCUUGGCUUGGUUUUGUGAUUUUAUCUCGUUAACCCAAAAUCAGCCGCCAACAUAUUGUAAGGAAAGAUUAGAUAUAAAAUGGUUGUAAGAAAUAAUUAAUCAUUAAUUUGAAUCUAGACUAAAUUAAAACUUAAAAUUAAAUGUCAUGAUAUCUUUCACGAAAAUACAAAGUAUAUACAAAUCAAUGUAGGUCUACAUUAUAAAGUUCAGCAUCAUUCCGAAAGUUUCAAAUACAUCUUUAUCAAAUGAUAGCCUGCAAUAUAAGCAAUAAUAUAAUAAGAUGUAGGAUAAAUUAACACCAUAUUUACGUAUAGGAUGAGUUUGGUUGAAGGAUCAAAAUGCGGGAAUGGAAUAUUCUUUCAAACUUCAUCCAAAUCCCUUAUUGAUGCUCUCAAAGAGUAUUGGGAUUAUCUUAUCCUGAGCCCACAAGAUAAUCCCAACUUUAUGAAGAAAGUUAUCUCAUGGGUGGCCUUGGGACUAGUUGAGAAUAAUUUUAAAAAGCAAUUAUUUAUACUUAAUAGUUUCUCAAUAUUAAAAUUAUAUAAAUAUGUACUAAGCAUAA